rnacentral:lncRNA from 1 species
ACCUCCAGGAACGAGACAGGGAUCUUUAGAAUCCAUGAGGGAAUAGCAUAUGCCCACGGAGGAAAGAACCGGAAGUCUCUUUGCUUGUAGAAGACAGGAAGCUUUGCUAUGGUCAUAGAAAUCUCCGAAAAUCCAUUGAAAUUGACCAUUGUGAUGGCGAAGAACAUGGCACCAGCAAAAAUUCCACCAUCAGUUACUGUAUCUUUGUGCAUUUUUGUUCUCAAGAAGAGUGUCAUGUAGACCACUGCAACAAAUGCAAUCUAAAGCCAGGAGGAAAAACCAAUCAAUAAAUAGUUAUCACAUGAAGCAACAAUUAAAACAAUUCAAAACUAUGUUGGUACUCACUUGAAUGAGUUUGAAGAUGUAGACAAAUGAGUUCCUCUUCAUCAGCAAAAGUUCUCUUGAGAUGUUAGCUUUCAACAACUCUCUUUUGCCAACACCAUAUGUUUCUGUGGUCAAAGCAGCUCGAUGGCUCUUGCUCUUAUCAAAUGGAGUCCGAAGCUCAUCAGAAAUUUUCUGUCCCACAUGGAAUGAUUGGAAUGCCUCAGCAAAUUCCUGGACUGUAACAAACCUGUAAGGCUUCUCUUUAUGUGCCCAAUACUGCCUUUGAUCUUUCCUUGAUGUGACCUGGAACACAUUAUUUGUAAAGAUUGAAUAGAAAUAGUAAUGUGUGAGGCUCGUUAUAGUUUUAGAAUGUUAUAAGCUUCUGUAUUAUCUAUAAAUAUUUAGAAACUGAAACAUCAAAUAUAGAGCUCUAUCACCGCAUACUUCUUGCAAGAAGUCAGCCACGCCUUUCCUUUUGGGGCAUCUAAAGCCCAUGGAUGCAAAAAACUCUAGUACCAGUUCGCGAGGACCCUGGUAUACAAUCUGGCCAUCGGAUAGAAGGAUAAUGUCAUCAAAUAGAUCAUAAGUUUCUGGUGCUGGCUGUAGGAGAGAUAUCACAGCAGUUCCACUAUUGAUGUGAAUAUUUUGCCUGAGACAAUUAACAAUUUGGAAAGUUGUCGAGCUGUCCAAACCAGUAGAAAUCUCAUCCAUAAAUAGUGCCAAUGCUGGUCCAACCAUCAUUUCACCUAUAAUUUAAUUUACGAUUUAUCAUAUGUUUGAAUGAAAAGAGAUAACUAUUUUUUAUCUGACCACAAUCAAAAUGAAUUUAUGGAGUUUGGUAUUUACCAGUCGUAACACGCUUCUUCUGUCCUCCUGAUAUACCUCUUAUCAUUUCAUCACCUACCAUGGUGUCUGCACAGACAUCCAGUCCCAGAACCUAUAUGUUCAUAAGGAGAACCAUUCAAACAAGUGACAUUAUUUACUUGUUCUUGAUCAUAAUUCGCAAUUUUAGAGUGAUUCAUAAAUAUGUUACCUUAAGAUAAUAAUCAGUGAUCACAUUGGCUUCUUGGCCUUCAGUUGCUAUAGCCUGAGACGAGAAUUGACAGAGAAAUACAAGAAACUCAAUCACCAAGAGUUCAAAUCAAUCUCCAUAAGGUUGUUUCCGAUCUAAAUCUAUUUUCUAGUGAGGUGAAAGGUAAAAUGCCAAGCUUAAAAUAUAUCUAAUUCAACAAAAUGAUAUAAAGAAUUGAAUCUCAAAGUUCAUGUACUAGGAUUUUCAGACAUAGGAGCACUUGAUUGAAGCCAGGCUUAAAACUGAAACUCAUAAUUCAUCAGAUUUUAUUCUUUUUUCUCAUCCAAUAAUUUUUUUUUUCUCUUUUCUGGAAUCAAAUUGGCUAAAUGCUAAACAUGUUUUAAAGUUUAAACAAACUUCAGCUUCUCUCACCUUCAUGUAGACAUCAAUAUCUGGAUCAGGCUUAAUACCUGCUGCCUUCUCUCUUCUUGCCAACUCAGUUAACAUUUCUGCACUUCCCAAAAGGCAGAAACCUUUAAUCUGAGUUCUUUACUUGAAGGAAGAAAUUAAAAUAUAUAUAUAUAUAUAUACACCUACCAUAACGGGUUCCAACCCCCUGGCAUCUAGCAGAGAAGGCCAAAGUUUCUCUCACAGUCAUUUCACCUAUAUGAUUAUCGUGUUGACUGAUAUAAGCAGCUGUUCUCUGAGGCACAAAUUCAUCCAUAUCGUGACCGUUGUAUGUAACCGUACCAGAAACCUACAGAGAGAUGUUUUGAUUCUCAAAUUAGGGAGAAAAUCAAAGAUCGAAAAGCAAAGGUAAAAGCCAAACCCCUCCUAAAUAAUUAGAGCUUUUAACUAUAUAAUCACCUUCAGAGUAGGAUCAAGCUUCCCGGCCAAAGCCAACAAUAGUGUGGUCUUUCCAGAACUUGGGGGACCCAGAAGCAAUGUCAAUCUGCGAGAAAAGAGAUAGGCUCAAUUUGUGAUCACUACCAACAUAUUCAUAGAAAAACAAGUAAAUUAAGAAACAAUAGGUAUUUAAUUUUCACCUUCCCGGCUUUAUGACUCCACUGACAUCCUUCAGGAUUGUCAAGUGUCUCUUUUUACUUGGAAUAAUGCGGAGAUAGUUCAAGAUAUCCUGCAAACAAAUACAGAUUAUUUGAAUUGGAGCCAAGAAAUUAACAAAAGAUGAUUAAAAAUAAUAAUAAUAAUUUUUGCAUUUGAAGAUUGGUACUCAAGAUGUUGGUAUAGAAUUUAAUGAACGAUGGCAAGGCAUUACUUGCUAAAAAUGCUUCUGCUUCAACAUUCAAAUGUUCAUAUCGUACUUCGACUUUUGGAAGGUCUAUUCCAACUCUGCCAAAAAUCAAAGAAAAAAAUCAGAAUCAUGACCAAAAUACAACACGCUCUUGAAAAAAAUAAAAAUGGUGGACACAACAUACACAUGAAAAAAAAGAACUCUGACAAACACACACACACUCUCUCGAAAAAGGCCUGCUCUGACACCGAGUUUUUAUCCAAAAGAUUAGUCCAUAAAACUGUAGAUUGCUCCUUUACAAUCCAAUAUGAGAGAAAUCAAUUCAAACUUAAUAUUUGUUUAAAACAAAGGCAAUUCAAGAUUAGCUUACGGAUUAUGUAACUUUUCUAUUUGUUUAAGGUGGAAACAGAACAUUACUGACAGCAUGAAAUAGUUAUAUGAAUAUCAGUUACAGCUGCUGAAGAACUGAAAGUUUUUUUACCUAUCAAUACGGUUCUUGAGCUUCAACAAGAACCUCUCGUUAUCAACAUCAGUAACUUUAACCAAUUUAUCAAUCAACCUCUGCCUUUCUUGCAGCCCAAGGUUGUAAACAUCAACUUCAUUAGCUUCACCUCGUGAGGUAGUUAAUAUCCCCUUCCUCAAACGGUUAUAGGUAGGCAAUUUCUCGAGAGCAGCCCAUUUUAGAGCCUCCUCAUCGUCUUCUUCCCUUGAAGACCUCGAAAAUGCACCGAUGGAAUUUGUGUUCCAUCUAGAAGCGCUCCGACGCAAGCUAGUACUAGCCAUGAAAAUAUCGUGGGUGCCCUCCAUGGCAACUGAAGAUGCUCAGAGCUGGUGAAACCAACCAAAACCGAGGAGUGCUUUUUUCUCUCUAUUGUUGAACUCAACAAAGAGAAGUUCAAGCACGGAGAAACGGGUACUAAUUAAUUUGACAGAGCAAUUGCUCCUACUAUGACUUGAUACAUUAGUGACCCACAUAACCAUUUAUUUAUAUCUUUAUCUUGCAUACAACAGCAUAAAUUGACUGGUAUAUGGCACCGGCGGCUCAAAUAAUCAUUUCCCUUAUCUACCCUCCGUGAACAAGUCGUUGUAGCAAUAUAAAAUGAUCGGGGCAUAGACUUUUUUUUCUACUAUAAAUAUCAAUAUUCCAGGGGUAGGCUCCGGAUCUUCAUUAAUGCCGAGCUAAAUUUUAAAUUUAGUGUAUAAGUUUACGUAAAUUGCUGGUGCAUGUCAAGGAAUAAAACAAAAAAAAUGUAUUAAAUAAUAAAUAUCUAACUCUAAUUUCAAUGAUAAAUUACUCUUUUCAUAUUGAGUUUUUUACGUUCGCUUGUUUAGGAAGAUAUUUGAAAACUCUAUUCUUAACUAAAAGAAAAAAAAAUUCAUGAAAUUUAAUUUUCUUAAGCCAACGGGCUCCAGCCACCUAAUGGGUCUAUAUUCAUUGCUAUCUGAUGUCGGGCAGUUGGGGAAAGUGAUGGAUUCUUGACCGUAGACUUUUGGCAGCAGAACAAAGAGUUACAAAAAAUUUUUCUUUAGAAAUUUCCAAGCAGCUGGUACCCGGUCACAUUGUUUACCUAUUUAACUUGUCAUGAAUUGACGGGGAACGGCCGACUCGUUUUAUUAAUUGGUGUGAAAAGAUUUCCUUACCAUGCUGCAAGAAAAGUAAUCAAGACUUGAUACAACAUUACAAGGUUACUCAACAGACUUUGACUAAUGACUAUGACUGUUUCAAUUCUAGAAUGGGGAUGGAAUUGGAAUACGAAACUUGUGCCUUGACUAUUGUUACAUUGAUAAAUAAAUGCACCGUUUAAAUACGAAACGAUAAGAUUUAAUAAAUAACAUCCACACAUAAUCUUGUUAUGAUGAAUUCGUUUAUGAUAAAUUUUUCAUUAUUGAUAAUAACGUUAUCGAUGCGUAGAUGAAAUGUAUAAUUGAUACACAUCAUAUCUUUUUUUUUUCUUUCUAACAUAAGAGAUUUUACUAUCUCAAAUAGAUGAAAUGUACCAAAUAUGAAAAUUGAUUUAAUUUUUUAUUAUUUUAUUGUAAUAUAAUAUUUAUUUAGCAUACUAUCAAUUAUUUGAUUAUGUAGAAAAAAAUUAUUAAUUUACUAAUAAUAAUAAGGUGUUAGUUUAUCAAUUCAUAAAAUCAUUUUUGCUCAUUUGAACAAGAAUUUUGUAUUUUUGGUUGAGUUUUUAUCCUUAAAUAAAAAAAAUAAAUUUAAUUGCACACUUAAAUAAAUUGAUUUUUGUUAUUUCACCCCAAUAUUUUAAAUAGCCAUUAGCACACAUCCCUAAUUGACAAGGAUAUGACCAAUUAAAUAAUAAUUGUAUCAAAUUUACCACUCAUAUAUAUAUAUAUAUAUAUAUAUAUAUAUAUAUAUAUAUAUAUAUAUAUAUCUGAAUGGCUAAGUGUUGGAAAAUAGGACCAUGGCCAUGAGCCCAUGACUAAUUUUUUUAUUUUUUUAGUUUUUAGUUUGGUAGUGAAAUGGAUUUCUUAUUCUGGUAAAUUAUGAAUUCUCUUCUCUACAUAUAUUGCAAUACAAAAAAAAAAAAAACUUAUAUUUGUCCAAAUUGACAAGUCUGCGAUGUCGGAGUAUUGUGUUCAUGUUGGCAUCUUCAAAUCGAAAGGUGUUUCUAAAAUAGAUUAUGACUUCUAGAAGUAUCACAGAACCUGAAAAUUUUUAGGUGUAGGACUAAUGUGUGAAAAAAUAAAAGUCUUUAGUUUUUUUAUUUUUUUAACAAAUAAAUGGAUUUCACUGUAAUUGACUUAGAAAAAGACAAAAAAGUGGGGUACGAAACCCGUGUGGCAACGUAGUUUUGGCCUUUUAGAAUAAGUAACACUAAUGUCACGUACUUGGACAUUACCGACAAGACAACUGACUCAGACAAAUGGCUGGACACAAACAACAAUCAACGCUUGACGUGGAGAAAGUCAAAGCACGCCAAUUUUGAAAUGAAGAUUACUUUAACCCUUCAAUUUAAUUUUCCAAUUAAGACCCCUAAAACAUGGGAGGUGGGGACCACAAUCACCGGAUCCGGAUCCGGAUCGUAUAGCGAAUUAGUGGCGUACUCUCUUACUGCCAUUUCCCCGCAUUAAUUACUUUUAAAAAAAAAUAAUAAAACGAAAAAUUUAAUUAUUAAAUUAAUUGUAGAGGCAACCAAGAAUUUAAUAAUUUAAUUAUUAAAAAGGCAUUUUCAACACUGUAUUCAAGUAAAAAGAUCCAAUACUAAAUUAAUUAGCUCAUGCCUUUCCUGAUUUUCGUUGGUCGACAUUAUAAAAUUAUAAAAAAAUAAAAAAAUAAAAAAACAUAUUUAUUUAACGUUAAACAUAAGUUAAAAGGACAUAAUCUUAGACAAAAAUUCGUGUUAAUAUAUUUAAAUUAAAAAAAAAUACACACACACACACACAAAAUCUUAGACAAAAGAGAGGGGAAUUAUAAUAUACCAGAAGCAGAAGCAUUCAUUUUCCGUCUCAGUGAACGUGAGCUUCUCUUCACCGUCAGCAAGUCCGUAUGCUCAUUCCCUCCAUCACGACCGUCCAUCUUGCUCAACUAUAAAAAAAAAAAAAAAAAAAAAAAAAAAAAAAAAACUAAAAAAAGCAUCAAAUCUUUUGUGAAGCUUCUUCAUUUUAAUUAAUUAAUUAAGGGAAAAAAAAUCUCGUCGUCCCGGCACAGCAUAAGGCUGAGCUUCUCCGCCGCCGCCGCCGUAUUGAGAAAAAUAGCGGAUAAUUUUGAUUUAAAAGGCUUCUUGUUAGUCAUCACAUUACCCAAUUCCCUCACUAUCCUUCGUUAUUCUGAUGGAUUUUUGUGUUUCGGAAGUGAAUUUCAGUUCUAAUUUUUUUUUUCCAUUUUUUUUUAAGUUUUGGAAGCAUUACAUAAACUUUUUUUUUUAAUAUUUUACUUAAACGAAAAAAGAAAAAAAAAGAUCGGUUCGGUGGACAAAGCCUCUUACUCCUGAUUCAAACGCAAGACCAAUUAAAGAGUAAUGAUACAACCACAAACUCUUGUACAAACUUAUUUUGUACAAACUGACGUGGCAUUAAUUCAUUGGUUGAAUGAAAAUAUAAAUUAAUAAAAACAAAUCAUGUGGGCCAAGUGAUAUUUAAUUCAACCAAUCUUAUCAAGCCACAUCAGCUUGUACAAAAUAAGUUUGUACAAGAGUUUGUGGCUGUAUCAUUACUCCCAAUUAAAUUAAGGCAAAUGCUAUGUUACAAUUAAUGUAAUAUACACACUCAACAACAACCACACAAAUUGUGUGGGCCCAUUAUUUGUGUGGUUGUUGUUGAGUGUGUAUGUUACAUUAAUUGUAACAUAGGGGCUCCCUUAAAUUAAAUUCCUUCGAAAGCUACUCGGAUGACCGGCCAAAUUAAAACUCUUGAAAGUUUCGAUAAAAUAUUAAUUUUAAUAGUUAAAAUUCUCUUUGAUGGGGAAAUAAUAUAUUAUAAUUUAAUACAUUAUUAUUUUAAAAUGUUGAUUUAUAACAAGAAAAAGAUUUACCAUACCCCGAUGUCUCGGUGAAUAGUCAAACAAACUAACACAUUUUUUAGUGAAGAAGAAUAUUAGGACCAUUUUUUAUUGUAGUACCAUUUAAAUAGAGCAGCUAAAAUAGUUAGCUUUAAAAUUUUUUAAUAAAUAUGAAUAAUUAAAUAUGCUUAGUAGACUAAUAAUAUUAAAAUAAUUUUAAAACAUAAAUAUUAUUUAAAAUGUAUAAUUUAUUAAGAUAAUAAUUUUGAUAGAUAAAAUAAUUUUAAAACAUAAAUAUUAUUUGUAUUUAAAAAUAUAUUUUUAUUUAUUAAAAUGUUUAAAACAAAUCUUUCGGUUAAAUAGAUUUCACAAUUAAUUCAAUAUAUGUUAAUAGUAUUAAAAUUAUUUUAUAUGAUAUUCAAAAUAAUUUAAAUUUUUUUACAGUUUUUAAUAUUAUGUUUCUAUUUAUUAUAAAAUUAAGUUUAAUACAAUAAAAUGUGUCUAAUAGGAAUUUUUAAAAAAUGUAUAUAUUAUUACAUUUAUUUUAAUAUUAUAUUUUUAUCUAUUACAAAAUAUUAGAGUUAAUUUUUUCGAGUUUAUAAAACCAAAAGGUAUUUUAGUUAAAUAGAGGUCUUAAUAUCCCUUCUUAAAAAUUUAAGAUGUGUGUAAUUAUUUUUUCAAGGAUAUAAUUAUCAUUUGAACAUUCAUAAAUAGAAAAUGAGGAUAUCGCAAGUUUUAGCACCCAUUUGAUCGUUCAACGGAGGCGCAUGGUCAAUCAAAAGAAUGAAAAAUGCCAAUUCUAAAGUCAAGUGUUUUUAUUUUCUUUAUCUUCAAGUUUAAAGUCAACAUCAAAGAAAAAGGUAAAAAUGUAAGACAAAUUUGGUGUCUCUUCGCUAUGAAGAAAAUUUUGACAGUGAAGCCAGAUAGAAAAAGAAUUAGAAUAAGGUUUGAAUAGGGCACAAGAAAAUUUCAUGGGUUAGAAAGGAAACAAAAAGUAGGAGAAUGAAAAUGUGAUCAUGGUUAAUUUGAAAAUUAUGAGAGCUUUGUAAAAUGAGAUUUUAAUUUUUAAUUUUUGUUAAUGUGUGCAUAGAAUAAAUGGAUUAAAUCGAUUAUUUUUUUUAUGUAGUUUAAAUAGCUUGAUUUUUAAGAUUAUGAUUGAGAGAGUCGCGGAUAAUGUAAGAGCAUUUACCUUUUACCACGUGUGUACGAAUACCAUCAUGAUUAAUUAAAAAACACGUAUGAUAAAAAAAAGUUAAUAAAAAUAUGACAAUUUUAAAAGCAUGUGCAUUUUGCUAAAAUAGACCGGCACUUGUAUUACAUAUGUGUAUAUAUUUGAACACUAAAAUUUUAUCCACCCUCAUUUUGCACACCCCUUUAUGUUUUGAAUCAAACUUUUCAUGAUUACCUCACCCAAUUAAAAUUAUAUAUAUAUAUAUAUAUAUUAAAAUAAUAAAACUUAAAUUUGGAAACUUCGAAAAAUCAAAAUGCAUGCGGUGACUAAUGAAUAAGGUUCAACUUACACAUUAAAUAAAUUAAGAGCAGCGCUAAACAACUUGCACAACACGAUGACAGUAGGUCCCUGAAUUGAUAGAAACAGCAGCAAAACGAUGUUCUUUUCUUGUUCUUUCUCUCUAUUUUUUUAAUUCGGUAAGCCCCCUGUCCCCAUCUGUAUAAUGUUUAAUAUUUUCACAAAUUAAAAUAUCCAAUUUGAAAUAAAAUUCAAGAAAAUCUUAAAUUGUGUGUCUGGUAAACAACCGCAAAUAUAAAAUUCACGUUCAACAUUAGUAGGAAGGGAAGGGGAAAAUAUAUAUAUUAGAUCCGCUCAAAAUGUCGAUGAUUUUAUUUUCUUUAUUUUAAUGUUUAAAGUCAAAAGAAAAGAAAGAGAAAAUGGAGGAGAAGAAAUUUGAUAUCUUACUGCUGGACAAAACUACGUUACAGAAUCUGUAAGGUACAGACUGCAGCAUCAGCCGUUGGAUGUGGUUGGAUGUGGAGUGAGAAACUAAACAAAAGAAAAUCGGAUGGUGGGAUGACGGGAGAUGUUUGUUACAGAAUCUGUAACAUAGACAGGUCCCUUACUGCUAUGUAAGCAUUUGUUUUUUAAUUUGUUUGAAAUAACUUUUCAAGUAAAAUUUAUUUUAGUAGAGCUUUUAUAAAUAGGGUUUGACAAUUUCAAAUUCGGAUAAGAUUAUUCAAUCGGAUUUCGGAUAAUUUAGAUUGAGAAAAAAUUUAUUCAAUCUCAAUCGAGACCUUAUAUCUAAUCCAGUUCGAUUUGAAUUAGUUCAGAUCAAAUUCGAAUGAGAUGAAUAUUUUGAAUAAGUUCAAAUUUAAAUCGGUUUGGAUUGAAAUUAGAUUUGAUACCUUUUAGACAAUUUUCACAAAAAAAAUUCAUGAAAUCUACAAUAGUAUAGGCGGUGACAUCAAUCAUUGUCAGUCUCUUCUUUUGGUUAUUGAUAAUCUCAUUAGAAGAGAGCUGGGCUGGAUUUUCCCAUUGUGUCUAGGGAUGGCAAUGGGUACCGCCCGCAGCGGGUUUGCCAUUAUCAAACUCAAACCCGCACAAAAUUUAAAUUACCAAACCCACCCGCAGCGGGUUUUAACAAUUACCAAACCCGCAAUGGUAUCCGGCGGAUUUUUUGCGGGUUUCCGUAUUUAAAAUCACAAAUAUUUAAUAUAUAAAUUUAUAAUAAUAACCUCAAGUUUCAUAUAACAUAUUCAAUUUUAUAUUUAAACAAUGUAAAUGAAAAAUUAAAAUUUCCACAUCAAUUCAACACAAAUUCUCAAAUUUAAGUAUAAAUUAUACAAAUCUAUUUAAAAAACACAAACUAAUAUCUAAAAAUAAUAAUUACAUUUCAUAUUAUCAUUUAAAACAAGAUCAAAGAGAAUAUAUUUAUUUUAUUCACCACCAUAAGCACCCAUCUAACACAAUGCCUAAAAUAAUAAUUAAGAUUAAUAUUUUCAAAUACUAAUUCGAAGGAAAAUGCCUUUAGUUUUCUUUAGGUUAUGACUUUAGAUUUCUUUAGGUUAUGACUUUAGAAUAAGAGAUGAGCCAUAUACACACAUACACAACUUUAAGCCUUUGGCUAUUUGGUAAUUUGAUUAAUUACAUUAUUUUCUUUAUAUAUUUUUAUAUUUAAAUUAAAUUAAAAAUAUUUGAAAAAAAUUAUUGCGGGUUUGGUGGAUAUCCAUGCGGGUAUCCACCGGGUAUAAGGUUAAUACCAAACCCACCCGCAUCCAUAUGCGGGUUUUAAUUUAUAAUACUAAACCCGCCCGCAACGGAUAAAAUUACCCGCAACGGACGGGUUUUGGCGGGUGGGUUUGGGCGUGUUUGCGGGUACAAUUGCCAUCCCUAAUUGUGUCUUGACUAUCUUCGACAUAGUGGGUCUCGAGGACGCCAUGGUGGCUGGACGUCGAUCAAGAUGUAGCUGGGUUCAUUUGGUUUAUACUGUCGGUGGCGUGGGUCGCUGUGUGCGUCAGGUCAUGAGUGUGGUUUGUGGUCAUGGGUUGCGGCUACCUUGUAUCUUGGUGAUUUUGGAAUUAGGUUUUCAUUUUCUUAGUUUCUAUUUUUCUAUUUUGUUUUUUUUUUCCUUUUUUAAGUAGCAGUGCAAUUCAAUUCGGAUUAUUCGAAUUGACUCGAAUUCGAUCUGAUCCAAAUCUAAUCCAAUUACAUUACACAAAUUAUAUUCGAUCGUAUUUGAAACCAAAUCUAAAUCUGCUAGGGAUGGCAAUGGGGUGGGGUGGGGGUGGGGAGGCCUACCACAUUCCCCACCCCGUUAGAAAUUUUUGCCUCCAUUCCCCACCCCAUUCCCCAAUAAAUUUAGUGGGGUAGGGAUGGAGAAUCCCCAUGUGGGGAAUGAUUUCCCCAUCCCCACCCCAUUCCCAAUUUAUCUAUUUUAUAAUAUGUAUAAAUACAUUAUUUUAGUAAGUUAAAAAUUAGAGACUUAAAAUAAAAUCAUCAUCAUAUUAUAAAGUAUUUAAAUUCUUUUAAAAAAAUAUCUAAAAGUUUGAAAUAAUAUCUUAAAAUGAUAUUAAAAGUGAAAAAUAUUUAAAGAGCGUAGCACUUUAAAAGAGAAAAGAAAAUAUAACAAUAUUUCAGAGUUGAAAAAUAUUAUAGGAUUUUCUUUCAUUCAUAUAUUGUUUAUAUUGCAUAAAAAUUAAAUUUUUUUAUUAAAUUGACAUUAUAAUUGAUAAAAUAAAAAUUAUUAAAUAAGAAUUAAAAACAUAUUUAUAUUUAAUGGGGAUUGGGGUGGGGGUGGGGGUGGGGUGGGGAGUACAAAACCACACCCCACCCCAUUAAUCUGCUAUGAAUUUUUAUAGAUUAGAUUGGAUCUGUCUAAAUCCAAUCUGAUGUCCAACCUUGUUUAUAAAUAAAUAUUUAAAAAAAAUAGUUAUUUGAUUAUCAAUGAAAAUUUUUAUUAAAAAUUAUAAAAUUAUUUUGAAAGUAAGUUUCUUAUAGUUAUGCUAUGAAAGAAAAUGAAAUAAAAUUGUGAGAUAAGAAAAGGAUAUUUUAGACAAUUAAAAAAAAAUUCCAAUCUUUACUCUUAAAAGUGAAAAAUUUGAGCUUUUACUAAUAUAAGAUAAAAUGGUUUAUUUAACCUCCAAAAGCUCUACUCAAAAUAUAAGCAAGCAACAUUAAAAAUUAACAAAAAGAAAACUUAUGGGAUUGACCAUUUGAAAGCUAUACCAACCAUGCACUUACUCCCAUAAUUAUAAGAAAACUCAAACCCUCCAUCUUAUGGAUGAUACAAAUGCUUUCUAUAAUAAAAUAUACAUGUUUUCUUCAUUAACGGUUCGUAUAGAUAUUUUAGAGAGUAAAUUUUAGUUUACCCCAUUACCUUCAGAUUAAAUCUUAACCUAUUGAAACUAUCAAUUCAAGUCUAAACUGAUUGAAAAUAUCAACGCUCAUAUUUAAAAGACUAGGAUAAAGAGGGACGUCUUAAAGAUCUAUUUUUAUUUUUUAUUUUUUUUGGUAUUCAUAAUAAUAAAUGGGAUUGUGUUAACAUUUCGGUAAAUUGAAAGUAAGUUAAUUUAUUUGGCUGCUGAUUUGAAAAUUCCCCAUCUUUUAAAUUCAUAAGGUGCUUUUGCAGACAACUAGGUUAAGUCUCACAUUUUAAAUGAAGGUGUGUUACAAAGUUGAAUUUUGUGUUAUUUGAAUUUUUCUGUGCCUUCACCUACCUUGCGUUUGGAAAUUCUCAUCCCAUUUUGUGUUAUUUGAAUUUUUCGUAACACAAAAAUUCAUCACCCUAAUCAUUGAACCACAGCCUUUUCUCACAACAAAGUUGAAAGAGAGCGAGAGAGAGAGGGAGAGACAAAAUGCAGAAACAGUUCUGCACUUUAAUGUCAAAUCGUUUUGUUUCACUUAUUUUGUUUUUUAAUCAAAGAGAUGAAUAAUUCAAAUACAGUAGGAAAAAAAGAAACUUUGUUUUUUUAAUCAAAGAAAUGAAUAGCUGAGAUAAUGCAGAUACAGUUGGAUCAAAAAGCAAUAUUGUGAUUUUCCAAACUACAAAGUCCCAACUUCUUGCAGUAAAUUGGGGCUAAAAGUAAGUGACCUUUUGGUAUGCUUUGUUGACCCCAACUCAUUUCCUUUGAAUGCUAUUAUUAUAUUCAUUUCUCCCCUUUUCCGCAUUUGUCUUUAUUUCACAUUGUCAAUUAUGCAUAUUCUAGAAGUAUGAAAUAAGCUAGCACCUAAAAAUUAACCACAAAAAGAGAGUUAUGAUAAGAUGCAGAAAAGAAAAGCAUAAGCUGUGUCCCAUAUCAAAACUUAAACAAGUUCCAUCUUGUAUCUCAUGCAACAGGACUCAACUUUCGUAUGGAUUCACACUCGGGGGGGACAUUAACAGUAUUAUUUCUUGCAUUGAAAUCAAAACCACUAUAAUAACAGCAAGAAAAAUGUCUUGGCAUAGGUGUGAAAAAAUAUACACAAGCUAUUUAGAGGGGAGAGAGAAAAACUAAGUGGGGUUAGAAUUAAUUUUAUUACUUAUUUAUAGUAGCUCGAUACAAUCUUAGUUCUAAUUUAGUUAGUACCCUUAAUUAUAACUGCAAUAAGAAAAUCUAAUCUUAAUAGGAAAGAGAUUAAAAUAAACUACAAGAGUCCUCAUAUUAUUCCCCACUCCUUAAAACAGGCUUGCCCGCAAGCCUUUUACCUGGUCCUAAAUCACAAACUUGAUCUUCAAGAUGCUAUUAAAUUUCUAUCGCCUCUGGAAAUUAAGCUGCUUGAUUCCUAGGGCGAAGACAAAACCAAAGAGGGCUACAAAGCACGUAAGCACACCCGCAACUAAUCCCAGAAAAUCAUGUUUGAAACCAAAAUAAUCUCUAAGAAAGUGCUUCACUGUUUCACCAUUUUCCAUUUGGUCCUCCACAUCCCCAAACUGUGAAGCAAUCAAUCCAUACAGGGUCCAAGCUACAGGAUUUGCCCAAUAGUACCAUCUCCACCAUACAGGAAUCCUCUGCGGUUUGAAAAAGGUGAAAGAUGAGGAAAGAAUUAGUAGCAGAAAUUCUGUAACUAGAGAAUCUAGCAUAUGAAAUAGAAAUAGAAAUAGCAGAAUAGUACUUACAGGUCUUGGGAUUACAAAUCCGCAAAAGAGGUACCAUAUCCCGUAAAAUAAAGUCGAAACAAUGGCAGCAAUGUGGUGGUUUGGUGUUAUAGCCACUGUCAACAUGCCAUAGAAGGUGAAGAGCAAUAAUGUGAUGUACAUGAAGAAAAAAUACCAAGAGAACUUCUCGGCUGUCCAGUCAUAUCCCAUCAUAGCAUAGACUAUAACACAGUACACUACUGACUGAACAAAUAUAUAAGGAAUCUCAAUCAUGGCCUGCCGAAAAGAAAAAUCUAAAUAUCAGUAAUGAAACACAUUUCUUAUAACAUUUCAGAUAGGCAUGUGUCAAACGAUUACUUGUGCUAAUGCCCACGGAAGGCCCGAGUACAUGCCAGCGGCUUUUUCUCUGUAAAAGACUGUCCUUUCAACAGAUACUACUGGCUGCACGGAUGAACAAUAUUGAAGGCCGAGGAAGAUAAUUGCAGUAAACAUGGAACCCAUUGCAUUAAACAGAUCUUGGCUCUUUCUCCUAUAAAUUAAAAAGUGAAAAUUAAUAUUAAAAGGCAGAUGAGAAAACAAGACUAAGAAUAAUAUUUAAAUUUAUAAUGUUCCAGUUUCCAAGGCUGUAACUAACGUUUUAGAGCCCAUGUCCCAAAACAAUGACCCAAGCAACACUGCUAUAAAGGCUGUAAAAAAGAAUCUAACAGCAGUGUAUUGUGGAUUUCGCCAGUAUGACCAGUGUUGUUUCCAUAAGCAAGCCAUGAAUUGAGUGAAAGCUGACUGCGAGUACUGGGUAGGAAAAUAGAGGUCCUUUGAACCUGGAGUAGGCUUGCUUAAUUCUUCAAUAAGUGCUUUGUUUCUCCUGAGACACAUUGCCAAUUCAAAAUUUUGAACUAAACAAAUGCAUUGGCAGAGAGGUGAAUGGAUUGCAGUCAGUAGUGUUAGUACUUCAUGAAUGUACCUGUAUAAUUCUGAGCAUCUGAAAAUAUCAUUAAAAUCAACUCCCAAAGCUACUUCUUGGGAUGAAGCAGUUACUUCCAACAUCCAAGUGGCCGGAUUGUAACCAUCUUUAAUUUUCUCAACUCCAGGAAUAGCCUUAUAAAAACAAAUAAACAUGCAUCAGAUAGUUUCAAGAUGAAAAUUAUGCAAGUCACUUCAAAAUGAUACUCAAGUUGGAUUUCCAUUGUAAUAUGAUAACGAGCAUCGGCACAUACUUCAAAAUAGCUGAUAAGUUGGCAAGAAUGGCGACCCAAUGGCCCAACAUAAAUUUCUUGUCCCCCUCGCUUCAUUAGGAAUAACUGCAAUGCAUUGUUGAACAAUUGUAAUCCAUAGAAAAAAGGGGAGAAAAAAAAAAGGAACUUUACGUUACCUUGAUCAAGAAUUAACAUUUUUUACCUCAUCAAAAGCAUCAAAUAUGUCAAUGCCUGGUUGAUGAAUGGUGCACACUACUGUCCUUCCAGUGUCCACUGUAUUUCUAACAGUUCUCAUAACAAUUGCAGCCGCCCUUGCAUCUAGCCCUGAGGUUGGCUCAUCCAUAAAUAUGAUGGACGGGUUAGCCACAAGCUCAACCGCAAUGGUAAGCCUCUUACGCUGCUCUGUUGACAGACCACUUACACCAGGCAAACCAACCAAUGAUUGUAUCAGUGGUUUCAGCUCCACAAGCUCCAUGACUUCCUCAAUAAACAUCUGUAAAUCAAGGGGAAAACUCUAAAUCAGUAUGAAUUAUGUCCAAUAAUGUAUUUAGGGAAGCUAACUCUUUCCCUGCCCAUUGACUCAGGUUAACUAGUUUUAGCCCUCAAUGACCUAACACUCUAUGUGACUUUAGUACCUACCUUUCUGGUUUCAGAAUCAACUUCAGGUGGUAAGCGGAGCCAGGCUGAGUAGAGCAAGGACUCAUACACAGUAACAAAAGGAGAAUGGAUGUCAUUUUGCUCACAGUAUCCUGAAAUGCGAGCAAAAGUUUCUUGCUUCUUCGGGUAACCAGAUAUUGUUAUGUUCCCAGUAAUAUAUCCACCCGUUUUCCUGCCGGACAACACAUCCAUCAAAGUAGUUUUACCAGCACCGCUGACUCCCAUUAAAGCUGUUAGAACACCUGGCCGAAAAGCACCGCUCAAACCAUUCAGAAGCACUAAUUUGUCUUCAAGAACACCUUGAAGUUUCAUUUCCUACAAUGUAAAAUCGAACCAAUUGGUCAUCAUGCCUGGACUACCUUGUAAUGGAUCAAGAUAUCAUCGAACUUUCUAAAUAUUGCCUAAUUAGUUUAAAAUUAAUAUUACCUGUGGCAUGUCAACUGAGUAUACAACCUCAUCAAAGGUAAGGGAAUGAGGUUCAAAAGGAAGAAUCAUUCCUCUUUUCUUUGGAUGACUGCCCUGUGCUUCUGUCAGGAUUAAGGACUUAGAAGAGGAGUUUCUCCCGCUAAUGUCUUCUCCACUCUCUGCACGCUUAAAACAAUUUAUUAGCAUAAGAUGGUAUUUAAAAAAUAUCUCAUUCUUUCUCAAAGGAAAUAGUUUAAUAACUGAAAAAAAACUACCUCCACGGGCGGACAACUGAACAGUUCCUCUAAUUCUGUUAUCUUGCUUAUUACUUUCAGAUUCCUCUGUUAUAACAGCUCGAGGCUUCUCUAAUUCUGUAAAUAUUUUUUUGCACAAAAUUAGAACAUAAACUCACUGCUUUUGAAGUAUUAAGUGAAGAGGUAAAGAUGCAUACGGUUAAGAAAAGUAAUAGCCAUAGUGAAACCGAGGUUGAACAGUAGUAUAAAACCAAACAAUGCCCCCAAUCCAAGCCAAUACCAGUAUGCAUGAGCAAAGAACCCGCGACUCUUCAAAACUUGGACUCCAAUUGAUUCAUAUGAGUUUGGAGUAAACUAUUACAUGAAAAAAUUAGACAUCAGUAUGUUACUAAUAGACAAUUACACAAUUUUGGGCAAGGCUCAUUCAAAGAAGUACCUUUUUCCAACUGUACCCAAGAAAUUCAUUUGCCACUAUUGCAUUCUGUGCGUAUGACAUUGGAGAACACCAGUAAGCCCAUUUCCACCAUUUUUUGAUGUCCUCUGCAUUAUGAAACAAAGAAAUAAAAAUAUGUUAGUUUAGUUAUGAAAAAGAAGCUAAUUGGGGCUCGUUUACUUUUAUAUUUUAUGUACCUCGUGAAAGUACAAAUCCACCCAAUGCGAAAAGCACGAGUAAUGCAAAUGUACCAAAUGUGUUAGCAACAACCAUGCUCCUGCCAGUUGCAGCAAUUAAUCGGAACAAUGCAGACGCCAUCUGGUUAACUGCCAAGAACAACAAGUACUGCUUAAAAAACCUGCAACAAGAAAAUCAUCACAUCAACUGGUUGGAUAAAGAUAUCAUGUAAUGAAAAUGCCAUUGGUUAAUAGUCAAUUUGGUUGAUUUUCUAUCUGUUCACCUUCCAGCAUUGGGAUCACACCCAAUUACAUAAUAAGUUAAGAAUACCCAAACAGCAACCUCCAGGAACGAGAUGGGGAUCUUGAGGAUCCAUGAGGGAAUAGCAUAAGCCCAUGGAGGAAAGAAACGGAAAUCCCUUUGCUUGUAGAAGACAGGAAGCUUGGCAAUGGUCAUAGAAAUCUCCGCAAGUCCAUUAAACAUGACCAUUGCAGUGGCAAAGAACAAGGCACCAGCAUAAAUUCCACCAUCAGUUAGUGAAUGUUUGUGCAUCUUUGUUCUCAAGAAGAGUGUCAUAAAGGCCAAUGCGACGGAUGAAAUCUAAUAUCAGGGGGGAAGAAAUAAUCAACAAAUCUCAAUCACAUAAAGAAAUGAUUAAAUUAAUUCAAAAUUAAGCUGAUACUUACUUGGGUAAGCUUGAAGAUGUAGACAAAUGAGUUCCUCUUCAUCAGCAAAAGCUCUCUUGAGAUGCAAGUUUUCAACAACUCCCUCUUGCCAGCACCAUACACUUCUGUGGUCAAAGCAGCUCGAUGGCUCUUGCUCUUAUCAAAUGGAGUCCGAAGCUCAUCAGAAAUUUUCUGUCCCACAUGGAAUGAUUGGAAUGCCUCAGCAAAUUCCUCGACCGUCACAAACCUGUAAGGCUUCUCUUUAUGUGUCCAAUACUGCUUUUGAUCUUUCCUUGAUGUCACCUGCAACACAUUAUAUUUCUUAAGAUUGAAUAAAAAAAGGUUACGUGUCUUAAGCUUCUGUAUUAUUUGCAAAUAGUACUAGGAAAACAAAAGAUCAGAUGCAGUGCUCUAUCACCACAUACUUCUUGCAAGAAGUCAGCCACUCCUUUUCUCUUGGGGCAUUUAAAGCCCAUGGAUUCAAAAAACUCCAGCACCAGCUCACGGGGACCCUGAUAUACAAUCUGGCCAUCAGAUAGAAGGAUUAUAUCAUCAAAUAAAUCAUAAGUUUCUGGUGCUGGCUGUAGGAGAGAUAUCACAGUAGUUCCACUAUUGAUGUGAAUAUGUUGCUUGAGACAAUUAACAAUUUGGAAAGUCGUUGAGCUGUCCAGACCAGUGGAAAUCUCAUCCAUAAAUAGUGCCAACGCUGGACCAACCAUCAUUUCACCUAUAAUUCGAAAUAAAAAUUGUCAUUUAUUUGAAUGGAAAGUUAUAAUUACAUUUUUAUCAUUGUGAACAAUAGAAAUGAAUUUAUAGAGUCACGCAUUUACCAGUUGUGACACGCUUCCUUUCUCCUCCAGAUAUACCUCUUAUCAUUUCAUCUCCUACCAUGGUAUCUGCACAGACCUCAAGUCCCAAAACCUAUAUAUUUAUGUUGAAAAUCAUUCAAACAGGUGACAUUAGUUACUUGAGAAAAAUUUACAAUUGGUUUAUAGAGUUAUUCAUAAUCACGAUACCUUCAGAUAAUAAUCAGUGAUGACAUUGGCUUCCUGGCCUUCAGUUGCUAUUGCCUGAGACAAGAGAAUUGAUGGAGAAAUAAGAUACUCAAUCACCAAGAGUUCAAAUCCCUGUCCAUAAAAUUGAUUCUAGUCUAAUUCUAUUUUUUAGAGGCAAAAAGGUGAAAUCCCAUGCUUCAAACUGAUCCAAUUCAGGAAAAUGGCACAACGAUUUGAAUAUCAAAGGUCAAAUUCUAGGAUUUUAAUCCAUAGGAAAACAAAAACGAGGCGAGGAUUAAAAAUAAAAGCCCACAUUUCACUAAAUUUUAUUCUUUCCUUUUUUUUGGGGGGGGGGGGGGGGGGGAAAUCAAGUUGGUUAAAUGUCAAACAAGUUUGAACGAACUUUUAAAUUUUCUCACCUUCAUGUAGACAUCUAUAUCGGGAUCAGGCUUAAUACCUGCUUCAUUUUCUCUUCUGGCCAACUCAGUUAAUAGUUCUGCAUUUCUCAAAAGCAAUGAACCUUAAAUGCUUGUACUAUAUCAAAAAAAUACAUACACAAUCUGAAUUUUAUAGUUGGAAGGAAAAAAAAAGAAAAAAGCUACCAUAUCGGGAUCCAACCCCCUGGCAUCUAGCAGAGAAGGCCAAGGUUUCCCUCACAGUCAUUUCUCCUAUAUGAUUAUCAUGUUGACUGAUGUAAGCAGCUGUUCUCUCGGGCACAAACUCACCCAUGUCGUGCCCAUUGUAUGUCACCCUACCAGAAACCUACAAUGAGACAUUUUGAUUCCUCUAAUCAGAGAUAAAACCAAAGAUGAAAAAGUAAUGCCAAAAUUAGAGCUUAAUUUUAACAAUGUAAAAAAAUAAAAAUAAAAAUUAAUCAAUUAAAAAAAAAAAAAAGCACCUUGAGACUAGAAUCAAGCUUCCCAGCUAAAGCCAACAAAAGUGUGGUCUUUCCAGAUGCUGGAGGACCCAAAAGCAGUGUCAUUCUGCACAAUUCUCAGAUAAUUAAGUACCCAUAAAUUCAAGAAAUUACAAGUAAAUUAAGAAACAAUAGGAAUUAAUUUGGAUUCUCACCUGCCGGGCUUUAUGAUUCCACUCACAUCCUUGAGGAUUGUCAAGUGUUUCUUUCUGCUGGGAAGAAUGCCGAGAUAGUUGAAGAUGUCCUUCAAAGACACUCAGAUAAUUAAGAUUUGAGCCUCGAAACUAACAAAAUAAUGACUCUUGAUUUGAAGAGUAAUGCUACCUCAAAGACGGUGGUAUAAAAUUUAGUGAAUGAUGGCAAGGCUUUACUUGCUAAGUACGCUUCCCCUUCAACGUUCAAAUGCUCAUAUCGAACUUCCACUUUGGGAAGGUCAAUUCCAACUCUGAGAAAAAUCAAAAUAAAAUUGAAAAUCAUAACUUAAGAACAUGCUCGCACAUAGAUGACAAGAACUUUUGAAGUAGUUGUCAACACAGGUUCAUGUAAUAAACAAUAGAGAGUAGGGGUCGGUGUUCAAUAUUUAUUACCGAUGACACAAAAUAUUAUUUUAUUUUUUAAAAAUAUUUAAUAUAGAAUAAUAUUUGAACAAAAUAUGUAAAUUUUUUUUAAUAAAUUAAUAUUUACGGUCACCGGCUGAAUAGUCAUUGAUCGGGAAAUUUGAAAAUCACAAGUUAAUAUUGAGGUAAUUUCAUCUCAGAUCCUGUCGAGUUCUACCAAUUAAUUGCAAAUACGAAUCAACAUUCAAAUACAAGUAUUACUGUUCAUAUGAAUAUCAAUUCCACAGGCGUAUGAUUUAUUAGCCAACAAAUCAUUUUUAGUUGAGUCAGUUGACACUUCAUUGCUUUAUCCUGAAGAUUAUAAAUUGGAGUUUUUUGUUAUAGGAGUACAAUUUAAAUAAAAGAAGAUAAAUAUUUGUUUAAUUCCUAUAUUUUAAAUUAAAUAUCUAUUUAAUCAUUAUAUUUUGGAAAAUAUUUUAAAACAACUCUACCGUUAAAUAUGUUACACUCUUAUCUUUAUUAGUUCUUUGCUUUUACAAUACAUAAUAAUUUUAUUCACAAAUACCAAAUUAAUAUCAAAUUAACUUUAGAAGCAAAAUAAUAUCAAGAAAUUUUUACAUUAAUUUUUAUUAAUAGCAAGAAAUUUUUACAUUAAUUUUUAUUUACUUUUAAAAGUUAAUGGAUUGAUUAACAUUUUUUUUCUUUUUAUUAUGUCCCAAGAUUAUUGCAAAGAUUUUUUUGUAAAGUUUGAGAAAAAAGUAAGAACAAAAGUGUAACAUAUUUAAUAGUAGGGGUGUCUUAAGAUAUUUUUUAAAAUAAGACUAAAUGGUUAUUUAAUCUAAAAUAUAAGUACUAAGCAAUCAUUUACCCUUUAGAAUAAAAGUUGAUUUAACAUAAAGUUCCUUUUGAUUUUUCAAAAUUUUUAAAUAGCGUAAAUUUUAAUUUACUCCCUACUUAAAGUGGCAGUUUUCAAUUUAUCAUAGGAAAGUAUGAAAUCUCAAUUUAUCCUCAUUUACUAUUAAAAAGACAAAAAAAAAUCAUUAACAUGCAUCCUAUUUGCCUCAUCUUUUAAAUGAAAAACGAGGAUAUAUUAAGGUUUUCAUAUUUUUGAGGAUAAAUUAAAAAUUAUAAUUUUAUUAAGGGAUGAAUUGAAAUUUCAAAUAGGGAAAUAUCAUAGCAAAACCUCUCAAUACAUAUCUAAGUUUAAUUUGGUUUUUGAUUUGAACUGAAAAAUUGAGUUGAAUUUGAUUCAGGUUUUAAAUUAACCAAAAUAGAAUGUAAAAAUAAAUUGUAAAUAAGUGAAUCAAACUUAUUUUAAUCAAAUUCUUACUCUUUUAAUUGAUUAACUUUAUAGAUUUAAAGAGUUUGUGAUGGGAAAAGAGGGGUUUAAUUAGAUAAAUUUUAAUUUCUAAUAGGAAAAAGGACAUUUAUACCCUGAAGGUUUAGAGAAAUGGUCACCAACACCUUUAAGUUCUCAAAAAAGGACAUCAAAACCUCCUUUUAACCAUAAUACUUUACCUCUAUUAUACAAUAUUAUAUAAAUUAUUAUAUUUAUUUUAAUAAUAUAUUUGUUUUCAUUGUAGAGAUUUUAAAUAAAAUUUUGCCUUAAAUAUAUUUUACAAUUAAAAAAAUCGCACAUACUAGUAAUGUUAAAAUUAUUAUUUUACAUAACGUUCAAAUUUUAAUAUAUUUAUUUUAAUAUUAUAUUUUGAUUUCUUAUAAAACAUUAGAGUGAUUUCUUUUUUGGAUAAUAGAGAUAAAUGAUAUUAUGGUUAAAAGGGGUCCAGGUGUCCCUUUUUGAAAAUUUGAGUGUUAGUGAUUAUUUUUUCAAAUCUUAAGGGUACAGAUAUCUUUUUUUUUUAAUAUAAUUUAAAAAAAUAGAGGAUAAAAUUGUAAAUACAUUACAAUAGGUGUUUUAUAAGAGAAAGAGGGGGUUGCAGUAGCAUCACUCUGAUAAUAUAAUAUAUUAGGGUUAUGGUCAGUAAAAUAAGUUCUUAUUAAUUUGUUAAAACAAAAAGGUCGAGGUAGAGACUCUAAGAGCGUUAUUAAUUAUUUGAAGAAUUAUUUUAUAUAAUACUUUUAAAAACAGCCCUUGCAUAAGUUUAUAAACUGUUGUGAAAAUAGAAAAAAUUACUAUAAAAGAGAAAGAUUUAAGAAAAAAAAUUACUGUUGUUUUGAAUGACUCUUCCUUCCUAUAUCAAAUUUCUGAAUACCCCCUUGAAGGUGCUGAAAAAAGAGAAUUUUUACCUAUCAAUGCGGCUCUUGAGCUUCAACAAGAACUUCUCGUUAUCAACUUCAGUGACUUUCACCAAUUUAUUGAUCAACCUUUGCCUUUGUUGCAGUCCAAGAUUAGAAACAUCAACUUCGAAAGCUUCACCUCGUGAAGUAGUUAGUAAUCCUUUCCUCAAACGAUUAUAAGUAGGCAGUUUCUCAAGAGCGGCCCAUUUUAGAGCCUCCUCAUCAUCUUCUUCCCUCAGGGACUUCGAAAAUGCACCCACAGAACUUGUUCUCCAUCUAGAAAUAUUCCCACGCAAACUAGUACUCGCCAAGUAACUAUCAUGACUGCCCUCCAUUGCAAAGUCAAGCUGAUCAAUUAGUACUGCUGAAACCAACCAAACUCACAAGUUAUAUUUUUCUUUCUUUUUGUUGAAUGCAAUAGACAGAAAUUCAGGCACAGAAGAACUAUUGUGUAUCAGUUAAUUAAUUUGACAGGGCAAUGUUAUCUCUUACUAUAAAUGGCUUGGUAUAUAUAACAACUCCGCUUAUACUUAUGUUUAUAAAGGAAUGGAACAUGUCAGUGUCAGCUAAAAUAUUCAGAAAAUGGUGGCGUACUGGCGUCGCGAAAGAGAAAGAAGAGAGAGGCAACGGAAUUCAUACGGGACCCGACUUAGAACAUCUCCAAAAACCUCUAUAAAUUUUAUUCUUCAAAUACCUAUUUACUUACCUAUGUGACAAAUAGAAAGGUGAAAAAAUAUGAUAUUCUCCAAAUAGAAAUAAGUUAAUAUUGUUUUAAUCAUAUAAUUAGUUUUUUAAAGGAAAAGUCAAUAGCAAUUAAAACACUUCUCUCUCUUUCUUCAAUGAAAAGUAAUAAAAUAUAAAUUGAAGAGGGAGAAAUUAACUCUCCAAAUUUGAAGAGAGAGAAUCAAUUCUUAUUUCAAAAAUCUUAAUUAGAGUGUCUCUUGGAGCUUUAAAUAUUAAUGUGGCUCUUCAAAUAAGUAAUAAAAUCUUAUUUGAAGAGCAUUUUGGUGAUGCUCUUACAAUCCAAUCAUUUAGUAGGGUAGACAUGUAAUAUCCUAUUACAACCAAACAUUAGUCCACUAUAUUUGACCACUAAAAUCUCUCUCAAUUAUUACAACGAUAAUCUCAAAGUAAAAGGUUGUUUGAAUUUCGAAAAGAGUUAUAAAGCAUCCAAGAUAAUAUCUUGUUGAGUCUAAAUUCACCACCUCUUACAACAACAAACUUAUGCUCAUACUAUGUUAAAAUAUCGUUUACUUCUCGAAUUGCAUUAAGAAAUUUGAAAAGUGAGAAUCUUGAUAUUAGGAGUGUGGAGUGAGAGGGGAAAUAAGUUGUUUACUUAUACUGGAACAGAGGUGUUGAACAAAAAUCAAAAUCCCAUUUAUAUAUUUACAUCAUCUUGGAUUGUGAGUAAAUUGUUUCAUAUUAUAAUUUUACCCUUAUUUAAAAAGUACUAAUUUUUAGUUAAAAAGUUGAAUAAUAGAAUAUAUUUAUAAAAUAAACUAUUUAUUUUAUUAUUAAUUUUAAUUUUAGUUAUGUAAGUUAAAUAUUAUUGAUAAGAGUAACAAAAAUGAAACAUUAUUAUUAAUAAUAUAGUACAAAAUUAAUAUUUUCUUAGAAUAAACUAUUUAUUAGUAAUAUUAAAUAAAUAUAAUAAUAUUAUAUUAUCAAACAAAGAUAGUUUAUAAAAAUAUUAUCAAUUCUCUACAAAUAUGAUAAUAUUAUUUUUAAAUAACCUUAACUUAUAUUACAUAAAAUAUUAUUUCUAACUAAAUAUAAUAAUAUUAUAUUCAAAUAAGUUUUAUUAUUAUUAUUUUUAAGUAAAUGUAACAAUAUAUUAUUUUAAUAAAUAUAAAUUAUUUUAUAAAAGAAGGGUAAAAAAAGAAGAUGGAAGUGAGAAUUCCACUCCUCACUCCAAAAAUAAGUGGGACAUAUGGAGUGGGACUCUCGCACCCCUUCUUAAAUGAGCAAGUAAGCGCUGGAGUGAGAGAAAUCCACGUUUUCCAAUCCUACUCCAACAAGUGAACACUAUACAAAAAGUGUGACUAUCAUGUGACACAUAAGGCUAAGGGCAUUUUUUUUCUACUUUGAAUGCAUAAGUGUCAAUAAUCACAGACAACCAUUUGAUCGACAUUAUCUUUUCUUGACCAUCCUAGAGUAAAAAAGUUCGAGAUGUCAUUGUAACAAUGAAUUUUCAAUUUAAUUUUUCAACUCAUAUGCCAGGAAAACAUGUUUACAAAUUUUCAUCGUGUACUAGUAUAUACACGUUUAAAGUCUUUAGCUUUAAUGCACAUUUUAAAGGUACACAAUUAAAAUGUGCAAUAUGGAAACUUGCAUAGAUGACAGAGUGCAAGAUUUUGUCUUGUCUAUAUUAUAAAGUCUUUAUUUUUGUGGUUUGAAUGGAGUCUCUGCAAGAUUUUGAGCCACAAGGAAUAAGAGGAUCUCCUUUUUACCUUCACUGAGCUCUUAUGUGCGCAGCUAGUGGGAAUGGCUAGCGCCCUUUCUCUGCUUUCAGCUGCCUAUCUCAACUAAUACCCUCGCUAUAAAGUGUCCAAUUAAUUUGCUGCUGGUUACGGUUAUGUUUAUUAUAUUAAGGAAUUUUGAUGGGCGUGAAAAAUAAUCAGAUUCGAUAAUUAUUUUGAUUAAAUUAGUGUAGUUUUAUUUUUAAAUUAUAAUAGCAAAUAUUUAUCAAAUAUUUUAAAACCAUAACUUAACUUUUAAACUACAAUUGAUACACCUGUAUGGGAAACAGGCCCUUGAUAUGCUGCCUUCCUCCUUUCGGUUGGAUUAAGGCCAAAAUUUGGAUGCGAUGCUUCAGCUUAUGGUGGAGUUUUUUAAAGCCGAAAUCAUGACAGUUAUUUAUGUUUUUUAGAAUGCUUUUGCUCGACAGUGGCAUUAGCUUUGGAUUGAGUGAGACUCAAUACUAGUUAAUUUUCCUUGGCCUUCAGAACAGAUGGCUUCUCCCUCGUUGGUCUCUCUAUGUUAGACAGAAUAAAUUGCAUUCAGAAGAUGCUUCUGCUUUACUCCUAAACAAAUUCAAAUAUUUUCUCUUACAAAAAAUAUGUUUUAUUUGAUUAAUAAUUAUAUUGUAAAAAUUUGAACAAUAGUGAAAAAUUUUUUAUUAAUCAUUUCUUACUUAAAUAAUUAAAAAAAAUUGCGUUCUUUAUUUAAUUUAUCUAAAUUCAUCAGGAAUAAGACUUUUAAAGUUGAGAGAGAAUGAUGUGUUGAUGCAUUUUACAAACUAUAAAAAUAUAAUGAGCUAUUAAACAAAACUACAUGAAUGUAAAGAACAUUUGUCUAUCCUUAAAUCUUAAUUUCUUUUUGAGGUAUAAGACUUAGUCCUAUCUGAUAUUGAGGUGUAGUACCUUUUAAUUAUAGUUGUUGUGGAAAAAAAAACCGUAAUUAUAAAAUAAAAUUUUAUAAUAUAUAGUAAAUAUGAAUUUAAAUAAUAAUUUUUAUAAAACUGAUAAUUAUAUUGUAAGUUUUUCAUCAUAUAAUUGCGGGAUCAAAUCAAUAUAAGUUUCAAGUUACAGUAAAUAAUGUUUACCAAAUAUUUUAAUACUAUUAUUUUAAAACUACAGCUGCAUAAUUUUAAUACUAAACAAGCCAUUACUAUCCAAACAUAUAUUUAUAUAUAGGGAUGAUGAUUUAUAAAAACAGGGUUUAGAGGAAAAUAGAAGAUAAUAAUUAUUAUUUUUUUGUUAAAAUCAUCAUUAGUUAUGUUAUACACUGCUUUUCAAUAAUUUGGUUAUUAUUUUAUUUACAGGUUUUUUUCCCCCUUGUCUUGACUUUACGCAAGAAAAGUAAGUUAAACUUUCACAUUAAACAGUGCUUCAACAGACUUCGACAAAGACCGGUUCAGUGCAAGACUUAAAAAUUUCGGCUGUGAUGGAGGAGUUGAAUUGUGCGGCGCUGCAUCAGCCGCGUCGCCCUGUCAUUUUUGUGUUAUCCAGGAGAAAGAUUUCUGUACGACAGCGCCACCACCCCAAUACGCUAUCGUGGAGUGCUAAUCACAUAAUAAUCAAAUGGUAUAUUUGGUAGGUUCCUUGAUGGCACCACCAGUAUAAUCUUGGUAGAUUUGGUAGGUCCCUUGACGGCAUCCACCAAUAUAAUGUUGGUGGCAUACUGACUGGCAUUGCAAAAUUUAAAAUUAAAAAAAAAAUUAUAGAUCGCAAUCCCAUCACAAGGCUCAUUAGAUUUGUCAUUUGACAAAUUUUUAUUGGACAGGAAGACCUCCUCAAUCUACUGAAAUGGUGUGCUUACCUUACAGAAAUUUUUCUCAUCAUCUUUUGUCGUGAGUUGUGAUCCAUUUGAUUAAAGUUAUGAUUUCUUGAACUCCAACCAGUGAGAAAAAAUAAAAAUAAUAAUAAACAAUAAACUUUACACUUCAAUUUUUCAUCUCAUAAAAAAAUAUAUAUUUAAAAAUGUGACCUUUUGUUGACCCCAGACGUGCUUGGAUGGCUAUUAUCUUCAUUUGUUUUGAUUUCCACAUUGUUUGCUUCAUUUGUUUUAAUAAACAAUAAACGUUUUUUUUUUCUCUAAAAUUUGAACUCGUGUAGCCAGUCAAAUAAAGUUGCUUGGAACCACUCAGCCAGGUCACUUUUGCUUCACAUCAUUAAUUAUGUGUAAUCUAAAGUACGAAAUGGCACCUGAGUAACAAAUUAAAAAGUUCUAUCUUCUUGCAUCAUAUACUACAUUAACCACCUCCUGCCAUUAAUACAGAUGUAAAUUCCUGAAAAGAUGAAGAAUAACAUGCUCAAUUUAGCCAAGGCAUCCCCGACCCGAUUCUCCUAAUUGUGCCCCCCCCAUGUUUGGUAGCAGUAAGCCAGACAUCAUCUAAGAAAUGAAAUUAAACUUCUACAGAUUCAGGAAAUUAAACUCCAAAUAGCACAGUUAAGGAUAACUUCCCACCCAAUUUUUAUAAGAUGAUACUAUAGAGGAACCGUAUUAUUGGAUACAUUCUGGUGGAGAUACUCCAAACAGCUUAGCUAAGCCUUCCGCGACGUGGUUUCCGUUGUACAUCACAUGUUUAGUACCAGUUCUUUUCCCAUGAAGCACAAGCUUGAUCUUCAAAAUCAAAUUAAAUUUCUAUCGCCUCUGGAAAUUAAGCUGCUUAAUUGCUACGGCGAAGAGAAGUGCAAAGAGCCCUGGAAAGCAAGUAAGGACACCCGCAACUACUCCCAGAAAAUCAUGUUUAAAAUCGAAAUAAUCUCUAAGAAAAUGUUUUACUGUUUCACCGCUUUCCAUUUUAUCCUCCAUAUCUCCAAACUGGGAAGCAAUCAAUCCAUACAAGGUCCAAGCUAUAGGGUUUGCCCAAUAGUACCAUCUCCACCAUACAGGAAUCCUCUGUGGUUUGACAAGUAGAAAGAUGAGGAAAGGACGAAUAACAAAAAUUCCAUAAGCAAGAAAAUCUAGCAUAUACAAUAGAAAUAGCAGGAUGGUACUCACGGGUCUUGGGAUUAUAAACCCGCUGAAGAUGUUCCAUAUCCCAUAAAAUAAAGUCGAAACAAUGGCAGCAAUGUGGUGGUUUGGUGUUAUAGCCACAGUCAACAUGCCAUAGAAGGUGAAGAACAACAAUGUGACGUACAUGAAGAAUAUAUACCAAAAGAACUUUGCGGCUGUCCAGUCAAAUUCCAUCAUAGCAUAGACUAUAGAACUGUACACUAGUGACUGGACAAAUAUAUAAGGAAUCUCAAUCAUAACCUGCAGGAAAGAAAAAUUAAUAAUCAGGAUGAAACACAUUUCUUAUAACAUUUAAUAUGGACAUGUAACUUGUCAAACGAUUACUUGUGCUAACGCCCAUGGAAUGCCCGAGUACAUGCCAGCAGCUUUUUCUCUGUAAAAGACCGUCCUUUCAACGGAUACUAUUGGCUGCACUGAUGAACAAUAUUGAACGCCCAGGAAGAUAAUAGCAGUAAACAUGGAACCCAUUGCAUUUAACAGAUCUUGCCUCUUUUCCCUAAAAUUUGAAAAGUGAAAAUUAAGAUUAAAAGGCAGAUGAAACAACAACACUUACGAACAUCAUCUAAAUAUAAACUGUUCCAGACAACUGGUUAUCACUUACGUUUUACCGCCCAAGUCCCAAAAAAUUGACCCAAGCAACAAUGCUAUAAAGGUUGUAAAAAAGAAUCUAACAGCAGUGUAUGCUGGAUUUCGCCAGUAUGACCAGUGUUGUUUCCAUAAGCAAGCCAGAAAUUGGGUGGAAGCUGACUGAGAGUACUGAGCAGCAAAAUGGAGGUCCUUUGAGCCUGGAGCAGGCUUGCUUAAAUCUUCAAUAAGUGAUUUGUUUCUCCUGACACAUUCAUCUUUGAGUUAAACAAAUGUGUUGGCACUGUUGAAUGGAUUUUGGUCCAUUGGCUAUGCUACCUAGUAGUACAUCACAAACAUACCUGUAUAACUCUGAGCGUUUGUAAAUAUCAGAAAAAUCAACCCCCAAAGCAACUUCUUGCGAUGGAGCCGACACUUCCAACAUCCAAGUUGCAGGAUUAUAACCAUCUUUAAUUUUCUCAACUCCAGGAAUUGCCUUAUAAAAACAAAUAAACAUGCAUCAGCUAGUAUCAUGAUGUAAAUUAUGCAAGUGUGAUAUUGCAGUUAGAUUUCCAUUGUAUUAUGAAAAUGUGCUUCAGAACAUACUUCAAAAUAGCUGAUAAGAUGGCAAGAAUGGCGCCCCAAUGGCCCGACAUAAAUUUCAUAUCCCCCUCGCUUCAUUAGGAAUAGCUGCAACGCAUUUUUGAAUAAUUGUAAUCAAUAGAUGGGAGAAAAAGAACUUUUUGAUAAUUUGAUCAAGAUAUAACCUUUCUUACCUCAUCAAAAGCUUCAAAUAUGUCAAUGCUUGGUUGAUGGAUGGUGCACACAACAGUCCUUCCAGUGUCUACUGUGUUUCGAACAGUUCUCAUAACGAUUGAAGCAGCCCUUGCAUCUAGCCCUGAGGUUGGCUCAUCCAUAAAUAUGAUUGAUGGGUUAGCCACCAGCUCAACUGCAAUGGUAAGUCUCUUACGCUGCUCUGUUGACAGACCACUUACACCAGGCAAACCAACUAGUGAUUGUUUCAGUGGUUUCAGCUCCACAAGCUCCAUGACUUCCCCAAUAAACAUCUGUAAAUUAAGGGUAAAACUAAAAAUUAAUAUGACCAUUUCCAAUAAUGUAGUUAGGGAAUCAAACUUUUCUAUUCUUUCUGACUCUGUUUAACUUGUUUUAGCUCUCAAUGACCCAACUCUGCAGGUGAUUUCAGUACCAACCUUUCUGGUUUCAGAAUCAAUUUCAGGUGGUAAACGGAGCCAGGCUGAAUAGAGCAAGGACUCGUAUACAGUAACAAAGGGAGAGUGGAUGUCAUUCUGCUCACAGUAUCCUGAAAUGCGAGCAAAAGUUUCUUGCUUCUUUGGGUAACCUGAUACUUUUAUGUUCCCAGUAAUAUAUCCGCCUGUUUUCCUGCCUGCCAGCACAUCCAUCAAAGUGGUUUUACCAGCACCACUAACACCCAUUAAGGCAGUUAGUACACCUGGCCGGAAGGCACCGCUCACACCAUUCAAAAGCACUAAUUUGUCAUCAGAAACACCUUGAAGUUUCAUUUGCUGCAAAGUAAAAUCGAACCAAUUGGUCAUCACACCUGGACUACAUUGUAAUGAAUGGAGAUAUUAUCGAACUUUCUAAAUAUUGCCUAAUAAUUUUUCAAAUUAAUAUUACCUGUGGCAUAUCAACAGAGUACACAACCUCAUCAAAUGUAAGGGAAUGAGGUUCAAAUGGAAGAACCAUUCCUCUUUUCUUUGGAUGACUGCCCUCUGCUUCUGUCAAGGUUAAGGAGUGGGAAGAGGAGUUUCUAUCCCUAAUGUCAUUUCCACUCUCUGCAUGUUUAAAGUAAUUUAUUAUGAUAAGAUGAUGUUAAAGAGAUGUCUCACUCUUGCUCAAAUGUAUCAAAAUAGUUUUGACAUAGAUGCGUGUUUAACGCCUGGAACUACCUCCAUGGGUCGACAACUGAACAGUUCCUCCAAUUGUGCUAUCUUGCUCAUUACUUUCAGAUUCCUCUGUUAAAAUAGCCCGAGGCUUCUCUAAUCCUGUAAAUAUUUUGUGCCAGAAAUUCGAACGUAAACUCAUUGCCAUAGAUUCAAACGAAGAUGGUAACAAUACUCACGGUUAAGAAAAGUAAGAGCCAAAGUGAAACCAAGGUUGAACAGCAAUACAAAACCAAACAAAGCCCCCAAUCCAAGCCAAAACCAAUAUGCAUGUGCGAAGAACCCACGAGACUUCAAAAGUUGGACUCCAAGUGAUUCAAUUGAGUUUGGAGUAAACUAUGAUAUAAAAAAUUUACACACAUCAGAUAUCAGUAAGUUGCUAAUAAAUAAUUAAACAAUCAUGGAUAAGAGUGGAAGAAUUACCUUUUUCCAACUGUGCCCAAGAAAUUCAUUUGCCACUAUUGCAUUCUGUGCGUACGACAAUGGAGAACACCAGUAAGCCCAUUUCCACCAUUUUUUGAUGUCCUCUGCAUUAUGAAACAAGGAAACGGCAAUAUUAUAGUUUAAUUUUGAUAAAAGAAGCUAAUUUUGUCUCAUUUACUAGUGUAUUCUCUGUACCUCGAGAAAGGACAAAUCCACCCAAUGAGAAAAGCACUAGUAAUGCGAAUGAACCAAAUGUGUUAGCAACAACCAUGUUCCUGCCUGUUGCUGCAAUUAAUCGGAACAAUGCAGAUGCCAUCUGGUUAGCAGCCAAAAGCAGAAAAUACUGCUUAAAAAACCUGCAACAACAAAAUCAUCACAUCAACUUGUUGGAUAAAUAUAUCCUGCAGAAAAAAUGUCAUUGGUUACAUGUCAAUUUGGACCCUUUUCUUUCUGCUUACCUUCCAGCAUUGGGAUCCAACCCAAUUACAUAAUAUGUUAAGAAUACCCAAACAGCAACCUCCAGGAAAGAGAUAGGGAUCUUGAGGAUCCAUGAGGGUAUAGCAUAAGCCCACGGAGGAAAGAAACGGAAAUCUCUUUGCUUGUAGAAGACAGGAAGCUUGGCUAUGGUCAUAGAAAUCUCUGAAAAUCCAUUGAACAUAACCAUCACAGUGGCGAAGAACAAGGCACCAGCGUAAAUUCCACCAUCAGUAACUGAAUCUUUGUGCAUCUUUGUCCUGAAGAAGAGUGUCAUAUAGACCAAUGCGACAGAUGCAAUCUAAUGACGGGAAACAUAAUCAAUAAACCAAUAUAACAUAAAGAAAUGAUUAGAACAACUCAAAAUUAAGUUGAUACUCACUUGUAUGAGCUUGAAAAUGUAGACAAAUGAGUUCCUCUUCAUCAGCAAAAGUUCUCUUGAGAUGCAAGCUUUCAAUAACUCCCUCCUGCCAGCACCAUACACUUCUGUGGUCAAAGCAGCUCGAUGGCUCUUGCUCUUAUCAAAUGGAGUCUGAAGCUCAUCAGAAAUUUUCUGUCCCACAUGGAAUGAUUGGAAUCCCUCGGUGAAUUCCUGGACUGUAACAAACCUGUAUGGCCUCUCUUUAUGUACCCAAUACUGCUUUUGAUCUUUCUUUGAUGUCACCUGCAAUAUAUUAUUUUUAAAGAUAAGCCACAACAUUUUUAUUAAAAUAUUAAGAAAAAGACAUAUCAUAGCAAGAGCUCUAUUAGAACAUACUUCUUGCAAGAAGUCAGCCACACCUUUCCUUUUGGGGCAUUUAAAGCCCAUGGAUUCAAAAAACUCUAGCACCAGUUCGCGGGGUCCCUGGUACACAAUCUGGCCAUUAGAUAGAAGGAUAAUAUCAUCAAAUAAAUUAUAAGUUUCUGGUGCUGGCUGUAGGAGUGAUAUCACAGCAGUGCCACAAUUGAUGUGAAUAUUUUGCUUGAAACAAUUAACAAUCUGGAAUGUCGUCGAGCUGUCCAAACCAGUAGAAAUCUCAUCCAUAAAUAGUGCCAACGCUGGACCAACCAUCAUUUCACCUAUAAUUUGAAAUACAAAUUGUCAUUUAUUUCAACAAAUCAUUGCAAACAAUAGAAAUGAACUUAUAGAGUUAUGUACUUACCAGUUGUGACACGCUUCCUUUGUCCUCCUGAUAUACCUCUUAUCAUUUCAUCGCCAACUACAGUAUCUGCACAGACAUCCAGUCCGAGAACCUACAUUUUAUAUUAAAAAUCAUUCAAACAAGUGACUUUCUUGAGAAAAAUCCACAAUCGUUUCACAAUUGUUUAUAGAUUGAUUCGUAAAAAUGACACCUUUAGAUAAUAAUCAGUGAUCACAUUGGCUUCUUGGCCUUCAGUUGCUAUUGCCUGCAGAGACAAGAGAAUUGACAGAGAAAUACAAGAUAAUCAAUCAUGAAGAGUUCAAAUCCAUCUCCAUAAGGUUGAUUUCAAAUUCUUUUUUUUUUUUCCAAUUGAGAAAAAUGUAAAAUGAUAGUAUUUUAAGCUAUAGGAAAACCUGACUGAAGCGAAGCUUAAAUAAAAAAACCCAUCUUUCACUAAACUCUAUUCUAUUAAUUUUUAAACACCAAACAUGUUUUGUACGAACUUCUGCUUUUCUCACCUUCAUGUAGACAUCGAUAUCAGGAUCGGGCUUAAUACCUGCUGCCUUUUCUCUUCUUGCCAACUCAGUUAACAUUUCUGCACUUCCCAAAAAUAAAGGCCUUUAAUGCUUAUACCACAUCAAAAAAUAUAUACUACAGUCUGAAUUCUAUGGUUUAACAAGAAGCUACCAUAACGGGUUCCAACCCCCUGGCAUCUAGCAGAGAAGGCCAAGGUUUCCCUCACAGUCAUUUCACCGAUAUGGUUAUCAUGUUGGCUGAUAUAAGCAGCUGUUCUCUCAGGCACAAACCCAUCCAUGUUGUGCCCAUUGUAUGUCACCCUACCAGAAACCUAUAGAGAGAUAUUUUCAUUCUCGAAGUUGAGAGAAAACCAAAGAGUGAAAAGCAAAAGAGUGAACUUUACAAUGCUCAAAGCCAAACCCAUCCAAGAGCUUAAUCUUAACAAAGUGAAAAACAGCACCUUGAGACUAGAAUCAAGUUUCCCGGCCAAAGCCAACAAAAGUGUAGUCUUUCCAGAAGCUGGAGGACCCAAAAGCAAUGUCAACCUGCAGCAAAAGAAACGAGCAAAAUUUGUGGUGACUACCAACAUAUUGAAAUAAGUACAAAUAAAUUAGGAGACCAUAGAUUAUUUAACUCUCACCUGCCAGGCUUUAUGAUUCCGCUGACAUCCUUGAGGAUUGUCAAAUGUUGCUUUCUACUUGGAAGAAUGUGGAGAUAGUUCAAGAAACCCUUCAAAAAUUCACAUAUUAUUAAACUUUGAGCCGAGAAAUGAAAAAAACAUAGUAAAAUUUUUAAAAAUUAAUGACUUUUUAUUUGAAGAGUAAUGCUACCUCAAAGAUGCAUAGUUUACCAAAAACUAAGCUGCUUUUUUAAUCAACUGCUUAUUAUAUGCGCACAGUAAAACAAUUUAUUUAAUCAACAAUCGCAAUCCCAAACUAGCUUAAAGACUCUUAUGAUUUUUCAAAAGAGUUGGACUAUUGGCACCCCUUCAUUAAUCUUAUAAAACCCCUAUUAUAUUACAAUUACAUUUAAAAACAAAUAUAAGUAGGACUAACCCCAUUUGCAUUUUAUUUCUCUCUUCAAUAUUAUUUUGCUUGCAAAAUAUAAAUUUUUUAUUAUAAUUAAAAUAAUAUGAAUUUAAGAAGUAAUCCUCUAAGUCAAAAGAAUAUUCUUAUAAUAUACCUAGCAACAAAAUUAGGAUGCAACAUAGUGGGAAAAUAAAUGAAAAAAAUUUAUCUCACUACAAAUAAUUUUUUAAGGAUUCUCAAACUAAUUGUUGCAUCCAAAGUUUAUAAGUACAAUAAAACUAUAUUAGACGCAUAAAAUAUUCAUUAUUUUCUAAAGUUUUUCUUACUUUUUCUUUUAGAUUAUUUUUCUUUACAAAUCAAAUAAUAAAGAAAGUUUGAUGAGAAAAACAAUUAUUAAGACUGAAAAAGAUGAAAUUAGAAAUUGUAAGAUCUAUGAAUGAAGAUAGUGUUUAUUUAAAAAAAUAGUAUUUUUAUCAUUAAGUGAAAUAUAAUUAAAAUAGGUGUGGUAAUAGUUCGACUUUUUCAGAAUUUAAAUAAUAUCAAUGCAAAAAGUUGAUUGCAGAUAACUUGUGGUUUGGUUCAGUUUUCAGUUUUGACUAAUUGAAAAGAUCGAAUAAAAAUGGAAUCGAACCCGAACCACAUAGUUCGCUAUUUCGAUUUAUCUUCUUAUUUUUAUUUUCUUUUACUAAAAUAGUGACACAAAGUUUGAUAUUUCGUUUCUAAAAAUUGUGUCGAAAACCAAAAUGAAUUUUGGGUUUUAAUAAAAAAAAUUCGGAAGCUAAAUGUAACUGAUGAAAACUAUAUCGGUGGCUCUUUUUAAUUCGGUUUGGUUUUGCCUAACCCUAAAUAUAUGCUCUUUUUUUUUUUUUUGCCCUUUAUACAAAAAUUAGGAUUCCCUUGCAAUACUAUUCUCUCGUAUUACAAUAAAGUUCAAAUUUUGUUACUUCUUAGUUUAUAUUGUUGUUUGAACUCCCCCUUACUAGAACAAAUUCCUGACUAAAGCUGCAGAAAAACAGAAAAAAGAAAUCUGUAUGUUACCUCUCAAUGCGAUUCUUGAGCUUUAACAAGAACUUCUCAUUAUCAACUUCAGGGACCGUCACUAAUUUAUUGAUCAACCUUUGUCUUUCUUGCGGUCCAAGAUUAGAAACGUCAACUUCAAAAGCUUCUCCUUGUGAAGUAGUAAGUAGCCCUUUCUUCAAACGAUUAUAAGUGGGCAAUUUCUCAAUAGCAGCCCAUUUUAAAGCCUCCUCGUCAUCUUCUUCCCUAGAAGACCUCGAAAAUGCACCCAUAGAGCUUGUUCUCCAUCUAGAAAUACUCCUUGGCAGACUAGUACUGGCCAUGUAGAUAUCAUUAUUGCCCUCCAUUGCAACUCAAACUGAUCAACCAGUACUGCUGAAACCAACCAAAGGGUCCAAAACCCACAAGUUAUAUCUUUCUUUCUUUCGUUGAAUUCAAUAGAGAGAAAUUCCAGCACAGAAAUAUUGUGUGUUAAUAAUUAGUUAAUUUGACAGAGCAGUGUCCACUCUUACUGUUAAUGGAGUGAUACAUCAACUUAGUAUAUAUUUAUAUAUACUUCAUCUAACAGCAUAAAUGGACCGCCAUACGGCAGUGGUGGCUAUGAGAUUCCUCAAGGGUUGGCAUAAUCAUGUAAACCAUUUUGCAUAAUUUUUAUAUUUUUUUUGAAUAUUUAGCUUUUUAACACGUUUUUAAUAUAUUGUCUAGAAACUUUGUAGCACUACCUACUUAAACUCUUAUCAAUUUCAUUUAAAAUAUAACAAAAUGAUUUUAAGAAAUGAAAAGUAUAAUGUAGUUCUAUUGAAUAAAACGUAGGUCACUACAAUAUAAUUAAUCAAAUAAUUAUUCGUGUCAGAAAUUUUAAACCCGACACGAAUAUCAAACAAGCAACCUGAACCAAAAAUUUGUAAUCGUGUCAAGUUUAACCAAUCCAGAGACAAAUUUAUUUUGUGUUCGUGGCAGGUUGGUGAAUCGUCAAAAAUUGCCACCUCUAACCAGACUUACAAAUUUCAGUUGAGGCCAAGGAGCAGAAUUGCGCGGUGUUGCAGCAGCCUCAUUGUGUCCUGGGUUAGCAUUGUUGAAGUCGUUGUUAAUAUCGUACUAUUUUGGGGAGCAGAAUCAAUCUUAUCUUUUGUCGACAAUCGUGAUCAAUUUACUCGAAAUAAUGUUUCUCGAACUCUUGUAAAAAGUCAGAAGUGUCAUUACAAUAAUUAAUUUUUCAAAUUUCAAUUUUUCUACUCAUAUAUUCUAGAAAAACGUAUUUGUAUAUAAUCUUUUUUUAGAAAAUUACAUGCGUCAGCCAUACAAACAUGAUGUUAUGACAUUGUGCAUUUAUUUGAGAACACCACUAUACAAGUGAUGGUUAUAUUAAAUUCAAUUACACAUAUCAUACAUGCAUUAGUUGGUUCAGGGCUAACAUUAGAAUUUUUGGAGUCUUAGGCCAAUUUUUUUGUGAGCCGUGAUUUUAUUCUGCAACUUCAAUACUCAAAGAAGUAUAAGAUCUUUUGCAUAACGUGCCAUGCAAGUUUUGGAUGAUUUUGGGCUGACAUUCGUGUACGCAGGAUGCGCGGGCGCACACGAGUUCAACCAAAUCGGUCUAGGAUUUGCACCCUCCCUGCGAACGCGCGUGUGGAGAGAGCCUCUAUGCUUAUUAUUUUUACUCAUGCAUGGUUAAGUGUUUGUAUAUAAAUACUAAUCCCUAGGCUUCUUUUUCGCAUGUGGGAUAAACCUAAUUUCCUUUCAAAUUUCUAACUUCAAGGGUGAACUUUGAGAGACAAUUUCUCAUUCACCCAAGUACCAUUUUUAGAAAAUAAAAUUACACUUUUGAAGUAUUAACGGAAUAGAAUCCGAACCUCACAAGAUUUCUCAAUUUCGCUAAGUGAGACCCACUCAAAAUGUGCCCUCAAAAUAGCAUAUAGACAUGCUAUUUUUCAACAAUUGCACCGUCCGUAGAGGUCUGGGUGUGACAAGAUUAUUACCCUAGGUACUUGUUUAGUGAUAGUUUUGACAUUUACUAUUUGAUAUUAUAAGUGUUAUGAUUUCUUUGAUUUUAUGCAGCAUUAUGUAUUGUUGUUAUAUCAGUACAUGAUUUAAUUUAAAUUAGUUUAUAUAAGUUCUUAUGAUAUUUGAUGAAAUUGCUUAGCGAAAAGAUUGAAUUUAUUUUUAAGUAAGAUUAUUUUUAAAAAAUAUUAUCCACUCACUGAGUUAACUGAGUUUUAUACUCACCCUUUUUAUUACACUUCGCUCUCCCCCCACAGGAUAUUUGCAAUUACAACAAUCAACCUAGCAAUGAUAGUUAUUUUGAAAUUAUAGCAGUGAUAGUGCUAGAAGUCGAGAUGUUUUUGUUGAGAUAUUUUAGAUUAUAUAAUUUUGGUAUAUUUUGUGAUUAAGUAUAAUCUAUUGUAUUUUGAUAUUAGAUGUUUGGAUGACAUUUGGUAUUUCAAUUAAGGAAAUUGGUUGUGAAUGUUGAUUGAAUAUUGAAUCCUAUUGGGAGUGUUCGUUUUAUAAAUUUGCAGGUUGAGAAUAUUAGAUUGAUAUGGGAGACUUUGCCCGAUUUUCAGUAGAAUUCUCAUUAAUAAGUUUAAUAUCAAUAUAGUUAAUCGCAACCAGAUAGACUCGCCCCAAAUGAUUCGGGACGAGUCGUGUCAAAGAUAUUUUACACAUUUCAAUAUUUUAAAAAAAUUUCAACUUCUAUUCUCAAAAGUCUAAAAUUUAAGUUUUGCUAGUAGAAACAAAAUAAUUUAUUUAAUCUUCAAAGACUCUACUCCAAAUAACAAUAAAAGCUUUAAAAUGAGCAAAUUAUAUAAACACCUAUAACCAUUAGAUAAGCCUUACCAAAAAAACCAAUUAAUCGUUACUAUUUAUUAAAUUAGGAUCAACAUUAAAACAAUAUUUAACGUCAAAUAUAAAUAUUGCAAAACCACUCGUUGGUUGAGCCGGUAAGUAGCGGAAACCUUAUUUUUUGUUCUUGAUGUCAAGGGUUUGAGUUUUUAUGCGUGUAUGUAGGAGCACACAUUUCUUCUUCUGUUUUCGAGUGGAUUUUUGGACCAGACUUUGAUACAUGUAUUGAGGUACAUCAUGACAAGCAUCGAGAUGGACUCUAGAUUUCAAGGUAAACUUCAACUUUUAUAACAUUACGAUAGGUUCUGGCAGGCACUGGGCUGGAAAAAUUUUGCUGGAUUUCAAGUCCCAACAAGAUUUUUGAUCCAUUUAUCAGUAUCUGAAAAAAAAAAAAAAUUCUAAACACAAGUACGAGACUAAUUAUAAUUUAAAAGUUCUACAUCUGGGUAAAAAUGAAGAAUUAAGUAUGUGUGUUUUGCUAUUUAUGGAAAGCAAUUUGGGUUUACAGGCUCACAGCACAUUCGAUUCAUUCUCUCCGCAGCUAUUGCUUCUUAAAUCUUGGUUGCUGAUCUUAUUAAUAAAGAAAUAGGAUAUUGGAAAGAUCGAUUUAUUAGACAAAACUUCAUGAUGGAGGAGGAUACAAUAAUGUCAACUGUGCGGCCUGACUUAUUUAAUUUUUUUUAACAAAGGAAAUCAAUAAUUUAGAUGCAAUUGGAAGAGCAAGAAUGUGGAUUUUCACAUGCUAAGUUACAAAUUUGUUGAUUUGACUUAGUUAAACAUGAUCCUUUUUAGUCACAUUAAUUAAUCACAGAUUUCUUUUAUUUAUUUUCUGCACACUACUAUUUUUAUUAUGAAGAAAGAAACAACAUUUGAAUAUCGAACAAAUAACAACCGCAGGCAAAAAGAGUAAACUUAUAAAAUGCAGAAAGGCUAGAUGUGCUGUCCCCUAAUAAAAAGAACUUGAUGUUAUUGCUAUAUGAAAACUGGGGGAAAAAGGUACCAACAGGUAAACUCAGGAAACUGAAAGACCGGGAUUAGUUAAGGCAUCUGCGACACGAUUCCUCCGUGUGCCUUAGAAUGUUUGAUAGCAGUACAUGUUCCAUUAAGCCAGACUUGAUCUUCAAAGCCAAAUCAAAUUCCUAUCGCCUCUGGAAAUUAAAUUGCUUAAUUCCUAGGGGAAAGAGAAUUCCAAAGAGCGCUGCAAAGGCAAUAAGAACACCUGCGACUGCUCCCAAAAAGCUAUGUUUGAAACCAUAAUAAUCUCUAAGAAAAUGUUUCACUGUUUCACCAGUUUCUAUUUUGUCCUCCACAUCCCCAUAUUGCGAAGCAAUCAAUCCAUACAGGGUCCAAGCUAUAGGGUUUGCCCAGUAGUACCAUCUCCACCAUAUUGGAAUCCUCUGUUGUUUGACAAGUUGAAAGAUGAGAAAAGAAUUAGUAGCAAAAUAUCUGUAAGUUAGAAAAAUCUAGCAUAUAAAAUUGAAAUGGGAAGACAAUUAAUACUUACGGGUCUUGGGAUAAUAAAUCCGGAAAAGAGGAGCCACAAUCCAAAAAAUAAAGUCGAAACAAUGGAAGCAAUGUGGUGGGUUGGUGUCACAGCCACAGCCGUCAUGCCAUAUAAGGUGAAGAACAAUAAUGCGAAGUACAUGUAGAAUAUAUACCAAAAGAACUUUGCAGCUGUCCAGUCAAAUGACAUCAUAGCAUACACUAUAGAACUGUAAAUUAAUGACUGAACAAACACAUAAGGAAUCUCAAUCAUAAUCUGCAGGAAAGAAAAUCAAAAAUCAAUAAUGAAACACAUUUCUUUUAACAUUUCAAAUAUACGUUUAAUGUGUCAAAUGAUUACUUGUGCUAAAGCCCAUGGAAUGCCCGAAAACAUGCCGGCGGCUACUUCUCUGUAAAAGACCAUCCUUUCAACAAAUACUACUGGCUGCACUGAUAUACAAUAUUCAAAGCCGAGGAAGAUAAGUGCAGUAAACAUGGAACCCAUUGCAUUAGACAGAUCUUGCCUCUUUUCCCUAUAAAUUGAAAAGUGAGAAUUAAGAACAAAGGCAGAUGAAACAAGAAGAAUUAUGAAUAACAUUUAAAUAUAAGCAGACAUCUAGUUGUAACUCACGUUUUACCACCCAAGUCCCAAAAAAUUGAACCCAGCAACAAUGCUAUAAAAGUAGUAAAAAGGAAUCUAACAGCAGUGUAUGCUGGAUUUCGCCAGUAUGACCAGUGUUGCUUCCAUAAGCAAGCCAUAAAUUGGGAGAAAGCUGACUGAGAGUACUGGGUAGCAAAAUGGAGGUCCUUUGAACCUGGAGCAGGCUUGCUUAAAUCUUCAAUGAGUAAUUUGUUUCUCCUGAUACAUAUCCAUACAUCAACGUUAAUUUUCAGUUAAACAAAUGCGUUGGCAGUGUUGAAUGGAUUUUGUUCUAUAGGCUAUGUUGCCUAGCAGCAAAUCGUAAACAUACCUACACAACUCUGAGCGUUUGUAAAUAUCACAAAAAUCAACCCCCAAAGCUACUUCUUGCGAUGAUGCCGAAACUUCCAGCAUCCAAGUUGCUGGAUUAUAACCAUCUUUAAUUUUCUCGACUCCAGGAAUUGCCUUGAAAAUGCAAAUACACAUGCAUUAACUAGUUUCAGAGUGAUAUUUAAGUAAGAAGAAUGAUAUUCAAGUUAGACUUCCGUUGUAAUAUGAAAGUGUGCAUCGGGACAUACUUCAAAAUAGCUGAUAAGAUGGCAAGAAUGGUGACCCAGUGGCCCAACAUAAACUUCACGUCCCCCGCGCUUCAUUAGGAAUAGCUGCAAUGCAUUGUUGAACCACUGUAAUCAGGAGACACUGGAGAAAAAUAAUUUUAUGCAAUUUUAAUCAAGAUUUCUUUCUUACCUCAUCAAAUGCUUCAAAUAUGUCAAUGCUUGGUUGAUGAAUGGUGCACACUACUGUUCUUCCAGUGUCCACUGUGUUUCUAACAGUUCUCAUAACAAUUGCAGCAGCCCUCGCAUCCAGCCCUGAGGUUGGCUCAUCCAUAAAUAUGAUGGACGGGUUAGCCACCAGCUCAACCGCGAUGGUAAGUCUCUUACGCUGCUCUGUUGACAGACCGUUUACACCAGGCAAACCAACCAGUGACUGUCUCAAUGGUUUCAGCUCCACAAGCUCCAUGACUUCCUCAAUAAACAUCUGUAAUUGAAGGGUAAAACUAAAAAUUGGUAUGACCAUUACCAAGAAUGUAUUUUGGGAAUCAACACUCCAGCUGAUUUCAGUACCAACCUUUCUGGUUUCAGAAUUAACUUCAGGUGGUAAACGUAGCCAGGCCGAAUAGAACAAGGACUCAUAUAUAGUAACAAAAGGAGAGUGGAUGUCAUUUUGCUCACAGUAUCCUGAAAUACGAGCAAACGUUUCUUGCUUCUUUGGGUAACCAGAUAUUCUUAUAUCCCCAGUAAUAUAUCCACCCGUUUUCCUGCCAGCCAAUACAUCCAUCAAAGUAGUUUUACCAGCACCACUGACACCCAUUAAAGCGGUUAGUACACCAGGCCGAAAAGCACCGCUCACACCAUUCAAAAGCACUAAUUUAUCUUCAGGAACUCCUUGAAGUUUCAUUUGCUGCAAAGUAAAAUCAAAUUAAUUGUUGAUCAUGCCAGGACAUACGUUGUAAUAAAACAAUAUAUUAUCGAACUCUCUAAAUAUUACCUAAUUAACUUUUAAAUUAAUAUUACCUGUGGCAUGUCAACGGAGUAUACAACCUCAUCAAAGGUAAGGGAAUAAGGUUCAAAUGGAAGAACCAUUCCUCUUUUCUUUGGAUGACUGGCCUCUGCUUCUGUAAGGGAUGAGGAGGAGUUUCUUUCCCUAUUGUCAUUUCCACUCUCUACGUGUUUAAAAUAAUUUUUAGCAUAAGAAGAAAGUUAAAAGAUAACUCGUUCUUUCUCAAAUGAAAUAGUUUUAUAACAUAAGCAUGUCUUGUAACUAGAACUACCUCCACAGUUUGAUAACUGAACAGUUCCUCCAAUUCUGUUAUCUUGCUCAUCACUUUCAAAUUCCUCUGUUAUUACAGCCCGAGGCUUCUCAAACUCUACAACAUAUUUUUGCAUGAAAUUAGGACAUAAAUUGACUGCUUUAGGAGUAAUAUAAGUGAACAAGGUAAAGGUACACACGGUUAAGGAAAGUAAGAGCCAAGGCGAAACCAAGGUUCAACAGUAGUAUGAAACCAAACAAAGCCCCUAAUCCAAGCCAAUACCAAUAUGCAUGGGCGAAGAACUCACGAGACUCCAAAACUUGAACUCCAAGCGAUUCAGUUGAAGUUGGAGUAAACUAUGAGAUGGAAAAUCACAGACAUGAGUAUGUCACUAACCAAAAAAAAAAAAACUCAAAUCUUUCAAAUAAUUACCUUUUUCCAACUGUGCCCAAGAAAUUCAUUUGCCAAAAUUGCAUUCUGUGCGUACAUCACAGGAGAACUCCAGUAAGCCCAUUUCCACCAUUUUUUAACUUCCUCUGGAGUAUGAAACAAAGAAAUUGUUAAAUUAUGAUAAAAGAAGCUAAUAUAGUCUCUUUUACUUGUACACUAUUUGUACCUCGUGAAAGGACGAAGCCUCCCAAAGCCAAAAGCACGAGUACUGCAAAUGAACCAAAAGUGUAAGCAACAACCAGGUUCCUGCCUAUUGCUCCAAGGAAUCUAAACAAUCCAGAAAUCAUCUGGUUAAAAGCCAAGAGGAGCAAGUACUGCUUAAAAAACCUGCAACAAGAAAAUCAUUAUAUAAACUAGAUGGAUAAAGAUAUCGUACAAUAAAAACUUCAGUAGUUACUAGAGAAUUUUGUUUGUUUUCUUUCUACCUUCCUGCAUUGGGAUCAUACCCAAUUACAUAAUAUGACAAGAAUACCCAAACAGCAGGCUCCAGAAACGAGAUAGGGAUCUUGAGGAUCCAUGAGGGAAUAGCAUAUGCCCAUGGAGGAAAGAAUUUGAAAUCUCUUUGCUUAUAGAAGACAGGAAGCUUUACUAUGGUCAUAGAAAUCUCUGCAAAUCCACUGAACAAGGCCAUCACAAUGGCGAAGAACAAGGCACCAGCAUAAAUUCCACCAUCAGUUACUGAAUCUUUGUGCAUCUUUGUUCUGAAGAAGAGUGUCAUAUAGACCAAUGUGAUAGAUCCGAUCUAAUAGCAGGGGAAAAAAUUAAUCAAUAAUCCUUAUCACAUAAAGAAAUGACUAAAACAACUAAAAAUUUAAGUUGAUACUUACUUGAAUGAGCUUGAAGAUGUAGACAAAUGAGUUCCUCUUCAUCAGCAAGAGUUCUCUUGAGGUGCAAGCUUUCAACAACUCCCUCUUGCCAACACCAUAAACUUCUGUGGUCAAAGCAGCUCGGUGGCUCUUGCUCUUAUCAAAUGGAGUCUGAAGCUCAUCAGAAAGUUUCUGUCCCACAUGGAAUGAUUGGAAUGCCGCAACGAAUUCCUGGACUUUAACAAACCUGUAUGGCCUGUCUUUAUGUGCCCAAUACUGCUCUUGAUCUUUCUUUGAUGUUACCUACAACAUAUUAUUUGUAAAGAUAAGCCACAGGAUGUUUAUUAAAAAUAUUAAGAAAAAGAAAUACUAUAGUAAGAGCUCUAUUAGCGUAUACUUCUUGCAAGAAGUCAGCCACGCCUUUCCUCUUGGGGCAUUUAAAGCCCAUAGAUUCAAAAAACUCUAGCACCAGUUCGCGGGGACCCUGGUAUACAAUCUGCCCAUCAGAUAGAAGGAUAAUAUCAUCAAAUAAAUUAUAAGUUUCUGGUGCUGGCUGUAGGAGAGAUAUCACAGCAGUUCCACUAUUGAUGUGAAUAUUUUGCUUGAAACAAUUAACAAUCUGGAAAGUCGUUGAGCUGUCCAAACCAGUGGAAAUCUCAUCCAUAAAUAGUGCCAACGCUGGACCAACCAUCAUUUCACCUAUAAUUUGAAAUACAAAUUGUAAUUUGUUUGAAUAAAAAGAGAAUUUUUUUUGAAAUCAUUGUGAACAAUAUAAAUGAAUUUAUAGAGUUAUGUAUUUACCAGUUGUGACACGCUUUUUUUGUCCUCCUGAUACACCUCUUCUCAUUUCAUCCCCUACCAUGGUAUCUGCACAGAUAUCCAGUCCCAGAACCUAUAUAUUUAUGAUGAAAACAUUCAAACAAGUGACUUUAGUUAUUAUUCUUGAGAAAAAUUCACUAUUAGUUUAUAGGGUGAUUCAUAAUAAUGAUACCUUUAGAUAAUAAUCAGUUAUCACAUUGGCUUCUUCGCCUUCAGUUGAUGCUGCCUGAGACAUGAGAAUUCACAGAAAAAUAUAUGAUAUUCAAUCACCAAGAGUUCAAAUCUAUCUUAUAAGGUUGAUUCUGAUGCAACUCUAUUUUCUAGUGGGGAAAGGUAAAAUACCAAGCUUAAAACUGAUCUAAUUCAAGAAAAUGUCAUAAAGAGUUGAACAUCAAUGUUCAAGUACAAUGAUUUUAAGCCAUAGAAACACCUGACUGAAGCCCAGGAUUAAAACUGAAAACACAUCUUUCUCCAAAUUUUAUUAUUAAAUAUUUUUUCUUCCCGGAAUCAAUUUGGUUACAGAUCCUUCAAACAGUCUUCAGCUUCUCUUACCUUCAUGAAGACAUCAAUAUCAGGAUCAGGCUUGAUACCUGCUGCCUUCUCUCUUCUGGAUAACUCAGUUAACAUUUCUGCAUUUCCCAAACUCAAAGACAUUUAAUGCUUACACCAUAUCAAAAAAAUUGCAUGCUACCGUCUGAAUUCUAUAGUUGAACAAAGCUAAAAUAAAAGAAGUAAAGAAAUAAAAGAAAAUAUCAGAAACCUACCGUAACGAGUUCCAACCCCCUGGCAUCUAGCAGCGAAGGCCAAGGUUUCCCUCACAGUCAUUUCGCCUAUAUGAUUAUCAUGUUGACUGAUGUAAGCAGCUGUUCUCUCAGGCACAAACUCAUCCAUGUUGUGUCCAUUAUAUGUCACCCUACCAGAAACCUAUAAAGAGACAUUUCGAUUCUCCAAUCAGAGAUAAAACCAAAGUGUGAACUUUACAAUGCUAAAAGCCAAACCCCUCUAAAAUAAUUAGAGCUUUUAACUAUAUAAUCACCUUUAGACUAGGAUCAAGUUUCCCGGCCAAUGCCAACAACAAAGUGGUCUUUCCAGAACUUGGGGGACCCAAAAGCAACGUCAAUCUGCAACAAAAGAAAAAAGCACAAUUUGUUAUUACUACCAACAGAAUAUUCAAUGACAAACAAUAGGAAUUCGAUUCUCACCUGCCUGGCUUUACGAUUCCACUGACGUCCUUGAGGAUUGUCAAGUGUUUCUUUGUACUCGGAAGAAUGUGGAGAUAGUUCAACAAAUCCUUCAAGCGCAUACAAAAUAUUAAAAUUCGGGCCGAGAAAUUAACAAAUUACAAUUAAAUUUUAAACAAUUCGUGAUAUAUAUUGGAAGAGUAAUGCUACCUCAAAGAUGGUGGUAAAGAAUUUAGUGAAUGAUGGCAAGGCUUUACUUGCUAAAAAUGCUUCUGCUUCAAUAGUCAAAUGUUCAAAUCGAACUUCCACUGUUGGAAGCACUAUUCCAACUCUGAGACGAAUAUAAUCAAAGAAAAAUGAAAAAUCAGAAUUUUCUUUUAAACAGAAUUUUAUUAAAAUGACUCCAUAUCAAGUUUACUAAAAGCAUGGUUCAGAUUUCUGUUCUUAGUAAUUUUGAAGAAUAUUUAGUUCAGUGAGGGAGAUUUUUUUCCCUACCCAAGUUUAUAAUUGUGAAGGAAAUAAAGUCCCAACUUUUGCUGAGAAGAGGGCGCCGAGCGGAAAAUCAGAAAUGAAUUAGGCAGUCAACAUACUACUUACUAAACCCAACUGUUGGGAACAUUUGAUAGAAACAUCAGCAGUAGCCGUAAACAAAGUUCAUGCAUGCACACCCGAGCUCGAGUUUUAACAGAGAGUAAAAAUUGAUUUUUAGUGGCUGUAAAAGUUGGUAGUGUUUGGUGAAACACUCAAGCUGAAAGAUUUUUAGCGGGUACAGGGCAGCGGAUGAGAGAGAUGGGCUGUGAUUUUGUGCAGCCUCGCUCCCUUCUCAUUUUUCAAAAUUUUAAGUAAUAUUUGACCACCAGGAAUACGACCAACAUUACUAUUUAAUAUGUUAAAGUGCCACUGUAACUAUCUAUUUCUGUCUUGGUAGUGUCUUAUGGUGUUCAAAUAUCAAUGCUCUUUAAAUAAUAUUAAAAUAAAGCAUGUGAAUAUUAAUUUAUCCAAAAAUGUCCUUUCUCUAUAUAUAGCUUAAUUAUUGUAAUAUAAAUAAUAUGACUUGAAAGAAGGGUAAAUUAAGGUUUAGUUCUAGUGGUUAGAAUAAGUCUUCUUAAGGCUCGAGUCCAGGAUUUGAGCUUGAUGAAUGCUUGAGUUAUUAAUGUAAAAAAAAAAAAAAAUUAGAGAAGAGAACAAAAAUAAUAGAUAAGCUUAUUACCUCUCAAUACGAUUCUUGAGCUUUAACAAGAACUUCUCAUUAUCAACUUCAGUGACUGUCACCAACUUAUUGAUCAACCUCUGCCUUUCUUGGAGUCCAAGAUUAGAAACAUCAACUUCAAAAGCUUCACCUUGUGAAGUAGUUAGUAACCCUUUCUUCAAACGAUUGUAAGUAGGCAAUUUCUCAAUAGCAGCCCAUUUUAAAGCCUCCUCGUCAUCUUCUUCCCUUGAAGACAUCGAAAAUGCACCCACUGAACCUGUUCUCCAUCUAGAAUGACUCCUAUGCGAAGUAGUACUGGCCAGGUAAAUUUCAUGGCUCUCCUCCAUUGCAACUCGGAAUGAUCAGUCAGUGAUGAAAACAACGAAAACCAGCAGGUGCUUUUCUCUCUUUUAUUGAAUUCGACAAAGAGAAAUUCAAGCUCAAAAAUAUUGUGUAUCAGCUAAUUUGACUGAGCAAUGUUAUCUCUUACUAUAAAUGGCAUGGCGUAUCAAGUCAGCAUAUGUUUAUAUAUUUCAUCCUGUCAUCGAGAAGCACAAAUGGACCGGCAUAUGGCAGCGUCGGCUGUAAUCAUAAAAUAAUCAUGUAGCGCAUUUAACAUAACUUUUAUAUUUUUUUGAGAACUACCUUUUGAACAUGUUUUUAAUAUACUUUCUGGAAAUUUUAAUUUGUAGUGCUGCCUAUUUAAAUUCUAAUCAAUUUCAUUUAAAAUAUAAUCAAAUGAUUUAAAAAAUGAAAAAUAAAAUGCAGUUUUGUUGAAUAAGAAAUAAGUCUUUACAAAUUUAUAUUUCUUUGAGAACUACCUUUUGAACAUGUUUUUAAUAUAUUUUCUGGAAAUUUUAAUUUGUAGUACUGCCUAUUUAAAUUCUAAUCAAUUUCAUUUAAAAUAAAAUCAAAUGAUUUAAAGAAUGAAAAAUAAAAUGCAGUUUUGUUGAAUAAGAAAUAAGUCUUUACAAAUUAAAAAAAAAAGAAUUACAGAUAAAUCACUAUAAUAUAAUUAAUCCGAUAAUUAUUCGUGUCAUAAAUGAAUUAUAAAUGGUGUCAGAAACUUUAGACUUGAACCGACUCAAUUAUUAAACAGGGAACCUUAGCUUAAAAUUAAUAACCACAUCAAUUUUGAGCGAUUAGAAGUUGAAUUGUGCGGUGUUGCAUCAACCCCAUUGCGUCCUGUGUUAACAUUGUUCAAGUUAUUGUUAACAUCGCCCUUGCAUCGCCAUCAACAACCGGAGUGAGGAUUAAAAGUGAUUUUGAAUAUUAAAAAUUAAUUUUAAUGUUUUGUAAUUUUUUUUAAAAGUUAUUUUUGUCAAAUUAAUUCUAUUUUAAAGCAAAUUUUGUAAAGUAAGAAAUGAGUAAUUUUUCAAAAUCUAAUUUUGAGAAUUAGUUUUAUAUUUAAUACAAUUCCAAAUAUUUUCACAUAUUUAUUAUAGAACCCAGAAAUUAUUCUUAUUCAAAUUAGGAAAUAAAAUCAUUAAAUUUAAAGAGAUUAUUAUUAUUAUUACUAAUUUAUAUUUGAGAUAACAAAAUAAAAGAAAUAAAAUUAAUAACACAAAAAAAUUUUAGUUAGCAAUUAUUAUAUAUACAAAAUAAAAAAAUUUCUUUCUCUCUCUCUCUCUCUCUCUCUCUCUAUAUAUAUAUAUAGAAAAUAUUACAUUGUUACAGUAACUUAACACUAAGAUUUAUCAAACACAUACAAUUGAUUUUAAAACUUACAGUAUUUUUAAAAAUAAAUUAUAGUAAACAUUUAAUUGAUUCUGUUUAUAAUCGAUUAUUUUUACAAUACAUCAAUUAUUUUAAAAGGCAUAGCAUUACUAAAUUAUUACUUAUUCAAAAUGUGUGGGCUUUGUCUUGGUUUAACAAAGUUUGGUAACGAGAGAGGGAUUUGGUUACUCAUCUUAACCUUACACCAUCUUUAUGCAUAUCUACUAAGGGUUCCAUCUUAGGUUCCAUUUAGUGUUGACCUAUUUGAUAUUGUUGUGUAGUGGUUUAGAAGGCACAAUUGUUGUGGAAAUGUCGUAGUUGUGAAAUAAAGAUUGAUUGUGUGCUUAAACAAGAUUUGGUUACUCAUUGUAAUCUUACACUGUCUUUAUGCAUAACUACUAAGGUUUCCAUCUUAGGUUCUGAUUGGUAUUGGCCUAUUUGAUAUUGUUGUGUAGUGGCUUACAAGCCACAAUUGCUAUGGAAAUGUUAUAGUUGUGAAAUAAAGAUUGAUUAUGUGCUUGAAUAAUAUUUUUUAAAAAAAUGGUUAAAAUAUUAUAGGUUUUUCAUCAUAUAAACAUAAAAUAAAAAUUAACUUAUCUUCUGAAGCACAUCAUCAACCUAUCAAGUGCUAGAACUGUAACUUUUAAAUUACAACAGCCCAUUCUUAUUACUAAACUAGCUAUUUACAUCUCUAUAGUUUGGUGUAAUAAAUCAUUAUAUUGUUAUAGUUUAUAAAAUCCCUCAAACAUCCCUCUUUCUCAAAUCUUUUAUUAUUUUUCAAUUUUACCGUUAAUGAAUACAGAAAAGUCUAAUAAAUGAAAAAAAAUGUAUAAAAAAUAAUAAUAAUUUUUAAAUUUUCAAUGUUAAUUUGUAAGGGAAUUAAAAAUUUUAUCAAUUAUUUUAACUUAUUAUUGUAUAUAAUAGUUGUGAACUUGUUAUUUCUUUUCAAAUUAAUUUUUUUGUAUGUUCAUAUAUUAAUCAAUACAAAAUUCUAUUAGAAGAAACAUUUAAAUUAUUUUUUAUUUUCAUUUGAAAAUUUAAAUAAAUAAAAGUAGUAUUCCUAAUCAGAUAUUUAUUUCCAUUUGUAUUCAAUGUUUUUCCGUAGUAGGAAAUAUGUUUUACAUGAAUAAUAAUUAUAAUGUUAAAUUGAAUAAAAGAGAAAAUCUUUUUUGAUUAUUAAUCAUUCUUAGUUUACUUUGGGGAAUAAACUUUAUUAUAUCUCCUCUAACAAGAUGUCAUAAUUAUUUUUUAUUACAUUAAAUUUUCCAUUGUUCCGCCAAAUUUUAUUUAAAAGUCUUUAUUUUACAUUUAAUCAUACGUGAAAGAUGAAUUGCACUUGCAAAUUUUGCGCAUUUAAAGCGAAGAGGAUAUUUACACCCCCAAGAUUUAAAAAAAAUAAUUAUCAAUUCCCCCAAGUUUUUAAAAAGAAACACAAAGACUCCCUUUUUACUAUAAUCUAUUAUCCUAAAAAAAUUGACUUUAAAAUUUUUUAACGAAUACAAAUAUUAUAUAAAUAAUGUAAUCUAUACAAUAGACUAACAAUAUUAAAAUUUUUAAUUUUUUAAUAAAUUUAAAUAUGUAAAUUAUUAUAUUUAUUUUAAUAUUAUUUUAUUUACUGUAGAGAUUUUAAAUAAAUAUUUGUAUUAAAUACAUUUUACAGUUUAAAAAAAUCUCAAAUAAUAAUAAUGUUGAAAUUAUUAUUUUACAUAAUAUUCAAAAUAAUUUAAAUCUAAUACAUUCAUUUUAAUAUUGUGUUUCUAUUUAUUAUAAAAUUUACUUUAAUAUAACAAACUAUAUCUAAUCGGUUUUGUAAAAUAUUAAAAUAUCUUUUAUAUAUUGAAAUUAUUUUAAAAUGUAUAUAUUAUUACAUUUAUUUUAAUUUUAUAUUUCUAUUUAUUAUAAAAUAUUAAAGUUAAUUUUUUUAGGAUACUAAAAGUAAAAGAUAUUAUGGUCAAAAGGGAGUCUUAGUAUCUAUUUUUUAAAAUGGGAUGAUGGCGACUAUAUCUCCAAUUUUAGAGUGUUGAUAUGCUUUUCUCAUGUUUAAAUGCAUACAAAAUCUUUAUCUUAUAUUUUUGUCAUUAAAACGUCCAAAACUCAUUGACAUCUCUAGAUUCGUUUUCAUCAAUGUCAAGUGUGAAAAAGCGGAGCACGGGAGAAGCGUUACUAGUCGCAAAAAAGUCAAUCGUGCAAUUUUGACAAAAAUUUCGUUAACUUUCGAGAGAGCUUAACACGUUUUAAAAUAAAAGGGUGUUAAAGGUGAAAUCGGGGGAAAAGAAAAAUGAGUUUAGUGUUCCUCUUGUUAGACCAAAAAACGGAACGGAUCAACUAAAGUGUAAAUAAAUAUGGCCCAACAACGUCUAAGAAUAAAUUAAUAAAAAAUCUUAGAAUAAAUAUCUUAUGUUCUUAAGAUUUUGGAUCCUAGAACAAAAGUGUAACGUGUCAAAUCUAACAUGUGUUGAGUACAUGGUGUUAAGUAAAUAAAAGCACCAGGUCGGCCAUGUUGCUAUUUCCGCCCCGGCAUGGAUCACCUCAGCCAAAUUGUAUGAGCAGAACACGAGGAUAAACAUGAGCUAACCAGAGGUGAGGACCGGCCAGGGUAAUAUACCGACCAGAGUUAUAUACCGAGCCGAUACCAAUCCCCCAAAAAGCGGGAACACGAUCCCACAGAAUCACGGUAGUUACGCUUUUCUCAGAACCGUUGCGGGAGACGCAAGAUCCCACGUUUGCCCACAAUGUAGCAGUUAAAGUCCCAUGAGGGGCUGCCACUACCCGGAGAAGGGGGGAUGAAGGGUAAAGGAAAACGUGGGACAGCGGCUAUAAAGGAAGAAGAAAUCGAUGAAGAAAGGGGACAGAAAAAUUGAGAGAGGGAAAACGCUGCCAAAUUGCAAUCAGACCUUUUUUCUUACAAAAUUCGAAUAAAUUAGAAACCAUUCUUGAAUCCAAAUUGCGCUGUUUUUUCGUAAACACCUUGUGCUAACUUAGGCAUCGGAGGGUUUACGCUGGCAAAACCACCGGCGUCUCUAAUCCGUUUUUGGUGAACGCAGGUCUAGUAAGAGAAAGGAGGGCGAUUCCAACCCCAGUGGUUCGAGCAACAACUGAUAACACAAACGUUGGUGAAAGAAUCCGGUCGGUCCAAGGGCGAGCAGAUUUAAGCAUCAACAUUUUGGCGCCGUCUGUGGGGAGCUGGAUAAAAAGCUACCACCGAAUUAGUAGUUACCGAAGAAACAGCGAACGAUUAGAUAUGGAUGUGCCAAGGAAUGACGCUUUGAGGGAGGAUAACGAAGCUGGGGAGACAAUCACUCUUCGGGAAAUUACAAAUGAAGCCCGGGAGAGGAUGAUGCAAGAUCGAUUAGAGCGGAUGGAGAAACAAAUGGAGACUCUCGCGACCAUAUUGCACGAGCUGAGGGAUGAGCGGAGAAGGGAUUGUGAAACCCCCGUGGGAAGAGAUGAUGUUGGAGCAGAACUAAGCCUCCGGAGGCGUAGAGUCGAGGAAAUCCCUCUGCCGGCAGACCAAACUAACGGGGUGCAUCCCCACAGAAGCACUGGUCGGGUUUCAGGAGAACGAAUAGAUGAAGGGAGGGACCAACCUCUCCCCGGACGGGUACUGGAAGUCAAUGGCCGAGGGGGCAGUGUUGAUGAAGGAGAGCUCAGACAGCGGUUGCACAAUGUCGAGCUAGAACGAGACCAGAUAGCUACACGUGAUCCUGACCGUGCAGUAGAAUUGGAGGGGGAGGUACGCAGACUGGCGGAGGUGAUGGAGGAGAUACAGGGCAAGAGAAAGCCCUCGAGCUGGAGGAUAAUGCUGGAUAAAGAAUCCCCGUUAUCAAUGGAGAUCAUGGGUACAGUAAUCCCAAGAGAUUUUUGCCUCCCCGACCUCAAAUACUCCGGUCGAAAUAACCCGCUGGUGCAUAUUGAGCGUUUAAACGACAUGACGGGGGUGCAGGGGUUGACACCAGCUCAGAGGUGCAGGGUGUUCCCAUUGACACUCGAGGGACGAGCCCGAGAAUGGUACCGCAAGCUGCCCCCAGGAGGUAUAAAAUGUUACAAGCACAUGUGCCAAGAGUUGGCCAAACAGUUCCGAUGAGCAGUAGCCCCAGAGGACGACAUGAUGGAACUGAUGGGGAUGAAACAGGAGGAGCAUGAGUCCCUCCGGGAUUUUGUAAAGCGAUAUCACCAGGCCGUGCUAGAUUUGGGAGCUUUUAAUCACCCACAGGCGUUGAGGGGAUUAAAAGAAGGUGUAAAAAUCGGUGGAUUGUGGUAUAACUUAAGAAGCCCCCUAGUGCAGAAUUAUUCGGCGGGGCACGAACAGGUGAGGCGAGAUAUAGAAAUCGAAGAGGAGAAAUCGGCAAUGAUAAAGAGUGAAUAGCUGGAAGAGCUGAGGCGAAAAGAACAGAGAGCCCCAAACGGGAGCGGAUCGGGAAAGCGAGCUGAGGAAUCCUCCGUUAUGGGCGGAAUAUCAACUCGAUCCCGCCCUUACCCCGUAGCUCAGAGAUCCCAACAGUUCCAACCUCCGCGCACCUCGUUCCCGGAGCGGCAACGAGAAUUCAGGCGGAUGGCUGCCCACCCUUAUCACAACACUCCCAGAGCGUUACAUGCAAAUGGUUCCAGGGCUGGACAACCAGAUCAGCUAGUGACUAUACCAGCCCGAGAUGGCAUUCAGGAUAGCCGAGCAGUUCAGCUGAUAGACCAGAGCUUGGCAUAUAGACAGUACACUCCAUUGAAGAUCUCCAUGGAGGAAUUGUAUGAGAGGAUCGAAGGACGAGGCCAGCCCCUAUAACAAAAUCGGCUCACCGACGGGAUAAGAGUAGAUUCUGCAAAUUCCACGACACUCAUGGUCACACUAUCAGCCAAUGUCGUGACCUGAAGAUUCAGGUGGAGGAUUUAGUGAGGAACCGAUACUUGGAUAAGUAUGUAGAUGGAGUGUCCCCUGUUAUUGAAUCACAAUACACGCAGGAUGAAGGAGUUGAAAGGGGUCUGGAACGUGAACAGCCGACCAUCCGUGUGAUAGCAGGAGGGCCAACAUUGGCCGGGGAUUCGAACAGAGCACGGAAGAACUACGAGAGAUACGCCAUGACUAGCAAAGAAGUGCUUUUCAAUUUGCAAGCAGCCAAGAAGACAAAAUUACUGUAAGUUCCCAUUAUAUGGACAGNNNNNNNNNNNNNNNNNNNNNNNNNNNNNNNNNNNNNNNNNNNNNNNNNNNNNNNNNNNNNNNNNNNNNNNNNNNNNNNNNNNNNNNNNNNNNNNNNNNNNNNNNNNNNNNNNNNNNNNNNNNNNNNNNNNNNNNNNNNNNNNNNNNNNNNNNNNNNNNNNNNNNNNNNNNNNNNNNNNNNNNNNNNNNNNNNNNNNNNNNNNNNNNNNNNNNNNNNNNNNNNNNNNNNNNNNNNNNNNNNNNNNNNNNNNNNNNNNNNNNNNNNNNNNNNNNNNNNNNNNNNNNNNNNNNNNNNNNNNNNNNNNNNNNNNNNNNNNNNNNNNNNNNNNNNNNNNNNNNNNNNNNNNNNNNNNNNNNNNNNNNNNNNNNNNNNNNNNNNNNNNNNNNNNNNNNNNNNNNNNNNNNNNNNNNNNNNNNNNNNNNNNNNNNNNNNNNNNNNNNNNNNNNNNNNNNNNNNNNNNNNNNNNNNNNNNNNNNNNNNNNNNNNNNNNNNNNNNNNNNNNNNNNNNNNNNNNNNNNNNNNNNNNNNNNNNNNNNNNNNNNNNNNNNNNNNNNNNNNNNNNNNNNNNNNNNNNNNNNNNNNNNNNNNNNNNNNNNNNNNNNNNNNNNNNNNNNNNNNNNNNNNNNNNNNNNNNNNNNNNNNNNNNNNNNNNNNNNNNNNNNNNNNNNNNNNNNNNNNNNNNNNNNNNNNNNNNNNNNNNNNNNNNNNNNNNNNNNNNNNNNNNNNNNNNNNNNNNNNNNNNNNNNNNNNNNNNNNNNNNNNNNNNNNNNNNNNNNNNNNNNNNNNNNNNNNNNNNNNNNNNNNNNNNNNNNNNNNNNNNNNNNNNNNNNNNNNNNNNNNNNNNNNNNNNNNNNNNNNNNNNNNNNNNNNNNNNNNNNNNNNNNNNNNNNNNNNNNNNNNNNNNNNNNNNNNNNNNNNNNNNNNNNNNNNNNNNNNNNNNNNNNNNNNNNNNNNNNNNNNNNNNNNNNNNNNNNNNNNNNNNNNNNNNNNNNNNNNNNNNNNNNNNNNNNNNNNNNNNNNNAUGAGAGGGUAUCUUAUAUCCUCAUGAGGAUGCACUGGUGAUCAAGGCAAUGGUGGCUGGUACAGAAUUGCGACGAAUACUAGUGGUAGACACGGGCAGCUCGGUUGACAUCUUGUUUAAGUCGGCCCUAUAUGAUAUGGGAAUUGCAGACUUAAAAUUAGAACGGACAAAUACAUCCUUAAAGGGAUUUGGAGGGGGACGGCUAACUCCCAUGGGGAUCAUCGAACUCCCAAUUACUGUGGGGACAAAGCCGUUUGAAAGAACGAUGAUGCUGAAUUUUAUCGUGGUAGAGGAAAGAAGCUCUUAUCAGAUGAUACUGGGGAGACCCUUCAUGAGGAUAAGCCAAUGCGUUGUAUCUACGCAUUAUCUGGUACUAAAAUACAGAGUAAACAGAGUGGUUGGCGUUGUAAAAGGCGACCAGAGGAUGGCAAGGAGUUGUUAUGCUACAGUGGCCAAGGAGACACUACAGGUUACUUCUCUAGAUAAUCGAGGAGAGUCUAAAAAGGGCCGCCAAGAGCCUGUUGAGAAACUGGAAGAAGUUGCGGUAAGCAAAAAUAACCCGAGCAGAGUGGUGAAUAUCGGAUCAGGAUUGGUUGGGGCAGUAAAAGGCGAGCUGGUAAAUUGCUUACAGUCUCAUGCAGAUAUAUUCGCCUGGUUUCACGAGGAUAUGCCAGGAAUUGAUCGCGGGGUAGCCUGCCACAAGUUGGCAAUCAAGGAGGGGGCGAGACCGGUGAGACAGAAGAUGAGAUGCUUUAACCAGGAAAGGUACGAGGCCAUAAACGCCGAGGUGGAGAAACUGUUGAAAGCAGGGUUUAUAAGGGAGGCUAGGUACCCAGAGUGGAUUUCCAAUGUAGUAUUGGUAAAGAAGGCCAACGGGAAAUGGAGAAUGUGUGUGGAUUUCACAGAUCUUAAUAAGGCAUGCCCGAAGGACAGUUUUCCCCUACCAAAGAUAGAUCAAUUGGUGGACUCAACAGCGGGUCACAGUCUGCUCAGCUUCAUGGAUGCGUUUUCAGGAUACAACCAGAUACCCAUGGACGAGCCGGAUGAGGAAAACACCACUUUUAUAACUAACAUGGGUUUGUUUUGCUACAGGGUGAUGCCUUUUGGCCUGAAAAAUGCAUGAGCUACUUAUCAAAGGUUAAUGAACAAGAUCUUCAAGCCCUUGAUCGGUCAUACUAUGGAGGUAUAUGUGGACGAUAUGAUAACAAAGUCCAGAGAACCGAGGGAUCACGUGAAACACUUGGAAGAAACCUUUGAAUUACUGAGGAAGUAUGAAAUGAAGCUAAACCCGGAGAAAUGUGCUUUUGGGGUCAACUCGGGCAAAUUUUUGGGAUUCCUAGUGAGCCACCGAGGGAUCGAGGCCAACCCGAAGAAAAUACGGGCAGUAACAGAAAUGAGAUCCCCCCGAACAGUUAAGGAGGUGCAGAGCCUUACAGGGAAAGUGGCAGUAUUGAACCGAUUCAUCUCGCGGGCCACGGAUAAAUGCCACCAUUUCUUCCAAACCAUAAAGAAAUGGAGGAAGAUGGAGUGGACAUCAGAAUGUGAUGAGGCGUUUGGGCAGCUGAAGGAGUAUCUAGCCCAUGCCCCGUUACUAUCAACUCCGAGUGAGAGUGAAGGUGACCGGCUGUUUUUGUACUUGGCUAUCUCAAAAUGGGCUACCAGCUCAGUGUUAGUCCGAGAAGAAGAAGGGAAGCAACACCCCGUGUAUUACACUAGUAAAGCCCUGGUAGACGCAGAAAUUAGGUACCCAUUGAUGGAGAAAUGGGCAUUGGCGUUAAUAACAGCAGCACGAAAACUGCGACCAUAUUUUCAGGCCCACCAGAUAAUUGUGAUGACUGACCAGCCUCUUCGGCAAAUGCUCCAAAAACCAGAUGCAUCAGGGCGGUUAGUGAAGUGAUCCGUGGAACUGAGCGAAUUCGACCUAUCCUACAGGCCCCGAGGAGCAAUCAAGGCCCAAGCCCUGGCUGAUUUUAUAGUUGACUGUGUUGAACCAGGGGAAGAGGUUCAAAAGGGACAACCAGCAGAGCAGGAGGAUAAAAAAGGGGUAUGGCUGGUAAUGGUUGAUGGAUCACGUGGUGAACAUGGAUCCGAGGCAGGAGUUAUAAUACGAAGUCCAGAAGGUGUCGAGGUAUCAUAUGCUGUAAAGUUCGAGUUCCAGCUUACGAACAACCAAGCUGAAUAUGAGGCCUUCAUUAUUGGGCUCGGUCUUGCACAUGCACUACGGGCAGAAAGAGUAGAAAUCCGAGCAGAUUCCCAGCUAGUAUGUAACCAGCUCAGCAAUCAAUUCCAAGUAAGGGAAGAGAAAUUGGGGCUUUAUUUGAAGAAGGCGAAGCAAAGGGUUGAACUCUUCAAUAAGGUAGAGGUGAAGCAGAUAUCCCGAAAUGAAAAUUACCGAGCUGAUAUGUUGGCUAGAAUGGCUGCAACUGGAGAUCUGAAAUUACCUAAGUUAGUCCCACUGGAGGUAAGAACCUUGCCAAGUAUAGGGGAGGAAGUAGAAGUGAUGAGAGUAAGCACUGGAGAAUCCUGGAUAGACCCGAUUCGCGCAUAUGUCCGCGAUGGAGUUUUACCAGGGGACAAAAGGCAAGCAAGAAAAUUAAAAUGCCGAGCAGCGAGGUACACGCUACUAGAUGAGGUGCUGUACUGCCGAGGGUUCACCUUGCCCCUUUUGAGAUGUUUAGAUGAGGAGGAGGCAGAUUAUGUACUAAGGGAGAUUCAUGAAGGAAUAUGCGACAAUCACUCGGGAGCAAGAACUUUAGCCUUCAAGGCACUCCGCCAAGGAUACUUCUGGCCGACCAUGCAUCAGGAUGCGAAAAGGAUGGCAAAUAACUGUAAAACCUGCCAAAGCUUCUCUGAAAUUCCUGCACAACCCCCAGAAAAGCUGACCACUAUGGCAUCCCCGUGGCCUUUCGCUCAAUGGGGAAUCGACUUGAUUGAUCCGUUACCUAAGGGCCGAGGAGCGGCGACACAUGCAAUUGUGGCAAUAGAUUACUUCACCAAAUGGGUAGAAGUGGGAGUUCUCAGCCAAAUCACGGAGAGAAAGACAACGGUUUUUAUUUGGAAGAAUAUCAUCUGCAGAUACGGGAUCCCCUAUGCCAUCAUUACAGACAAUGGGAGGCAGUUUGACAACAGCAACUUCAGGGAAUUUUGCUGAAAUUUGGGGGUUGACCUGAAGUUCUGCACCCCCGCACAUCCCCAGGCAAACAGACAAGUGGAAGCAGCCAACAAAGUGAUAAAGAAGCUCUUGAAAACUAGAUUGGGAGAGAAGAAGGGAGCUUGGGUUGACGAACUACCAGGAGUAUUAUGGGCCUACCGGACAACUUACAAAACCGCCACAGGGGAAACCCCGUUCGCUUUAGCUUUUGGUCAUGAGGCGGUAGUCCCAGCAGAAAUUGGAGUGGGGGCACAUCGAACGGAAUAUUUCACUAAGGAGCAAAACGACGAGCAGAUAUGCUUAAGCCUGGACCUGCUUGAGGAGAAAAGGGAAGGGGCCUCGCAGAAAGUGGCCCAGUGUCAGCAAAGGGUCAUGUGUUAUUAUAACAAGAAUGUACGCGUGAGGCAGUUUCGAGCAGGAGAUUGGGUACUUAGAAAGGUGAACCAAAACACCAGGGAUCCCAACCAUGGCGUUCUUGGUCCGAAAUGGGAAGGCCCGUACAGGGUGAUACGGGCCACUGGACCAGGAGCUUAUAAGUUAGCGUACCAAGAUGGACGAGACGUGAAGAGGUCGUGGAACGCCGAGCACUUGAAGAAGUAUUUCCAGUAAGCAAAGUGCUAUAUUAAAUCCUCAUUUUGAUAAGUUAUUUCUGUUAACUACAUGAUGGCUUGUUGCGCAUGUAUAUAUCAUGUAUUUUUGUAAUACAUUCAAAGUUCAAAUAAAGAUGAAUUCAGCAUGAAAUCCCCCUGCUAGCGAGCCCAAUAACAAUUUCCCUUAGGCAAGUAAGUGCCUACUUCUGCUCGGUCAACGAAAGACCAACAGUUAAUUUUAUGAGAAUUUUACUAAGGCAAGUAAGCGCCUGCUUCUGUUCGGUCAACGAAAGACCAGCAGUUAAUUUUACGAAAAUUUUGCUAAGGCAAGUAAGUGACUGCUUCUGCUCGGUCAACGAAAGACCAGGAGCUAAUUUUAUGAGAAUUUUACUAAGGCAAGUAAGUGCCUGCUUCUGUUCGGUUAACAAAAAACCAGCAGUGAAUUUUACGAGAAUUUUACUAAGGCAAGUAAGUGCAUGCUUCUGCUUGGUCAACAAAAGACCAGCAGCUAAUUUUACGAGAAUUUUACUAAGGCAAGUAAGUGUUUGUUUUUACUCGAUCAACGAAAGGCCAGCAGCUAAUUUUAUGAAAAUUUUACUAAGGCAAGUAAGUACUUGCUUCUGCUCGGUUAACGAAAGACCAGCAACUAAUUUGACGAAAAGUUUACUAAGGCAAGUAAAUGCCUACUCCUGCUCGGUCCACUAAGGAACCAGCAGGCAAAACUAGAUAAGUUGUCCAAUUAUUUUUCAGAAACAAUCUAUGAGCAAAAACCAGACAAGAAAGCCAAUAGAGAGCAUCUAAAAAUUUAUAAAUGUUCAAUUAUUUACAAAACAAAUGCGAGUUUAUACAAAAAAUGAACUUAAAGAUUAGGAGAGUCAACGGCUCCAGCAGCUGAAGGAUCAGCAGUCUCAGGAGGUGGGAGAUCAGCAAUACCGGGAGGAAGAGGCACGGACCCUUGACCCACUUCGAAAGCACGUCCCCCAGCUUCCCCCUCCUGCACCCCAUCCAAAGGAGCCUCCACCUACUCCUGCUCACCCUGCUCCUUAUCUCCCUGGCCGGCCCCAGCCAUAUAUCUCUCCACCCCAACCUCCAGCUUGCUCAUGUCGAGCUCAGGGUAUUCUUCCUUAAGCAUAGACAUGAUGCAUUUAUAGCUGAAAGCAACCCCGGAGUUAUACUCGGCAUCCAGCCGAUCAUCCACAUCAGCGGAUUUGCCUUUCUCCUCAGCCAGCUGUUCAUUCAGGGAUUUGAUCUCUCCCUCAAGGGCGGUCCUCAGAGUAUCUCUUUCACUUUGAGUAGCCUGAAGAUCGGACUUCAGAUCACCCAACUCACCCUCAAGGUUGGAGGAAGUGGACUCAGCAACCGCAACUUUCUCCUCCAGCUCCGUAAGCUACUUGUUCAGCUCGGCCAGCUUCUCCUUGGAGCGAUCAGCAUAUUCAACUUUCUUCCUCAACUCCUGAUUGUCAGCUUGAAGCUUCCUCUCAUGGCGGGCGGACCCGGUCUUGUAACAUGAAACCAUGGUGGCCAGCCUGAAGGAGACCCUUUGAACAGAAGCAGCUAACUCGGAGAGGUUCAUACUCUCGAUGUCCUUCACCAUCUUGGGCCCCACCGAUUUUUUGUAAUCCUUCUGAUACGGGCUCAGGUAGUCACCUUGAUCCCGAGAUGGUAGAGGAGAAGAUCGGUCCCCAGACUGGAAGCUGACCUCAGGACUCUUGUCGGAAGUUUUCUCCCCACCACUCUUACGGGGUGGGGGAGGGGGUAGAGCAGCAACAGGAGCCUUGGAAGGACCGACGCUGGUUUUCUUCGGAGGAGGAGGAGGGUUGCUGGAGUUGCUUGGAGCCCAACCACGUGUUCUGCUCAUCGCGCUGAGGAUCUUGUUAUCCAUUCCAGCAGCAAUAUCUACCAAGCCCGAACCGACCAAGUUUGUUAGCGAUAGGAGGUCUUGGCAAGUAGACGCGUUCACCAGAGCAGUUUCCACCUGAACCAAAGGUUGGUCUUCAAGAUCCUUAAUAAAACCCCACGAUUCUGAAAAACAAACAAGGUUAAAGAACCCAAUAAGUGGCAAUUGGAAAAAAACAUAGGCAAAAAAUAAACGACCUUGGGUGACAAAAUGCGUUGGAAGGUAAAUAUCACCACCCAACGAGUGGGCCGCUGGACACCAAUUUCCUCCAGCAAAGAAGAAUUUGUUCUUUUGAUUUUUGCACGAGGAGGGGAAGUCGGUGAUUGGCUUCCUCUUCGCAGAGCUCGACACUGAUCCACACCUCUCCCAUAAUACAAACAUAGCUGAGAGAACCCUCCACCCAUUCGGAUGUAACUGACCUGGGGCCAAGUGCAUACCCCCCAGUAUCUUGGCAAAAUAACGCUGAAAGGGCAGCCGAGCUCCUAGUCUGAAACUCUCCAGGUGCAUUGUCACAUACCCCCGCGGAGGCCGACUAGGAACAUCACCCUUCCCAGGGACUACAAGGAGAACCUCCUCAGGAAUGUCAUAGAGAUUCCUAAGCUUGAACAGAUCAGUUUGGGUGGUGGCACAGGCUAUGUAAUCGAUUGGAUAAGAAUCCGUCUCCACCCUAUGGCCAAGGUUUCUUUUCUGAGGAGGUCGGGUCGGCUUGGAACUGCUUCCCUCACCAUCACCCACUUCUUCAGGGACCUCUACCCCACCAGAAUUGUGGUUCUCACCAGAGCUCAACGCAGGUCCACCUCUAUUCCCUACAAGCUCUAGUUCGGGGGAGGGAGAAACAGCCAAAGGGCGUGGGUACUCAAGAGUAUCCCUGCCAUGGGAGGGGCCUACACUACCCAAGGGACGUAAGAAAUCGGUGGGUAUUGACAAGUUAAGGUCUGAAUCCCCUGCUUCUUCGUCACUCUCAUCGACAAUUAACCUCCUUUUCCGAUUUGACAUAUCGAAAUCCCAAGAGAAUACAAAGAAAACUCGAGUAUAUGGACACAAAAAGGGCAACACAGAACCCAAUCAACAACAACCAGAGGAGAAGUUAAAAGCAAUACCUAGAUUGAAUUGGCACUGAUAGCGCGGCCGUGAUAGAGAAAAAACCCAGCAAGUGGAUACUCCAGACACGAGGAGUGUAAGCAAAGUUCUGAGAGGGGGUUAGUUAACAACGGAAAGAUGAAUAACAAAACGAUGAAGAUGUAAGUCUAGGGAUUUGAAACGAAAAGGGGAAAAUGAAAGCAUUUAAGUGAUGAGGAUGCCAGCUCACUCACCGGAUAUCGAGGACAGAUAGCCCGUCGUUUCAAAUUUCAAAUACGAAGAGUCUGGAGAGGCCACGUCAUUAACCGUUACAAAAGGCCAGGAUAGAUGUAAGCCCAGAUAUGCAAUGGACAUGCUCAUUUAGGCCCAUGCUCAGGUCGGAAUCUCCCCAGAGGAAAAAUGGUACCUCAGGUCCGUCCCGGUAAACAGAAAACCGGGUGAGAAACUCCCCGGAUUGGUGAGAUUUGACUAUCAGUUUCUACUCUUAACUUAUUUCACUCGCAAGACCAGAAACUGGGGGACUGGUGUUAAGUAAAUAAAAGCACCAGGUCGGCCAUGUUGCUAUUUCCGCCCCGGCAUGGAUCACUUCAGCCAAAUUGUAUGAGCAGAACACGGGGAUAAACAUGAGCCAGUCAGAGGCGAGGACCGGCCAGGGUAAUAUACCGACCAGAGUCAUAUACCGAGCCGAUACCAAUCCCCCAAAAAGCGGGAACACAAUCCCACAGAAUCAUGGUAGUUACGCUUUUCUCAAAACCGUUGCGGGAGACGCGAGAUCCCACGUUUGCCCACAAUGUAGCAGUUAAAGUCCCAUAAGGGGCUGCCACUACCCGAAGAAGGGGGGAUGAAGGGUAAAGGGAAACGUGGGACAGCGGCUAUAAAGGAAGAAGAAAUCGAUGAAAAAAGGGGACAGAAAAAUUGAGAGAGAGAAAACGCUGUCAAAUUGCAAUCAGGCAUUUUUUCUUACAAACUUCGAAUAAAUUAGAAACCAUUCUUGAAUCCAAAUUGCACUGUUUUCCCGUAAACACCUUGUGCUAACUUAGGCAUCAGAGCGUUUACGCCGGCAAAACCACCGGCGUCUCUGAUCCGUUUUUGGUGAACCCAGGUCUAGUAAGAGAAAUGAGGGCGAUUCCAACCCUAGUGGUUCGAGCAACAGCUGAUAACACAAACAUUGGUGAAAGAAUCUGAUCGGUCCAAGGGCGAGCAGAUUUAAGCAUCAACACAUGGUAAAUGAGAUUACUUAUAAAUCGUGAUUUUUACAAAAGACCUUAAAUUGAAAUACUUCCAAUUUUUUAAAAUAAAUCCUUGAUCUUUUUUUUUUUAAUUACAUGAGACUAUUACUCAAGAGUACAACUCAUAUUACAUGAGAUUACCACUGAUAUUUACAAAUCAGAUUAUUACUGGGACUAGUUCACUUCAAUUCUUAUGAUGCAUCGCCUAGAUUUUUACCCUCUCUAAUAUCCGAAGGACUUUACUCCACUUAUAUUUCGAAAAAAUAGAGAAAAUUAUCUUCACUCAAAUUGAGAAAGAAAAUAAAACCCCUACAAUACAUUAUGGAGGCUCGAAUCUAUGACCUCACAAUUGUGAGGUUUAGGUUCUAACUACUAGUCUUUAGCCUAGUGGCUAAUAAAUCUCUGAUUCUAUUACUAAACAUUUUCUCCCAAAGCCAUAAAUAUAAUAAAAGUCUUAAAACUCUCAAAUUACAAGUUUUAGAAGAUAAACAAACUUAAAUGAAAUAGAAGGUCAUCAUUCUCUUGUUCAACUAGCAAAAGUAAAUGAAUUUCUAACUCUAAAGAUAAACAUACCUGUCAACAAGAUUCUUAAUUUGUAAAAAGUAAUGAUGAGAAGUGAGCCGUCAACUCGGUAAGUAAAAUCAUUCCUAACACACUAGGAUUAUCAAGUGCCAAAAGAUUUGCAAGCCUUAUUUCUUUAUCAAAACACAUACUAAAAACAUAAGUUUUACAAAAGUACAUAUAAUAAUAGGACACAAAUUCAUAAGUGAUUCAGGACAUCAAAAAUAUAAUUAGCCAUAAAAAGAAAUCAUAUUAAAUAUAUACACAAAAAACAAGAGGUUAGUGUCACCUAUACUCCCGGUGAUCUGGCCAAAAAUAGAAACAAAAUUAAAACCAGAAUAUCAUGUGAACACUCAUAACAUAAACCCAAUAGUGGACCAGAACAUACAUAUAUCAUAUAAUACUAUCAAAAUCAGAAUCAGAAUUACGAUGGACAAUGAGCCAAAACAUUUAAGUUCAUUUUUCAUAUGUAAUGACUUGCACAAGGUACUUUAUAUUGUAUAUAGCACUUCAUGGCACUCUGACCCUUGAGAGGUGGCCCCAUACAGCUUCAAGAGUGACCGCAGCACAAAUUCUAUAAAUAAUCUUAAUUGUAUGCGGAAACAAAACAUUCAUAUAAGAUUCAUAAGUUAAAAGAUCAUAACAAUGAUUUAAGCUUGUAAAAAUAAUUCUAGUCUAACAUUUUAUAGACAAUGUCAUAAAAGAUAAUCAUUUAGCAGAAUAAAUUACACAUUUAAAGGCAUUUAGAAUAUUUUGUUAAAACCAUGAAAAAUGACAUAAUUUUCAUAUUUGAAAACACUUAUAUAAACUAAUUUUAUUAUGAAAAUCAAUUAAUUUUUGAAGAAUUACAAAAACACAUGCACUAAUAUAUAUAUGAAUGAAGUUACUUACUUCAGUAAAAGUAAUGAUGAAAACACACCUCUAAACCUCCAAAUGCCUCAAACAUGUUAAACAAAUGCAAGAUAUAACUACUAACAACUUAUUCCAACAUCUUGAUUUUCUAACUCUUACUCGUACAACUCUGAUUAUGUGAAUUAUUACUCUUAACUUAGUUAUACUAUGAACUAUUAAUCUUAACCUGGUAAUAAGAAUGACAUAAUAUUAUAAUGAACCAUUUUGGACAUCCAUGGGUAUUUCCCAUAAAAGUUUUAGGACUAUACAAUGCCAAAUACAUUUUCAAAACUAUUUGUUUCCUAACAAGUUCAAAACUGCCUCUCAGUGCCUUAACUAAAGAAUAAAGGUUCUGAGAUUUUUAUAAAAUUUUAUAUUAAUAAAAAAAUUAUGAAAAUAAAAUUAGAAAUACUAGACACAUAUAGUAAACUCUAUUUAAAAUUUCAGAAAUUUUUGAGUUUAUUUGGCACUACAAGUAAUUUUGUGAAUUUGGUCAUUCUGUUGAAAUCAUAGUUUUCCAGUGCAAUAGUAUCUAUUUCGAAAAUCCAUAUAAAAUUGAGAAGAAGGUCAAAUCUUAUGAAAUGAAUUUAAUCAAUAAGUUUACAUGUCUAGUUUAAAAAAAAAAGAUUCUUCUCAAGAAUCAUUUUUAAAAUAUAUGUUUUAUUAUCUAUGCUAUCUAGAAACUGCUUGGUGCAUUUAUUAUAUCAUGGAUUAACUAACAAGACUCAACAAUAAACUAACUCACUAAACACAACUUCAACAAAUCAUAAAUUGUGCAUAAAGGCCUUUAACAUUCUAAAAAUCAUGCAAAAAUAAGACUUUUAAUAGAAUACAAAGAUAAGAAAUCUAGUAGAGCAUAAGGAGAGUAAAACUUACCAACUGUUAAGACUCUCCCCUAAGCAAGAGUUUGAAUCCUAGGUAUGAGAAAACAGUGAUAAGCAAUUGGGAGAAAAAGGCCGUGGUAAAUUUGGGGUUAUGAAAGAGGGAACAAAAAGUGUGAAUUUAUGGGAAACCGUAAUAACUUUGGAAAAAAUAAAUCUUUUCCAAAAUUAUCCUAUGAAUCCUAAUGAGGAAUAUAACAACCCUCAAUUAUAAGGAAAGAAAGUUUCUAUGCGUAAGGAUUCUUCUCCUCUCGUAAUUCUUUUUUUUCCCCAAAAAUUUUGGGUAUUACAAAAAUAGCUUCAUCACCUAUUAAAAGUAUAAAACUCUAUUUUCCUGUAUCAAUCUAUACUAUUUUAAUUAAUAAGAUUAAAUGCAGAUAUAAAUUUUGAAAAGCUGUACAACAACUUGACACCUCUUUUUAAAAUAAAUGAUGAUGUUAUAUAUAAUCUGGGAAGGAAAUUGCGGAUCAAGAUUAGCCAAGACAUCCGCAACCCGAUUCCCCUUGUACCUUAGAAUGUUUGGUAGCGGUAACUUUUCCACUAAGUUAACUUGACGUAAGAAAUGAAAUUAAAUGUUUUUUCGAUUCUGGAAGUUAGACCUCUUAAUUCCUAUCGCAAAGAGAACUCCAAAGAGAAUUGCAAAGGAAGCAACAACAGCUGCAACCACUCCUAGAAAAUCAUGUUUGAAAUCAAACUAAUCUCUUAACAAAUUGUUUCACUGGUUCACCACUUUCCAUUUUGUCCUCUAUAUCUCCAAACCGUGAAGCAACCAAUCCAUAAAUGGUCCAACCACAGGGUUUGCCCAAUAGUACUGUUUCCACCAUAUAGGAAUCCUAUGUCAUUUAGCAAAGUUAAAAGACAAUGAAAGAAUCAGCUACAAAAUUUUGGGUAAGCUAUGAAACCUAGAAUCAAAAAUAGAAAUGGUGAAAACAAUACUUACCGGUCUUGGGAUAACAAACCCGGAAAAGACAUUCCACAAUCCAUAAAAUAAAAUCGAAACAAUGGCAGAAAUGUGGUGAUUUGGUGUUAUAGGCACUAUCAUCAUGCCAUAAAAGGUGAAGUGCAACAAGGUGAAGAACAUAAAGAACAAAUACCAAAAGAACUUGGCGACUGUCCAUUCAAAUCCAAUCAUAGCAUACACUAUAACGCCAUACACUACUGACAGAACAAAUAGAUAAGGUAUCUCAAUCAUAACCUGCAGAAAAGAAAAAUAAAAUAUAUCAGAAAAGAAACACAAUUCCUUUCGAGAAGUGAAACAAUUAUAUAUCAUGUGUCAAAAAAAUUUACUUGUGCAAAUGCAUUUGGCAUGCCAGAGUACAUUCCAGCGCCUUUUUCCCUAUAAAAGACUGCCAUUUCAACAGCUACUACAGGUUGCACUGACGAACAAUAUUGCGCGCCAACGAAGAAAACAACAGUAUACAUUGAACCCAUUGCAUUAAACAGAUCUUGGUUCCGUUUCCUACAAAUUUAAAAUGUCAAAAUUUAGAUUAAAAGGAAUAUCUAACUACGAGGCUGUGAAUAACAUUUAAGUAUAUAAUUUUACAGAUUCCUAGUCGUAACUCACAUUUUAGUGGCCAUGUCCCAGUAGUUUCAAAUACGGCAGUUGUAAAAAGAAACAUAACGGCAUUGUAAGGUGGAUUUCACCAGUAUGACCAGUGUGGUUUCCACAAAGAAGCCAUAAAUUGCAUGAAAAAUGACCGAGAGUACUGAGUAGGAAAAUAAAUGUCUUUUGAACCUGAAGCAGGCUUGCUUAAUUCUUCGUAAAGCGCAAUCUUGGGAUGUCUACUACAUGCGGUAUUCUUCAUGAUUACCAAGGUAUGGUCUUGGCCGCUUGUAGUUCUUUUGUGAGCCAUCAGGCAAUCCUUUAUGCUGAGCUGAUGGCCGUUUGUGAGGGUUUAGAGUUGGUUGCUCAACUUGGUUACUCUGUGUUGGAGGUAGAGUUUGACUCAGCAAUUGCGGUCUCUUGGAUUCAAUCUUCGGCCUUUGUGUGCUGGUUUUAUGCAUAUACUUUGGUUGGGUCUAUAUUCUAACUUCCACUCCCUCUAAUAUGGUCAGGCAUGUUUUCCAAGAGGUGACUUUUGCUGCUGAUUUUAUGGCUAAUUCGACUUCCACUCAUUGACUUCGUCAGUAUUUUCCAAGUCCUUGGGGUAUUCCACUUGAGUUUAUCUAGCAUUAUUUAUCUAGUUGCGCAUGAAGUCCCCUUAUUAGACCAUAGUGUUGCAUCUCUUUUUUGUUUUUGUUUUUAAUGUACUUACAUGCCUUUAUUAUGCAUUUUCUUUUGUGAUCGGAGGUUUUGGCCCAUGUCGUCCUCCUUAUGUUUCUUCCAUUAUUUGAUCUAUAUUAUAGGUAGGGGUUCAACCUAAUCCCACGCCAUCUUCAUAGUUUCCAAAAAAAAAAAAUUAAUAUUUGCUAUUCCGGGAAUUCUCUUAAUAAAAGUAAUGGUAUUAUGCAUCAGCUUCUUUCAUAAUGUGUAAAUUAUGCUAGUCGCUUUUUUGUAGGGUCCAUCUUACUUCGGUGGACCAAAAAGCCCAAAGUCCAAAAUAAUUAACUUGAUGUGUAAUUAUUGUAAAAUUUUAGACUUGGAUAAAAUAAACCAAUAAAUUCAAAGUAAUAAAUCAACCACAAGAGACGUUGAUUUUUACAUAGAAAACUCAAAUUGGGAAAAACCACGCGACCGUAGUCUGAUAUAAUCUUCCACUAGAUUAAUGGGAUUACAGUAUAAAUUCUUCUCCAGAUAACACUAGAGGCUAACAAUAUCAAGAUUCUCAACAACCUUAAGUUACAAUAAUAGAUCUAAUAUAUAUUUCUCUAAUAAGAGGGUAUCUCAAAUAACAGCUACCGAGAUGAUAAAAUACAGAUCAACACCAAUAGGAAUGUAGAGGGCGAUGUCAGGAACUUACCCUCUAAAUUUGAGAGAAAUUAAAGUUAAAAUCAUCUUCUAAUCAUUUAAUCAAAGAUUGAAACCUCAAAGAAAUACUUAUGUCUUUCUCUCUAACAGCGUCUUCUCAAUUCGUGAAGUGGCUAUAGCUCUAGUGAAUCUUCACUUACUUUCUUUGUAUAUUUUCUGGUUAAUUUCAUCGAAGUUCAAAAUUUUAUAAUAAUUACACAUCAAGUUAAUUAUUUUAGACUUUGGGCUUUUUGAUCCACCAAUGUGAGAUGGAUCCUACAAAUCUCCCCCUCCAUCUCAUUUGAGGGGCACCACCAAAUCCGUUCUCUAUUUACAGCUUUCCAGCUUUUCCUUGGGCACUACUCACUUAGGAUUUUUUAAAAAAACUUUAUCUCAGUUAUUAGUGGAUUUUGUCUUAAUUUAUCAGUAUUAUUGCAGGAGAUCUUUUUUUAGUUUUUAAGUGGACGAAUUGGUAUCACCAUCUUUUACUAUGAACCAUUGUUUGCACCGUUUAGAUCUUGUUUUGGUAGUAAUUUCUCUUCCAACUAUCACAGUUCUUUCAAUAUAUACGAUGCACUUUAUAAUUUGUAACACUAUAAUUAUAAUAUUAAUUGAUAAUUCAUACUUUUAACUUCAUACAAUUGUCGAGGAAUUUUCGUGUUUUCAAAGUGAUGCAUGAUAGUUUCAAUGUUAAUAUAAACAUUUUUUUUUUUGGCAAGAACUCAUAUACAACUAAGUAAAAAAAAUGUUUAUUAUUAUUAUUAUUAUUAUUAUACAAUCAAAGUAACUAAUCAAAUUAAAAAGAAUCAGGCUUUUAGACUAGGGGAUUUCAAAAUCAUAUGGGGUUUUAAAGAGCCUUUUUUGAAAUUGUUCUUUAAAAGAAUCCAAAAUCCAGUUGGGCCGUUCCCACCUAGUCCGAGAUAAGCCCAUAUGUUUGAUAUUUAAUUGUUGUGAAAUGAAAAAUGUCAAGCUGUGAAAUAAAAAUUCAUAAUAUUUAGUAAAUCGGAUUUUUUUUAAGGGUAAAUAUGACUUUAAGAAUUUUAAAUAAAAAUUUUGAUAAAUUAAUAGGAGUUAUGAAAAUUAUUUUAUUCUUUUUAUCAAGUAUAAAACCACCUUAACUUUUAAAUCAUAAAUUUAUCAAACACUUUAAUAUUAUAAUUUAAAAACUAGAUGAAAUUCUAGUUAUGCAACCCAAGAAGGGGGGGUGAAUUGAGAUUCUAAAAAUUAUUCAAUUCUAAAACAAAAUAUCAUGCAAAUCUAAAACAAAUUUAAAGCAAUAACAAUUAAAUCAAUCACAAUAUAAAAGGAUAAGGGAAGAGAGAUUCGAACACGAAGAUUUUUACGUGGUUCGACCAACCUCGCCUACGUCCACGUCUCCAAGCUUUCCGGGCUUGAGGAUUUCACUAAGCAAGCCUCCAAGGUUUCAAAUGCUUACACUUGACUUCCAAUGUGUCAAUGAACCUUUACAACAAGAGAUUAUCUCAAAUCUCUUAAUCCAAGUGUAUCUCAACACUUACAAUCACUCAAGGUAAAAGAUUACAAAUUGUUUUUCUCUCACACAAUAUUUAAAAUUACAAAUCAAUGCCCAAUGUGUGAAUAGAUGAAACAAGAAUGUGUUUAAAGCUAUAUGAAGAUUGUAUUCUUGAAUAUAAGCAUAAGGGUCGUGUUGUGAUCAAUUUUGUUUGAAUUUAAAUGAGCUUAUUUAUAGUUGGAGUUGAAAAACUAGCCGUUACAGACUGUCUGCCCAAAAACGGUUCGCCGUUAACCAUUAAUGGUUAACCGUUUAGGCUGGUCAAAAGUUAUCGUUGGGCCAAAUUUUAAAUAAACGGUUUGCCGUUUAGGCUUACCCUUUCGCCGUUAAAUUCCAGAGACCUAUAAAACAAAUUUGGUUUAACCGUUUUUACUAAACGGUUCAAGGUUAGCAAUCUAGAAAUAAUCGGUUAACCGUUUUCAGUAAACGGUUCACCGUUAUUUUUCAGAAUCAUCAUUUUAACAAUACUUUACAGAACAUGCUUUCUAGAAAUUAUCAGUUAGCCGUUUUCAGUAAACGGUUAGCCGUUUGCUACAGUGAUUACUACAGUGAAAUUAUUUUCUAAAAUUAUAAUUUUAUCCUAAAACUUUCUAUAAUUAUACUAUGGCUCAAAUUGUCAUAAAACUUUACAAAUAAGUCCAUUUCCAGAGUUUCAAAACUUUUUCAAUUUAGACCAUUAAUUAAAAACAACCAAUUUCAUAAAAUCAUUUUUAAUCUUGUUUGUUAUCAUCAAAAUCAACAUUAUGGAUACACAUAUGCUAACACUAGAGUUGUUAAAAAAUAAUACCAAAACGUGCUUUAUCCAAUUUAGCUUAAGAAACUCAAGUAAUAUCUUUUUGGGUGAGCUUAAUCAAAUAUUAAAUUCAUUGAUUUGAAAAUCAAUAUUAAUCACCUCGACUCAAGUAAAGUGAAUACGAGAAUAACAGUUAUAAAUUUGAGCUUGACACGGGAUAUUGAGCUCCUUAUUAGACUAAUCAUGACUCAAGCCAUAGAACAAACAAUGAUGGUUUAAUUUAUUCCAUAUUGAGGAAAAAUGGAAUACGUAUGAUAAUAAAAUCUUGUAACACAUUUUGUAGUUUUAUUUAUACCAAUCUUGAAGAGUUUGUUAAGAGAUUUAACCAUAAAUAUUCCCAAAAUACUAUUUUUUAAAAAAUUUUAUAAGAUUGUAUGAAAACAAAAGAGUUGUUAGAAAGAGUGAAAACUAGAUGUAUAUUCACUAUUUGCACUACAAUCUUCCUUUAUUUCAAAGAAUAAUCAUUAUUUAUACACUCGACGAUUAGUGCAAAUGACGAAAGAUUGUAGUAUCCUAUAAACUCUGGGUUGGGCUUGACUUGCGUUUAAAUGUCAACCCAACUCUUUUACAACCCAAGUAUCCAACCUAAUCCAAAGCUAUUUUAAUUAUUUUGGGUUUCGUUUGAACUUUUCUUCCGAGUGUAAAUGUCUUAGCUAGCAUUGGUAAACCCAUCCAUCCUAUAAUUGCAAUAAAUUAUCAAUUGUCAAACCAUAUAUUAAUUACUAAAUAAUUAUUAAAAAUGGAAAUAUUUCAAAUAUAUAAAUAUAUAACGGAUUAAAAAUCAUAAAUUUUUAGAACAUUAAAACAAAGUUUAUCACAAAAAUCAUAAUUUCUAUAUAAAUAGAGGGUCGGGGUAGCAACUUAAACUCGCUCAUCAACAUUAUAUUUACAAGCAUUAAGAAGUACAUAUUAAAAAUUAAUGCUUAAUUUUUCUUAAUUAAAGUUUUUUUUUCAAUUUUUACUAUAAAGCCAACCGCACCGCCUAGUGGUUCAAAUUCUGGUUUUGGCGCUAAAAUCUAGCUGACGUGGCAUUAGUGGUGGGGCCUACAGGCUGGGUUAGUUAGAAAGUUGGUUAGUAAAAUCGCUUUUACUUUGUUGACUUGAGCUAUUAAAGCUGAUUAGCAGUGCUGCUUUGGUAGAUUGUAUCUCGAGUUGUAGUUGGAGCCAGUGAGGGAAUCAGAGCUCUUUGGAAAGCUUGUAAAUCCCUCUUGAAUUCCGGUUUGCUUUCUGUCAAUAAAGAUAGAGCGAGAUGAUUGUUCUUGUUUCAUGAAUUCGCCUGCUUUGUGCUGUGUGUGCUCUCUGUUGCACAUUCGGUUCUCGCUGUUUCAGUUAGUUUCUGGUAAUUCUCUAAAUUCAUUUGUUAGUGAUCUUGAUUAAGAAUGAAACAACAUUUGAAUACUGACCAAAAAGAAGAAGGAAGGCAAAAAAUUCCCAUAAAUAUAGAUAUUACUGUUGAAAAGCUGUACAAGUGAUUGAUAUCCUCCUUUCAUUACACUGGAUGAUGAUAUAUAUAUAUGUGUGUGUGUGAAAGUUUGGUAACAAUUAUUUUUCCAUUCAUCAGAUAUGAUCUCAAAAAUGAAACCAAAGAUCUAUCGAUUCUGGAAAUUGAACCUCUUUAUACCUGCUGCAAAGAGAACUCCAAAGAGCACUGCAAAGGCAGCAACAACAACUGCAACUACACCCAGAAACUCAUGUUUGAAAUCAAAAUAAUUUCUGACAAACUGUUUUACUGUUUCACCGUUUUCCAUUUUGUCCUCUACAUCUCCAAACUGUGAAGCAAACAAUCCGUACAUGGUCCAAGCUACAGGAUUUGCCCAGUAGUACCAUCUCCACCAUUCAGGAAUCCUCUGUUGUUUGACAAGUUGAAAGACAAGAAAAUAAAUAGCUACAUAGUUUCGGAAAGCUAUGAAAUCUGCUACAUAGUUUCGGAAAGCUAUGAAAUCUAUCUAGCAUCUUGAAUAGAAAUGGAGGAAGAAAAAUACUUACAGGUCUUGGUAUUACAAACCCGGAAAAGACAUUCCACAGCCCAUAAAAUAAAGUCGAAACAAUGGCAGCAAUGUGGUGGUUUGGUGUCAUAGCCACUGUCAUCAUGCCAUAGAAGGUGAAGUACAAUAAGGUGAAGAACAUAAAGAACAAAUACCAAAAGAACUUGGCUGCUGUCCACUCAAAUCCAAUCAUAGCAUACACUAUAACGCCAUACACUACUGACAGAACAAAUAGAUAAGGUAUCUCAAUCAUAACCUGCAGAAAAGAAAAAUAAAAUAUAUCAGAAAAGAAACACAAUUCCUUUCGAGAUGUGAAACAAUUAUAUAUCAUGUGUCAAAAAAAUUUACUUGUGCAAAUGCAUAUGGCAUGCCAGAGUACAUUCCAGCGCCUUUUUCCCUAUAGAAGACUGCCCUUUCAACAGCUACUACUGGCUGCACUGAUGAACAAUACUGCGCUCCAACAAAGAAAACAGCAGUGUACAUUGAACCCAUUGCAUUGAACAGAUCUCGGUUCCUUUUCCUACAAAUUUAAAAUGUCAUAAUUUAGAUUAAAAGGAAUAUUCAACUACGAGGCUGUGAAUAACGAUUAAAGUAUAUAGUUUUAUAGAUUCCUAAUCGUAACUCACACUUUAGUGCCCAUGUCCCAGAACAUUGUUCCAAAUGUCAAAGCUAUGGCAGUUGUAAAUAGAAAUCUAACGGCGUUGUAAGGUGGAUUUCGCCAGUAUGACCAGUGUUGUUUCCACAAACAAGCCAUAAAUUGCAUGAAAAAUGACCGAGAGUACUGAGUAGGAAAAUAAAUGUCUUUUGAACCCGGAACAGGCUUGCUUAAUUCUUCAAUAAGUGCUUUGUUUCUCCUGGAGCAUAUGGCAUAGAUUAGCGUCAAUUUUGAGCUAAACAAAUGACGGUACUGUAUUAGUAUACCUGUACAAGUCUGAGAGUUUGUAAAUAUUAUGAAAAUCAACCCCCAAAGCUAAUUCUUGUGAUCUAGCCGUAACUUCCAACAUCCAAGUUGCUGGGUUGCAACCAUCUUUAAUUUUUUGGACUCCAGGAAUUGCCUUCAUAAAAAUAAAUGUAUGCGCAUCAGCGACUUUCAUAAUGUAAAGUAAGGAAGUCAAGUUAUAAUGUGAUUUCAAGUUAGGUUUCCUUUGAAAUAUGAGAAUGUGCAUCAGGUCAUACUUCCAGAUAGUUGAUUAGAUCGCAAGAAUGGUGGCCCAGAGGCCCAAAAUAAAUCUCCUGUCCCCCUCGCUUCACUAGAAGUAGCUGCAACGCAUUGUUAAACGAUGAUAAUCAACAUGCGGGUAAAGAAAGGAAAAGGUAAAAAGGAAAAACUUUUGGCUCCUUUAAUCCAGUAUUUGAUAUUUCUUACCUCAUCAAAGGAUUCAAAUAUGUCAAUGCUUGGUUGAUGGAUCGUGCAAACGACUGUUCUUCCAGUUUCUACUGUGUUUUUAACAGUUCUCAUAACAAUUGCAGCAGCCCUUGCAUCUAGCCCUGAUGUUGGCUCAUCCAUAAAUAUGAUGGACGGGUUAGCCACGAGCUCAACCGCGAUCGUAAGUCUCUUACGCUGCUCUGUUGACAGACCACUUACACCUGGCAAACCAACCAGUGAUUGUCUCAAUGGGUUCAGCUCCACGAGCUCCAUGAUUUCUUCAAUAAACAUCUGUAAAUCAAGGGUAAAACUGAAAAUUGGUAUGACCAUAUCCAUCCAAGAAUGUAUUGAGGGAAUGAAACCGUUUCUAUUCUUGUUGACCGUGUUUAACUUAUUUUAGUUUUCAAUAACAGAACACUUCAGGUGACUUCAUUACCCACCUUUCUGGUUUCAGAAUCAACUUCAGGUGGUAAACGAAGCCAGGCCGAGUAGAGCAAUGACUCAUAGACAGUAACUAAAGGAGAGUGGAUGUCAUUUUGCUCGCAGUAUCCUGAAAUGCGAGUAAAUGUUUCCUGUUUUUUCGGGUAACCAGAUAUUGUUAUGCUCCCAGUAAUAUAUCCACCCGUUUUCCUACCAGCUAACACAUCCAUCAAAGUGGUUUUACCAGCACCACUGACACCCAUUAACGCUGUAAGAACCCCGGGCCUGAAAGCACCGCUCACACCAUUUAGAAGCACUAAUUUAUCUUCAUGGACACCUUGAAGUUUCAUUUCCUGCAAAAUUAGAUCGAACCAAUUAGUCUUCAUCAAACCUUUUGAAUUUCCUAUUUGGUUUUCAAAUUAAUGUUACCUGUGGCAUGUCGACUGAGUAAACGACCUCAUCAAAAGUAAGGGAAUGAGGUUCAAAUGGAAGAACCAUCCCUUUUUUCCUAAUUAGAUUUCUGAUCUCAACAGCUGUCUCUGUCACAGAAGAGGACAUAGAGGAGCUUCUUUCCCAAAUGUAAUCUACACUCUCUGCGUAUUAACAAUAAUUGAUUAGCACCAAUUCCACUGCAUGCCACAAAAUAUCUCAUAUUUUCUCAAAUAAACCAGAAGACUUUACCACCUGAGCGAGUUCGGAGGCUAGAACUACUUCCACUGGUUGAUGACUGAAGAGUUCCUCCAGUUCUGUUAUCUUUUUCAUUACUUUCAGAUUCGUCAAAUAUAACAGCCCGAGGCUUCUCAAAUUCUGCACAUAUAUAUUCACAUGAAAUUACAACAUAAACUCACUGUUUUAGAAGAAGUGAUUAAAACGAAGAAGGUAAAGAUACCCACUGUUGAGAAAAGUAAGUGACAGAGUGAAACCAACGUUGAACAUUAGUAAAAAACCUAUCACAGCCCCCAAUCCAAGCCAAUACCAAUAUGCAUGUGGAAAGAACCCACGAGACUUCAAAGCUUGCACUCCAAGUGAUUCAUUUGAGUUUGUAGUGAACUAUGAUAUGAAAAAUUACAGACAUCAGAAUUUUACUAAAAGACAAAUACACUAUCAUGGACACGGCUUAAAUCUGGGAAUUACCUUUCUCCAACUGUGCCCAAGGAACUCGUUAGCCACUAUUGCAUUCUGCGCAUACAUCAUAGGUGAACACCAAUAACCCCAUAUCCACCAUUUAUUGAUGUCAUCUGUGUUUUUAGAAAUGAAAUGGAAGUAUGAUAGUUAUAUUUUGAUAAAGUAGCUAACUAGACUAUUUUGCUUGUAUAUUUCUGUACCUCGUGAAAGAACAAAUCCACCCAAUGCAAAAAGCAUAAGCAAUGCAAAUGAACCAAAUGACAUAGCAACAAUCAUGUUCCUGCCUGCUGCUCCAAUGAAUCGGAACAAUGCAGUAGCCAUCUGGUUAACAAAUAAGAGAAGCAAGUACUGCUUAAAAAACCUGCAGCAAGAAAAUCAACUCUUAAACUAAUUGGAUAAACAGGUCAUGAAAUCAAAUAUUCUCAGAUUAUACUAGCAAAUUUACCUUCCAACGUUGGGAUCAAACCCAAUUACAUAAUAGGUGAGGAAUACCCAAGCGGCAACCUCCAGGAAUGAGAUAGGGAUCUUGACUAUCCAUGCAGGAAGGGCAUAUGACCAGGCAGGAUAGAAUCGGAGGUCUCUUUGCUUGUAGAAGACGGGAAGCUUAGCUAUGGUCAUAGAAAUAUCUGACAUUCCAUUGAACAUUGUCAUCAUAACAGCAAAGAAUGAGGCACCAAUGUAAAUUCCUCCAUCGUUUACUGAAUCUUUGGGCAUCUUCGUUCUGAAGAAGAGUGACAUAGAUACCAUUGCCACAGUUGAAAGCUUGUAGCGGGGGAAUGUAUCAAUAAAUCAUUUAUCACUUCAAGAAAAAACUAAAACAGUUCAAAACUAAGUUAAUACUCACUUGUGUGAGCUUGAAGAUGUAGACAAAUGAAUUUCUUUUCAUGAGCAAAAAUUCUCGUGAGAUGUUAGCUUUCAAUAAUUCCUUCUUGCCCACACCGUACUCUUUCAUACUCAAAGCAGCUGGGUGGCUCUUGCUCUUGUCAAAUGGAGUUCGAAGCUCCGCUGUGAGUUUCUGUCCCACAUGAAACGAUUGGAAUGCCUCACAAAAUUCCUGAACUGUGACAAACCUGUAACGCAUCUCUUUAUGGGCCCAAUACUGCUGUUGGUCUUUCCUUGAAGUCACCUGUAUACGAGAAGUUACAGUUUACUUCCAUCUUUGCUUGUGAACAACUUAAGCCACCGCAUUAUUUUAUUUGAAAGACAGGAGACUCAUAUUUUAAAAGAAACAGCUUUAUUUGCUCUUACUUCUUGUAAGAAGUCAGCCACGCCUUUCCUUUCUGGACAUUUAAAGCCCAUGGAUUCAAAAAAAUCUAGCACCAGUUCGCGGGGACCCUGGUACACAAUCAGGCCAUCAGAUAGAAGGAUAAUAUCAUCAAAUAGAUCAUAAGUCUCCGGUGCUGGCUGCAGUAGAGAUAUCACUGCGGUUCCAUUAAGGAUAUGAGUAUUUUGCCUAAAAGAAUUCACGAUUUGAAAAGUUGUCGAGCUGUCCAAGCCAUUAGAUAUCUCAUCCAUAAACAGUGCCAAAGCUGGUCCUACCAAUAUUUCACCUAUACUUGAAUGAAAUUUUUAUAUGUGUAAGUAUAGGCAUUGAUAUUUUUUCUUUUUUUUAACCUGUGAACGAAACAGAAAUGAAUCUACGAAGCUUAGCAUUUACCUGUUGUCACACGCCUUUUUUGCCCACCUGAUAUACCUCUUAUCAUUUCAUCACCGACCAAGGUAUCAGCACAGAUAUCAAGUCCUAAAACCUUUAGAUAAUAAUCUGUGAGUACAUUGGCCUCUUGGCCUUCAGUUGCUGCUGCCUGAGACAUUACAAGAUAGAGAAUUACCAUAACUUAUUCAAUCACCAUGAAUGUGACUCCUUGUCAAUAACAAUGAUUCCCUUCCAACUCUAUUUUUAUCGGACAAAAGUGAAAUGGGCUAAUUGAACAUCAAAGUUCAUAUAUUAGGAUUCAAUUUAAGCCAUGGGAGCACAAGAUUGAAGACUAGCUUAAUUGAAACUCAACUAUAACAAAUGAUUUUUAUGAUUCAGUUCGCUAGAUGCUAAACAUGUUUUAAACAAACGUCGGCUGCUCUUACCUUCAUGAAGACAUCAAUAUCAGGAUCCGGCUUUAUACCUGCUUCGUUUUCUCUUUUGUCCAACUCUGUUAACAUGUCUGCAUUUCUCAAAAGCAACGAGUUUUAUAGCUGAAGGGAAAAUAAAAGCUAAAAAAAAAAAAUCAAACCUACCAAAACGGGAUCCAACCCCCUGGCAUCUAGCAGAGAAGGCCAAAGUUUCCCUUACAGUCAUUUCGCCGAUAUGAUUAUCAUGUUGACUGAUAUAAGCAGCUACUCUCUGAGGCUCAAAUUCGUCCAUGUUGUGACCAUUGUAUGUCACCCUGCCAGAAACCUACAAGGAGACAGUUUGAUUCUUCAAUUAGACAUAAUUAAAAAGAGUGAACUAUAGGCUUAUUUGGGAUUGAGAUUGGGUAGUUGUAUCUUAAAAAAUACAGUUCUAAAGUAUUUGAUAAACACUAGUUGAUGUAAUUUAGAAGCUAAAUUGAUUUGAUUUUACAUUAAUUAUGAUGAAAAAUCCAUUAUUUCUUUACUGAUUUUGUCAAAAUAUUUAUUUAAAAAUUAUUUUUACUACAUAAUAUUAACUUUUAUUUUAUAGUUAUAAAUUUUUUCACACUAGUGAUAAUUUAAAAAUUACAAUGCCUCAAUCCCAAAUAGGGUCUAUAACUGUUGAGAGCGAAAACUCUCUGAAAUAAUUAGAGACUUUUACUAAUUAGUCACCUUUAGACUAGAAUCAAGCUUCCCGGCCAAAGCCAACAGAAGUGUGGUCUUGCCAGAACUUGGAGGACCCAAAAGCAAUGUCAUGCUGCAAAAAUUUUGAGAUCAGUACCCAAAAAUUCAAUAAAACACAAGUAAAUUGAGAAGCAAUAGGAAUUAAAUUCUCACCUGCCUGGCCUUAUGAUUCCACUUACAUCCUUCAGGAUUGUCAAGUGUUUCUUUUUAGUUGGCAGAAUUUGGAGAGAGUUCAAGGAACCCUUAAAACGUAUGCAGGUUGUUAAAAAAUAAAUAAACUAAACACAAAACACAACCAAUUUUACAAAUAUUAGUGAUUUCUACUUGCAGAGUGCUACCUCGAUGAUGUUGGUAAAGAAGUUAGUGAAUGUUGGCAAGGCUUUACUUGCUAAAAAUGCUUCAGCUUCAACAUUCAAAUUUUCAUAUCGAACUUCGACUUCAGGAAGUUCUAUUCCAACUCUGCCAAAAAAAAAAAUGACAAUCAUAUCCUAAAUACAAACUCACAACUUAAAAAUUCAACAUCCUUAUAAAAAAAAAUAAAAAGGUUCUUCAGUUAUAAGAUCACCAAUCAUUGAAGCAUUCAACUCAGAAAACUAGUCUAUUAGAUAAAGUAACCAAUGCCCAUACAGAUUGCUUAUUUUUAUUUUUAUUUUAACAAAAACUUAUAGACUGCAUGCAUACCAUCUAAAGAAUACACAUGAAAAGAACAACUUCAGGAACCAGAACAGAACUCCUCUGUUUGGCUACCGAGAAAAUUUUGAUAAAAAAGAAAAUUACGCGUCAAAGCGGUCCCUGAGCUUCAACAAGAAGUGCUCAUUAUCAACUGAAGGUUCUCUGACCAAUUUAUCAAUCAACUUCUGCCUUGCUUGCGGUCCAAGAGUAGAAACAUCAUCAGCUUCAGUAGCUUCACCACUUGAAUUAGUUAUCAUUUUCCUGAAAGGACUAUUAUAAGUAGGCAAAUUCUCAAGAGCAGCCCGUUUUAGAGCCUCCUCAUCAUCGUCUUCUUCUUUUGGAGACCUUGGAAAUGUACCCUCGGAAGUGCUUCUCCAUGUAGAAGCACCUGGACUUAAACAACUAGUAGGCCGGUAUGUAAUGUCACCCUCCAUUACAACUGAAACCAAACAAAACCCACAAUUAUUCGAAACUGGUUAUGCAAACAACUAAUUUCGAUAUUAGUGCAUAAGACAUUCACUCAAAACUUUUUGAGCGAUUGAAAAUUUUGUCUGAAGUUUGCACCGUCUUUCCAAAUUUUGAGUAUUACGACCAUAUUUUAAGAGCCAUUUUGUUUUAUAACUAGCGAUAGGUGGCCGUCCAAAAAUUGUUGUCAAAGUCAACGCGUACCGUUAUACAACAACAGCAACAAAACAACAUAACAAUGAAAAAUUAUUUUUCUACAUUAUCGUAGACAAUGGAUUCAACGUAUUGAAUUCCUAAAAAUGACACCAAUGUUACUGUCCUUUUAGAGGCAGGAUUUAGCAGGGUGGGUAAAUCCGAAUUUGACUCUUUUGCUUUGCUUGUACGUAAUUUUUAGGUUUAAACACUCUAAAUUUAGAACUGCGGAUGGUGAUCAGAUUCACCCUUGUGACGUCGGAAUACAAUAAUGAAGGUUAACAUAAAAGUAAUUUGGGGAUACACUUGCUAAAUUUUUAAGUAUUUUUGUGUCAUGUUUAUGAAAAUUUUAGUGUUUUCUUUUUCUUUUUUUUUCAAUAUUGUCCAAUACCAAUAAUUUCUCAGGGAUGAUAUCCCCCUCCCCCAUAAUUUUUGCCAACUCUAAACUAAAAAUAAUUAAUAAAAUUAAUUUAAAAUUCAAACAAAGAAAAAGUUUAGACAAUUAAUCAGUUAUAUCCUUCUUUCUUUAUUUAUUUUCUGUGACUAAACAUCUUUUACCAUUAAGGUUGCUUUAAUAUUAGUUGAAUUUAUUAUUUUACCAUUAUAAAGUGCCAAAAUAACUGCAAAUAAAUAAUUUUAACUUCAAGAAUUUUUUAUUUCGUAUAAAAUACAUUUUUUGUAAAUUAUUGGAUUUCAUUUUAAAAUAUUGAUUAUGUAAGUUAUAAAACUAAAUUACUAUUGCACAAUAUCAUAAGUUAUACUUGUAGUCUGAAUUGAUAUUUAAAUAUUUAAUAGCCAAUUAAGUUUUACUUAGAUUAGUUGAAAGUUUAAGAACAAUACUGACUUGUAGGUGCCAGUUAGUUUAAUUGUUUGAAUCUUUUAAGUGAAAACAAGUGUUUAAGGUUCGAACCCUACUCACAUUUUUUUAGAAGUGAUCCAAGGUGGCGUUUGUUUUUUUGUUUGAAAUCUGAAUAGAGUUAAAUUAGUUUGAGGGUUGGAUACCUGAAUCUAAAUGAUACCCUUGUUUCUUUGUCUGAAUUGCUUAAAACAAAUAUUAAUUUUUUUUUAACUUAAAAAUCUGAAAAUGAAUUUUUUUACUUUUCUACCAUUACAAAUUAUAAAUAUCAAAAAAAAUAAGAAACAUCUCAAAGAACUUAAAUAAGGUAAUAUAUUAUCAUAAUAUAAAUCAUAUUUAAUUGAAUACAACCAUUUAUAUUCUAAAUUAGUAUAUGUUAAUCAACUUUGUUAUUAGUUUAUGAUGUUUUUAUAUGAAAAAUAUUCAUAAAAUAUGAAGAUAAAUAAUGCUAAUUUGAAGAAAAUAAAAAGAAAAAAAUAAUAAUAGUCCAUUACUAUAUUAUCACAAGUUAUAGAUACUGGUAAUAAUGCUAAUUAUUAAAUUUUAUUCAGGUAUAGAUGAAAAAUAAUUAGUUAGAUAGGGAUAUUUUGGAGAAUAUCUUUUAAUAAUAUCAUUCUGACUUUUUAAAUUAAGCAAAAAAAAUUAAAAAAUUAGCUUAAUAACUUAAUGACUGAAAAUUUUCAUUAAAUUGAAAAAACAAACAAACUUAAUAACUUAACUAAUUGAAAUUAAGUAAAAAAAAAAAAAAAACAGCUCCUAAGUUAUUAUUAUAACUAUUUUGAAAAAGAAAGAAAAUUAUCAAUUAUCAACCUUAAGUUUAGUAUCUUAUAAAAAAUAUUACAAAAGCUUGACUUUGUUCAAUUUUCAGUCCAAAGUUUGCAAUUUACAUCAACUAUCCACUAAAAAAAGUAUAACUACCCUUACGAAAUGACAAACAAAAGUAAAAGUAAAAUAUAUUAAUAGUUAUUUUGUAAGAGUAAUUCUAUUUUUUCGAUAUAUGGUUGAUAUAAAUUCAAAUUUUUAGAGUAUUUUUAUGAUAUUAUAAGCUUAAGGUAGAUAAAUGAUAAUUUUUUAAAAAAGAAUAAGAGUAGGCUUCUUGAACAUUAUCUCAUACUUUUAUCCUAUGCCCAUGUUCAUUUGGAAAAAAUAGUAGGAGAGAAAAGGAAUAGAAAGGAAAGAACGGGAGAGAAAAUUAGUGAGAAAAAGGGGGUUAAUAUCAUUUUUAUUAUUUGGUUCGACAUAGAAUUCAAUUUUCCAUGUUCGGUCGAAAAUAUCAUGUUUGUUACAUUCAUGAUUGUUGAAUUGAAAUGAAAAUGAAGGGAACCCUUUUCCAAGAAGUAUGGACAAACUAAAUUUUAUAGAAUUGAAGCAUUUCACAAAGUGUCGGGAAAUUUAAUUGAUUGAUUUGUUUCUAUUCUACCAGCAUUAUAGAACAAAAGCUUAUCAUCAAAUUGUUAGAUGAAAAUAAUAUAUUUUUUUCGUUUGAUUAAUUGUGACAUGUUGUAAAAUAAUACCGUCAUUCUUUGACUAAGUCUUCAAUCGGUCUUUAUCUUUGAUCUCACAAAAUUAAAUAUAUUUAUAUAUUUUUUUGUUUGAUUAAUUGUGACAUAUUGCAAAAUAAUAACACUAUUUGACCAAUUAUUGGUCUCUUUAUCCUUUACAUUAUAUAAUAAUAUCAAGAUUAUAAAAACAAAUUUAGUUUGGCUUUUAUAAGCAUCUCAUACAUCCCUAGUGAGAAAAUUUAUGCACUAUUUUAUAAGCAUUGGACUCUCCUAAUUAAGUAAACUUACUCUAAGUUACAAAGGCUACUAGCCUAUUAACAAAAUAUUGAUUAUGUGGGUUAUAAAACUAAAUUACUAAUUUGCUUCUACACUAUUUUAUAGGUAUUGGGCUCUCCUAAUUAAAUAAAUGUGAUUUAGGUUGCAAAGCCUAAUAGCCUAAUAACAAUAAAAUUUCAUAAGACCAAAUUCAAAGGAAAAUUUUCAAGUUCUAUAGGUACCAUUGCACUCUCUAACCAUAUACCUCCUUCGCUCCUGCCCUGUAGAAUCUAAGACUUUUGGCAAAUCGCACUCUCUCAUAGCCGGCUGCAUGUUUUACUCAUGUUGUGCUUUUAAUCGUAAAGCGGCAAAGCAUUUAAGAUUAUUGUUUUAUAUGAUUGUCCAGGUCAUUUCAAGUUUUAUGUAUAAUUUCAAAAAAAAAAUUAUUACAUGUUUAAUGUUUUUCAUAAUAUAUCCCUUAUUUUCUACAUGCCUCAAAAAUUUUCUAUUACAUCUAAACUACAAUGCCUUAAAAAGAAAUAAAAAAAAAUUUGGGGUACAUAUAUAUAUAUAUAUAAAGACUAGACAUACAUAAAUAUAACUAACUCGAGAAGAUCACAAUAUAAAAAAAAAAAAGAAUUUACUAUUAGGGAAGUUAAUGAUGCAUGAUGACAUAUGCAUAGGAGACAUUAAAUUUGAGCAAAUAGUAUAUGCUUUUGAAGCUUUUGGCAAGAGAAUAAAUACCGAAAGUCUUGCGAAUUGAGUUCAUGUCAUUUUCACUAUGUUCCGCUGUUUUUUUUUUUUUCCCUCAAAUUCAAAGUUGAAUGGUUUGCUAAUUCCGAAAACUUUUCGAAUUUUUAUUUCUUUAAUUUAAUUGUCGUUUCCUUUUGUUUUUUCCUUUUUCGAACUUCUUUUAUUCUAUAAUUGAGUCGAAUAACAAAUCCUCAAAACUUGAGAAUGCGAGUAUUUUAAGGGUUUAUAGCCCUACAAGGAGUGUAAUUAAUUAAGAUUAUAUUAGUAUGAAAAGGCGUCCUAGUCUUGUUUUCUUUAAUUAGAUAAAUUUUUUUAUUCGUAGUCUCAAUUUUCUUUUAUUUCUUGAUGUCUCUGCUAGUCAAAUAACAAAAUUUAUAUAUGGAAGAAUAUCAUUUUUAGUCCCUCUGAGAAAUUGUUUUUACUACUAAUUCUUUGAUAAACUUUUAAUACCUUAUUGCAUCCCUACCACUAAAACAACCACAUAAAAAAAAAAAAAACUGUUGAACAUUAAAUCUAAUAUUUUGAGAAACAAAUUAAUUUAAUUUUUUCCCCCUUCAACAGUGUAUUUUAAUUACUAAACAGCUUGCUGUACAGUAAAAAAGGAUCAAAUGAAAUUAGGGAUAGCAAAAUUUUGCGAGAAUGGCCAUGCUUAGGUUGUUCAGUUUUGGCUGCCUUAACAAAAUUAUCGACAAAACAAAAAACGCAUUACAGGACAGCGACUUCAAAAAAUACGAUUUAGGAAACGCUCGCAUCACUUCCCCACAUUGAAUUUGAAGCCAUAAUCAUUUUUUUUUUUUUUUAUGUUUUUCUAUGAAAGAUUCAAUAUAUAUAUAUAUAUACAUAGACCUCAUAAGCUAUAUUUUUAUUAUCUGAUCACAAACCAAAUCUUAGCAGUGCUCUCCUUUGGACACGUUAUAACAACACAUCAUAUUCAUAAACUUUUGCUUUUGAUUGUCUUCGUCGGUUUGUGAUGUAUAUUUUCAAUCGUUUCAAAAUGCAGAUUCUCUUGAACUUUUAUCGGAGUUCAAAUCGGUGAUUCACAUUCUUUACUCAUCUUGUCUCUUAUUUAUUUUUCAAAAAUUUAUUAAGAUGUCUUCCUUAUUUAUGUAAAAUAAUAAUAAUAAUAAUAAUAAUAAUAACAAAAUAAAAUAAAUGAGUAGAUGAUCUUCAAUUCCUCGAAUACCUACUGAUAAGUCAACGAAUCCAAACAUACCAAAUCAACCAGAAACUCAUAUGGCAACAUGUUCAACGAAUCCAAACAUACCAAAUCAACCAGAAACUCAUGUGGCAACAUGUUCAGCGAUUGACAAGACGGUCAUGGCCAAAGAUCACUACCCAAGAUAUUCAACGAUUCUAAAUCAAAGUGAUUGAGUCUUUUCAUAUGUAAAUAUCUCUACAAUUAAGGCAUACAAUUUAGUUGCCUUUUACAAUAUACCAUAUGCAUGUAUAAAUACCUUACAUAUUAUUCAAUAACAAAUCAUCCAGUGAAUAUAAUUCAAAAUCACGAGUUUCUUCAUGGUAUCAGAGCCUAUGGCUUCAUCUUCAUCCUCUCAAUCUCAACCCAAACUCUCAAUUCAAUCAUUCCACCAAUGCUCUAGUCUUAUUUCCAUUAAGCUAACCUCAAACAAUUAUCUUAUCUGGAAAUCCCAAGUACUUCCACUUGUAAGGAGUCUUGGAUUAGAGCACCAUGUAAUAACCGAUGCCUCAUUUCCAUCAACUGUCAACACCGAUGAUGGAAAGAAAGUCCCUAAUCCUGAAUUUUUGCAAUGGCAAAAUAAUGAUGGAUUGCUUAUGACUUGGCUUAGGGGAAUGAUGUCUGAAGAAGUCUUGAGUAUGGUAACUGGUGGCCUCACUGCUCGUGAAGUGUGGCUUGCCAUUGAAGAGCAAAUGCUCCUUGCAACCAAAGAACAAGAAUCUUGGUUGAAGGAUAGUUUCUAUUCACUGAAAAAGGGGUCCCUCAAACUCGAAGAUCUUAUAAAAAUGUUCAAGAAUAUUUGUGAUCAACUUGCUGCGAUUGGGAAACCUAUUGCCGACGAAGACCAAGUCUUUCAACUAGCUCAUUCUCUUGGCCCUCAAUAUGCUGAUUUUAAGACAGCAAUGCUGACCAAACCUCCCUAUCCUAAUAUGAAGCGUUUUGUCUUGGCCUUACAAAAUCAUGAGCAAACUGUUGUUGCCCAGAGGGAAGUAAAUAAGUCUGCUCAAAUGAAUCAUAAUGAAGCAUUCUUUGGACAGCGGGGGCGAGGAGGCAAGAAUCAACGUGGUGGUAGAUACAACAAUUUUCGCAGACGUGGUAACGGUGGAGGAAGAGGAAAUGUGAACAAUCAAAACAAGUUGAAUUCUCAGCCUCCACCAAAACAAAACAAAGUAACGAACCAACAAGAACACGAAGAAGAAAUAAUUUGUCAAAUUUGUGGCAAAAAGAACCAUUCGGCUGUUAAUUGUUGGUAUCACUAUGAUUACUCUGAUGAAGAGGACACACCCAAGGAACUUGCAGCCAUGAAUCUCCAAGAUGGAAACGACCCUAAAUUCUAUGCAGAUUCGGGUGCAACCUCUCAUAUGACAAAUAACAAAGGUAAUAUUGACAAACCAGUUCCCUACGAAGGUAAUGAUAAAAUAUUUGUGGGAAAUGGUCAAGGUCUUCAUAUUACUCAUGUUGGUAAUGCAUCUCUAAAUACUGAUUAUGGGAAAUUGAAACUAAAUAAUGUGUUGGUUGUCCCUAAAUUAAAGAAAAAUUUGUUAUCUGUUAGACAACUUAUUAAGGAUAAUAAAUGUUCAUUUGAGUUUAACUCUGAUGGCUUUGUUGUUAAGAAUCAGGAGAAGCAGGUCCUAGCAAGGGGGCUUAAAAAGAGCAACCUAUAUGCCUUAGAAGAAAAUAAAGAAUUAACAUUUGCUGCAAUAAGAGGAGAUGCUGCCAAUUCAGACGUCUGGCAUAAACGACUUGGCCAUCCAAGUCCCAAGGUUCUACAUGUCUUAAUAAGAGAAAGGAAAAUCGAUGUAUCCCAAUGGAUAAAGAAGUCAUCAUUAUGCAUUUCUUGUCAGUUAGGGAAACAUUGUAAACUUCGUUUUUCUCCUAUUAAUAAUAAAACAACAGUUUUUCCAUUAGAAAAAAUUCAUGGUGAUUUAUGGGGCCCAGCACCUAUAGCUACUAAUCAAAACUAUCGUUUUUAUGCAUUAUUUAUUGAUGAUUUCUCAAGAUUCUCUUGGAUUUUUCCUUUAAAAAGAAAGUCUAACUUCUUUGAUUGUUUUGUUAAAUUUCAAAAACAGGUAGAGAAUCAGAUUGAAAGGAAAAUUAAAAUAUUUCAAUGCAACGGUGGAGGCGAAUUUUCCUCUACUGUAUUUGUUAAUCAUCUUGAGCAAUGCGGUAUUACAAGACAUAUAUCAUGCCCUCACACGCCUCAGCAAAACGGUGUUGCUGAAAGAAAACAUCGUCAUAUAGUGGAGACAGCCUUAACCAUUAUGUUUAACGCUUCAAUUCCUUUGUCUUUGUGGACUGAUUUUUUCUUGGCUUCAGUAUAUUUAAUUAAUAGGACACCAUUGUCUACACUUAGUUUUAAGAGUCCCUAUGAGGUUCUAUUUUUACGUACUCCUGAUUAUAGCGGCAUUCGAAUUCUAGGGUGUCGGUGCUUUCCUUGUUUACGAGAUUAUAGAAAACACAAAUUUGAUGUAAAAUCUUUCCCUUGUGUUUUUAUUGGAUAUAGCCCCUUGCAUAAAGGAUAUAGGUGCUUAAAUCCUCAGACUAAACGUGUUUAUAUUUCUAGGCACGUAAUUUUUGAUGAAUCGGUUUUCCCAUUUGCUGACAAUAAUUCAUUAAUAUCUCCUAUGCAGGAAACAUGACAUAUAGUGGAGUUUCCAUCAUGUGAUGAGUGGCUAGAAUUGACUUCGGCUGCCCCAAUUUCACAAGACACAAAAUCCAACCAUACCACUUAUCAUGCUCAUGCUCAAAAGGAAUGCUUGGGCAUAUUAAAUCCGCAUACAAUACCUCCUUAAAUUCAAAUGCCACUUGCACAAGCUGCUGUCCCACGUCCUUCCACACUAAUUUUCGGUUCUCCUGUGACACUGUCUUCCACUCAACCAUAAAAUGUUCCAGUUACUGCUCCAAUUGACAACCUCAACGACAAUCAGAUAAAUGCGCCCGUUCCAUGCAAACCUGUGACUCUUCAACUUCUGCCUGCAGAAGAAGAAGAAAACUCUACUCGUGAGAUACACCAGAGACAAAAUGCUCUUGAUCCUCCAGAUAUCUCUCAAAAUUUAGUUGUUGAUCUCUCUGGAUAUCCACAUCAAGUAAGCCAGCAAGAAAAAAUCACCACUGAACAUGCUACUAACAUUCAUCCUAUGGUGACUAGACAAAAGGCUCGAGCUAAAUCUCAUCUUGCACUUCUCUCUGCUGCCACCACUACCAAUGAACCUAAGACUCUUAAAGCUGCUUUGAAACACCAACAUUGGGUUACUGCCAUGCAAGAGGAACUUAUUGCGCUCUACCAAAAUCAAACAUGGUCUCUUGUGCCAAGACCUCCAGAUAAAAAUGUGGUCGGGUCCAAGUGGGUUUACAAGAUUAAACAUAAAGAAGAUGGCUCCAUUGAUCGCUUUAAAGCAUGACUUGUAGCUAAAGGGUUCACCCAAAUUCCUGGUGUUGAUUUCGCUGAAACUUUCAGUCCUGUGGUCAAACACACCACUAUUCACCUUGUGCUUGCUCUUGCUGUUCGUUCUUGUUAGGUCCUGAAACAAUUAGAUGUUCGCAAUGCCUUUCUACAUGGACACUUAAAAGAGGAUGUCUACAUGGAGCAACCUCCUGGUUUCAUUGACUCAUCCAAGCCGUCAUAUGUGUGUAAACUUCACAAGUCACUCUAUGGACUUAAACAAGCCCCACGCGCUUGGUUUGAAUGCCUUUCUCAAGCUCUUCUUGAUUUAGGCUUCAAAUGCAAUAAAGCGGAUACAUCACUCUUUACAUUACAUAAGCCUAACAUUACUAUUUUCAUUUUAAUAUAUGUUGAUGACAUUAUUAUUACAGGAAACAAUUCGACUGUCAUUCAGGAUAUUAUCACCACUCUUGGCUCUCAAUUUGCUCUUAAAGAUCUCGGAAAAUUAAGUUAUUUCCUUGGCAUUGAAAUUAAAUAUUUUAACAAGGGUAUAUUUUUGUCUCAGGCUAAAUACACCAUGGAUCUCCUUGCAAAGGCCAAGAUGGAAAAUUGUACCCCCAUUUCCACGCCAAUGGCAGUAAAGGAAGUAAUCUCACCAACUGAUCGUGAACCAGUCAAUCCAACGGAAUAUAGAACUCUUGUUGGUAGUCUUCAAUACUUGACAUUCUCUCGUCCUGACAUUACCCAUGCAGUCAACCGUGUCUGUCAACAUUUCCAAAACCUUACCAAGGCUGAUCUCAGGGCUGUUAAGCGAAUACUACGCUAUCUCAAAGGAACUCUUGAUUUUGGCUUGCGGUAUCUUUCACAAAGUUCCAAUCAUGUGUAUGCAUUCUCUGACUCUGAUUGGGCUGGCUAUACGGAGACCAGGCGCAGCACGACCGGAUAUUGUGUUUACUUGGGUGCAAAUUGUGUCUCAUGGAGUUCAAAAAAACAAACCACUGUUGCUCGCUCUAGCGCUGAAGCUGAGUACCGUUCUAUUGCCUCCGCUGCUGCUGAGCUCACAUGGAUCACAUUUCUCCUUCAUGACCUUGGUAUUCCUAUUCAUCAACCUCCUACACUUCUAUGUGAUAAUCUGAGUGCUGUUUACAUGACCAAGAAUCCUGCCUUUCAUGCUCGUACCAAGCAUAUAGAACUUGAUUUUCAUUUCGUUCGGGAAAAGGUCAGCCAAGGAUUACUCAUCACCACUCAUAUUUCUUCUGCCAAGCAAGUUGCCGAUAUUUUUACCAAGCCAUUGCCUACAGCUAUGUUCUCUGGUUUCCGCUACAAGCUGGGCAUUCAUUCUAUGGUCAUUCCCAGCUUGAGGGGGGCUGAUAAGUCAACGAAUCCAAACAUACCAAAUCAACCAGAAACUCAUAUGGCAACAUGUUCAAUGAAUCCAAACAUACCAAAUCAACCAGAAACUCAUGUGGCAACAUGUUCAGCGAUUGACAAGACGGUCAUGGCCAAAGAUCACUACCCAAGAUAUUCAACGAUUCUAAAUCAAAGUGAUUGAGUCUUUCCAUAUGUAAAUAUCUCUACAAUUAAGGCAUACAAUUUAGUUGCCUUUUACAAUAUACCAUAUGCAUGUAUAAAUACCUUACAUAUUAUUCAAUAACAAAUUAUUCAGUGAAUAUAAUUCAAAAUCACGAGUUUCUUCACCUACACUAUACUAAGAGUUUUUUUCUCAUCAUCCGAAGUUUUAAAGAGUGCAAGAAAAAGCAUAAUAGAACUCAAGACAUACAUAUUUUUUUGCCCCUUUAAGUUGAUCAAUCAUAAUGAAGUAAGAAUUAUUGGGUAUCUCAUUGAAAGUUACAAACCAUCCUAACUAAGUUUUGGGUCAUGCUAUGUUACAACAUGAGUAAUUUAUGGCCUAAUCAUUUUGUACAAGUAUGGGCAUCAAAAAUAGGGCAACGCCUUCUAAACAUGCGUUUGGUGGCAGUGCAGCUGCUCCCUACCUUUUAUUCUGGGGGAAUAUUCCUCAGAAUAUAGGUUGGAGAGUACCUGCGCUGCCACAAAUGCAACCUAAAUGGCUGUGCUACAAGUUGCUGACGCUAUAACUUAACAAAAGCCAUAAGCUUUUCUCUACAAUUACUAAUCUUUAAUUAUCUUUGUAAUAAAUAAAGUAGGAGUAUUUUAGAGUAUUUCACUUUUCUUAUGUUAGUUUAGUUAUCAUUUUUUAUGUUAAACAUCGACACCAACAAGGCAAUAACAAUGACCUUUUUGUGGAGUUAAAAAAAUAAAAAAAACAAAGACAUUUAUUGUAAGGUAAAGAUAGUUUGACUUUAGAAAUGGCGUGAGGAUGACUGCUUUUCGGGGAAAAUAAAAAAUCAAUAUGACUUAUGAGCUCUUUUAAGAAAUUAAUAAAAUAAGGAUAAAUUUCAUACUACUCCUCAUGAACUGAUAAUUUUUAAAGUAUACCCAAAUCAUUAUAAACUUCAACUUAGUCCCAGCUUUACUAAGAAGACAAAAAAAAUUUCAUAAUGCUCCUUCAUGUUUUUCUUAUCUUUUAAAUAAAAAUAGAGAUAAAUUGAAGUUUAUAAUAAUUUGAAGGAUUUAUAAAAUAUUAUUAUUUUAUAAAAGGUAAUUGAAAUUAACAAAAAAGAGUAUUACCGCAUAGAGGUUUGUAUGCACAUUGUGAAGUUGUGAAACCCUCUCUAUAAAAAUCAAUCAUAUAAAGUAGUUGGUGCUUAAAGAAUUAAUUGAUUUUACAGGGAUCAUAUACUGUUCAACUAAAAAAAUAAGGUACAAAAAGGGGCUAUUUCAGUUAAAGAACCGGCCCCAAGAGGUGCAUAUCUAUGUGUUUGUGUGUGUGUGUGUGUCAACUUAAUAUAGUUCUUUAUGUAAUCUUUUGUUUCUCAACAAAAAAAAAAAAAAAAAAUCAGUAUGGAAACAGUUUUGGUGCUUUGAUUCUCUAAUUGUCGGUUCAUGUCAAUCGACUUGGAGCUGAAGUUGCUUCAACUAAACGGUCACUGAAUCAAUGGCUUACAGGCUUUGAAUUCUUAUCCCGGUGCUUGUAAGAGUCAGUUGUGAGAACUUUGCUUUGAGGCUUUGAGCAUACUGACCACAAACUUGUAACAGUUUUAUUUCGAUGGGGACCAUAUUGAAAAGUCUAUGAACUUAAUUAGGCCAUAACGAAAAGGAAUCUAAAAUUGAGGGGGCGAAAUGCAAAUCAUAUUAUAUAUAUGUACAAUUAUUCUGAAGUACAAUUAUCCACAUGAUUGUUCAUGCAGAUAUACAAAUUUACGAACUCGCAAAAUAUUUUACGACAUUAAAAAAUAUUUUGCAAGAAUCCUAAAUAUUAUUAAAACCCAGGAUAGAUUUACGAUUCCGUAAACCUUCUUUUUUUUCAUAGUUCGACAACAUUGUCAAAUAGUUUAUAAUGUUGUAAAAAUCUAUUGACAGCAUUGCAACUCGUCCGCAUUUUAAGUCUGGACUGAAAUUUUUUUUGUAUAUAUUAGACAUGGCAAAAAACUCGGAUUUUAUGUUUUAUAAUUUUUUAUAUAUUUUUUAAUUAUUUGAAAACUUAAUUUAAUGAAAUUACACUUGAAAAUAUGAAUUUUAAAAUUUAAAAUUUAAAAUAAUAUAUAAUUUUAUUACUAUUUAUCAUAAAAUUUGGGUUUUCGGACCGGUCACUUAUAUCAGUACAUAUAGACAAUUUUAUUUCAGUCAUUUAUUACGACCUUUAUUAAUUCACGUGUGGUACAGCUUUUGAAGGACCAACUCUCUGGGUUUGGGACAAUUAUAAGGUUAAUGAACUCGUUAAUUGCGUUGACAUUAAUCAAAUGCCAUGGGCAUUAUUUAUAUAACUUUGAAGUACAAGAACUUGAAACUAUCCUUUUACGUACAGAGACGAUGAUCCAACGUGCAAAGUUUAUAGAAAAUAUAUAUAUAUAUAUAUAUAUUUCUAUCGCUUUUGGAAGUUAAGCACCCUAAUUCCUAAAGCAAAGAUAAAAGCAAAAAGCGAUGGCAAUACAAAAACAACAGCUGCAACAGCUCCUAGAAAAUCAUGUUUGAAGCCAUAAUAACUUCUCAAAAACUGUUUCACUGUUUCACCUGACUCAAGCCUAUCUUGUACAUCUCCAAACUGUGAUGCAAAAAAUCCAUACAAUGUCCAAGCUAUAGGGUNNNNNNNNNNNNNNNNNNNNNNNNNNNNNNNNNNNNNNNNNNNNNNNNNNNNNNNNNNNNNNNNNNNNNNNNNNNNNNNNNNNNNNNNNNNNNNNNNNCAAUUUAAUUAUAUGAGUAAUGGAAAGUCGAUACUCACUGUUCUGGGGAUAAUGAACCCUGAAAAGAUGUUCCAUAAUCCGUAAAAUAAAGUUGAUACAAUGCUAGCAAUGUGGUGGUUUGGCGUCCAAGCCACAAGCAUCAUGCCAAAGAAUGUGAAGUACAACAAGCUGAAGAACAUGAAGAAUAAAAACCAAAAGAAUUUCGCGGCAGUCCAUUCGAAUCCAAUCAUUGCAUAGACUAUAAGACUAUAUGGUGCAGCUUGAACAAAUAUAUAAGGGAUCUCAAUUAAAACCUGCAGGAAAUACUAAAAUGUUCAGUAAAGAAACAGAACGAAUUUUACAUUUCAAAGCAUGUCAUCUGUUGUGAAUAUUACUUGUGCAAAGGCAUAUGCCAUGGGUGAAUACAUUCCGGCACCUUUUUCUCUGUAGAAGACUGAUCUUUCAAGAUCUACUACUGGCUGCACUGACGAAACAUUUAGGACACCAAGGAAGUAAACGGCAACAUACAUGAAGCCCAUUGUAUUAAACAGAUCUUGUUGCUUUGUCCUAUAAUUAGAAAUCUCAAAAUUAUGACUAGUAGGCAGAUCAAACUACAAGAUUUUGAAAUAAUAAUUAAAUAUAAUGCUUCAAUUUCCUAAUGUGACUCACGUUUUAGUGCCCAUAUCCCAGAACAUUGUCCCAAAUAUCAAAGAUAUGAAGAUCGUAAAAAGGAAUCUAACAGCAGUGUAGUGUGGAUUUCGCGAGUAUGACCAGUGUUGUUUCCACAAGCAAGCCAUACACUGAGUGAAAAAUGACAGUGGGUACUGAUUAGCAAAAUAGAGUUCCUUAGAACCCGGUGCAGGCUUGCUUAAUUCUUGAAUGAGUGCUUUGUUUAUCCUGACAUAUAUGGCGUAGAUCAAUGUCAAUUUUCAGCUAAAAAAAAAAAAAACACUUUGGCAUUCUGUUGAAAGGGUUCUGGCAGAGUAUCACAAUUCAACCUGUAGAGUUCUGAACUUUUGUAAAUGGCAGCAAAAUCAACUCCCAAAGCUAUUUCUUGUGAUGGAGCAGUAACUUCCAACAUCCAAGUUGCUGGAUUAUAACCAUCUCUAAUUUUACUAACCCCUGGAAUUCCCUUCAUAAAAAAGAAAUUGUAUGUGCAUUAGCUAGUUUCAUAAUGUAAUAUAUGUAUCUCACUGCUAGUUAAAUUUUCCUUGCUUAUAAUUGGAAAAUGAUCAGUAUGUCCUACUUCAAAAUACUUGAUAAGAUGGCUAGAAUGGUGACCCAAUGGCCCAACAUAUAUUUCUUGUCCCCCUCGCUUCAGAAGGAACAGCUGCAUUUUCAAGUUAAAUAAUCAUAAUCAUGUCAUAGAAAGAGAAAAACUUAACUCCUUUGAUCCAGUAUUAAUACUUCUUACCGCAUCAAAAGCUUCAAAUAUGUCAAUGCUUGGCUGAUGGAUUGUGCAUACCACCGUUCUUCCAGUGUCCACUGUGUUCCUAACAGUUCUCAUAACAACUGCAGCAGCUCUUGCAUCUAACCCAGAUGUUGGCUCGUCCAUAAAUAUGAUGGAGGGAUUUGCCACGAGCUCAACUGCAAUAGUAAGCCUCUUACGCUGCUCCGUUGAUAGACCAUUUACACCUGGCAAACCCACCAGUGCUUGUCUCAAAGGGUUCAGCUCCACAAGUUCCAUGACUUCCUCAACAAACAUCUGUAAACCACGGACGAAACAAUAAAUAUCCAACAGUGGAUUCUACAACUCAGGCUGCUUCUCUUCCAGAUAACUCAAUUGGCUCAAACUGUUUAAACUCCCAAUGAUAUGUGAAGAAAAAAUGACAGCAAGUCUGAAACACCAAGGGAUUUCAAUACCAACCUCUCUAGUUUUGGAAUUUACUUCAGAGGAUAGACGAAGCCAGGCCGAGUAGAGCAAGGACUCGUAUACAGUAACAUAAGGAGAGUGGAUGUCAUUUUGCUCACAAUAUCCAGAAAUGCGAGUGAAUGUCUCUUGGUUCUUUGGGUACCCAGAUAUUGUAAUGUUCCCAGUAAUAUAUCCCCUAGUUUUCCUACCAGCCAACACAUCCAUCAGUGUGGUUUUACCAGAACCAGUUACACCCAUCAGAGCUGUGAGAACACCAGGCCUGAAAGCACCGCUUACACCAUUUAGAAGUACCAAUUUGUCGUCAUGAACACCUCGACGUUUCAUUUCCUUCAAAGUUAAAUCAAACCAAUUAGUCAUCGUGUAUUGAAAAUGUAAUACUUAAUCUAGGUGUCAUCAAACUAUUGAAAUAUAUCCCUUGGUUUCCAACAUAGUGUUACCUGUGGCAUAUCAACAGAGUAUGUAAUUUCAUCAAAAGUAAGGGAAAACGGUUCAAAUGGAAGAACCAUUCCUCUAUUCUUUGGUUGGUCGGUCUCGAUGGUUGUUUCCCGGGACUGGGAAGAGGAGUUCCUCCUCCUAACGUAAUCCCUACUCUCUGCAUUUUAAAAUAAUCAAUUGUAAUCACAGGGCAACACCAAAUAUUUCAUGCUUCCUCAAAAGUAUCAAAUUUUUCUUUAUGACCUGAGCGAGUUAUGUGACUUGAGCUACUUGCACAGGUUGAUAACUGAACUGUUCCCCCAGUUCUGCUAUCAUGCUCAGUACUCUGAGAUUCCUCUGAUAUAAAAGCCUUACUCGUACCAAAUGCUGCACAUCUUUUCAAAAUUUAGAUCAGAAGCAGUCAAUUUUAGAAGUAAGUAAACUGAAUAAUGUACAGAUACAGACGGUUGAGAAAACUUAGAGCCAGAGUGAAACCGAAUUGGAACAGUAUAAUAAAACCAGUCAGAGCCCCUACUCCCAGCCAAUACCAAUAAGCAUCAGUGAAGAACCCACGAGAAUCCAAAACUUCAAUUCCGAGUGGUUUGGUUUUGUUUGGAAAAAUCUUUAUAUAAAAGGAAGACAUUAGCACAUUAUUACGAGAUAAAUUAAAUAAUACAGAGCACAUUGGAGGCAUUACCUUUUUCCAACUGUUACCAAGGAAUUCAUUAACCACUAUUGCGUUCUGGGCAUACAUCAAAGGCGAACACCAGUAACCCCAUUUCCACCAUUUUUUUAUGUCAUCUGCAUCAUUAUACAAGGAAAGUAAUAAUUUUUGUUAAACUUUGAGAAGAAAUGAUGAUUCUAUUCUCAACUUACUAAACAAGAAAAGUAAUAAUUUUGGUUAAAACUUUGACAAAAAAUGAUGUUUUUGUUCUCAACUUAUUCAUUUCUUAUACCUCGUGAAAGGACAAAUCCACCUAGUACAAAAAGUAGGAGCAAUACAAGUGAACCAAAUGUAUUAGCAACAACCAUGCUCCUGCCUACUGCUGCAAUUAAUCGGAACAUUGCAGAGGACAUCUGGUUGACAAUCAAGAGCAACAAGUACUGCUUGAAAAACCUGCAGCAAACAUAACCACCUUGUAAAUAGUUGGGUCAAUUGAUAUUAAACAUGUAAAAAAAUCUUCAGCAGCUCCUACAAAGUUUAGGAUUUUGUUUUUAUCUUCUUACCUUCCAGCAUUGGAAUCAAAACCAAUUACAUAAUAGGUCAUAAAUACCCAAACAGAAACCUCUACAAUUGAGAUGGGGAUCUUGAGGAUCCAUGCGGGAAGAGCGUAUGCCCAUGAAGGAUAGAAUCGGAGGUCUCUUUGCUUAUAGAAAACAGGAAGCUUUGCUAUGGUCAUAGAAAUCUCAGCCAUUCCAUUGAAUGUGAUUGUUGUAAGAAUAAAGAACAAGGCACCAGUGUAAAUUACACCAUCAGUUAAUGAAUCUCGGUGCAUCUUCGUUCUUAAGAAGAUUGUCAUACCAAUCACUGCUAAGAAC